rnacentral:lncRNA from 1 species
GAAGCGAAGGAAGCCAAGCUUCUCUGUAACUCUCUCUCUCUCUUUCUCUCUCUCUCUCUCUCUCUCUGUCUAGCGCGUUUUCGCGUCCUCACCUCUUCGGGCGAUCGCCUCGUUUUGACUUCGUCGCGAUGGAGAAGAAGGACGAUCCGACAUUUCCCGGGAAACUGCUCGAUUCUCGUGUUCUUCUGACUCGCGACGCGUGAGGGAUUUUUGCUCGGAUUCUGUCGCAGACGGUCGCGGCACUCGUGAUUGCGGUGGUUGGGUAGGUGCGUGCGUCCUUUCGCCGAUUCCCCUGCGCCCGUCGAUCCCCUAACUAGGUCGGAAUUCCCUCUUGAUCGACGCAAAUGCAUGCGUCCUUUGAUCGUGCUGCUGCUUUCGAUUGCUUGAACUGGGUUCUAGCUAGGAUUUUUUUUUUUUUCCGGCGGGUUUUAGGUUUCGCGCUUCCUGAACCGGUUCGUUGCUUCUGCAAUGGAACCGGCGUUAAUUCUGUCUCGGCGAGCAAUCGCGCUGUCCUAUUCCUCAUUAGCUUAGCUGCGGGUUUUUGAGAGAUGAUGCUGGAGAUGGGGUUCAAUUGCGGGUCUUUGUAAAAGCAGAAGAUGAAAUCGACGGGGAAUCCUAGACGAAAGAGAGAGAAAUGAGUGGAGAACUAAGUAGCACUGGUAUCGAUACACGACACGAUACGAUACGAUAUACCGACACGUUGGGACAUGUUGUAUAUUAUAUAUAUUUUAUAUUAUUAUUUUUAUGAUUAUUUCAAUUAAAUUAAUAUGAUUCAAAUUCACAAAUAAAUAAAUAAUAAUAAAAUCCUAUAAUAAAUUUACACUAAAAAUAUUAAUCCACAAUUUAUUAAUAUCAUUCAUUGUUUCAAUUUAACAAAUUCAAUUCCAUUUCAAUAAAUCCAUAAAACUUGGAAAGAAAAAAAAAGUAAUUCAUAUUCUAGACUUGCAUGUCAGACGUGUCAAAAGAAAAAAGAAAAAAUUUGAGGUUAAAUUGUGUAUCACAGAGAGUAAGAGUCAAAAGAGAAAAAAAGAAAAUAUUAAUUUUUUUUUCUUUCCUAAUUUGUUAUUUUUAUUAUUGAUUUUUAUUUUUUUUCAUAUAUAUUUUGACACUUCAUUUAUUGAAAAUUUUUAAAAUUGACCUCGCAUGUUAUGAUCGUGUAUUGGAAAGUCGUAUGUCAAAAUUCUGAGUCAAGUGUCAAAAAAAUGUCGAAAAAGUUGAUUAGAUAUCGGAUUUUUUUAUACGUGUUAACCGAGUGUUGAAGAGUAUCGGACACAUGUCGAAGUGUUUGACACGACACGAAGGCUUUCGAAGAGUUCCUAGGUAGAGAAUGGGGCAAGCACGAUGAAUCUUGGUGGCGUUAAAAUGAGAUGAACCAUGUACAUACUACACGGUGGUGGCUCUUAGAAUGGACAAAAGAAUACAACUAGAUGGUCCUUUUCAUAGGUAUUCAAAUCACAUGCAUGAGGUCCUAAUCUUUAAAAAAAAAAUGUUAAUGUCAUUACAUAAAUCUAUUAAAUUUAAAAGAUGAAAAAACACUUGAAACAUUAAUUUUACAACUAAUAACGAAAUCAUUAUGUAAUGAAAUGACUUCUAAUUCCUUUUGCUCAAAUUAAAUUGCUCUAAGAGAACUCUCUAGUGACCUAAAAUUAAGACCAAUGAUAUCGAUUAUACAUAAAAUAAAUGAAGUAAAGAGAAAAUCAAGAUAAGAAUAAUGAAUUAUAAGAGAAAAAAUUUUACUUUCUUGAUCCUAAUCUCGUAGAUGAAGAUGUGCAGGGACCUAAAACAUUACAAAAUCAAUAUUAAAAUUACAUGAUUCAAAGCUAAAGUUAUAAAAAAAAAAAAAAAAGAGAGAGAAACGACUCAGUCAAUUUUCUUCGGCUGGAGGACAAUGUAGAUUUCUUGAACAGUUGCAAUUGAAUUCUUCAUGUAUGCCUUUUAUUAUAAUAUCAUCACGUUUUUUUUUUUUUUUUUUGUCAAGCUAGAAUAUCAUCACGUUAACCCCACGAAAACGCUAAAACGAAGAUGGGGCCGACCCUCGCCAGGUUGGAGGGGACACAGACCUGCUUACUUAAACGAAGACGCGCGCUCGUGUUGCUCCUACCCUCGUCUGCACUCAUCGACGUCGCAGCUCCAGCCCGUGAGCGACGACGACAGCACUGCCCCCCACUCCUGACGCCUGCUGCUCACCGCCGCCGCCGCCUCCUUUCUUCCGACGAGCUGCUUUACUGUCCAACCCACGCACGACGAGCUCCGACGGCACUGCCCUCUCCUCUUGCCGAACCCGUCUGUCGGCAUUCCUCUAUCUCCAAAAAAAAAAGAAGAUCCUCCCUCAAAUUUGGGAUUCUGAAGCUGAGAGCCUUUUUUGUGCAGCAAUUCUUCUCUAGGCCUUGAUUUCUUUUUUCGUAUUUUUUCGUCGGGCCCGGCCCGGCGGGAGGCCGUCGUGUCCGUCGCUGAACCUAAUGAGCUGCCCCUGCUUUCCACACCUCCAGCUACCGGAGACAACGCAGCUGCUCUCUGUCCCCAGGAACUGCCGUUGCAUCCUGAUCCCGAGCCGACGUGCUUGUGAUCCUUCCUCGUGACGACGAAACCACUUUCUCUUUUCGCAGGUUCGCUCGCCGUCCCUUACGGCUUCGUCUUGCGUUGCCACCCGCGGCCCAAAGUCACUACUGAGACGAGAUGAGCCGAGCUGUGUCACAAAUUGUUGGCCUAAUCACCGCCGCGCGCACCUUGCCAAACUGCCACCGUGGCCAUCCUUUGCUAGGGAGCACCGUAUCGGUCAUCCGUCAAGGCGAUUCCGAUGAAGUCCAAAUUUGGCACUAUUAUACUGUGAAGUUAGGUAAAAUCUCGUCCGAAUUUAUUUGCGUUUUUGCAUGUGAUUGUGCACCCUGAGUAGAAAUCACCUUCGCUAAAUCUAUUUGCACACGCCUUCAGCUUGCUGGAUGAUCUUUUUUCGUGCCUGUGUGCUGACCACUUACCAUUAACGUACAGUAUAUUCCCGAGGAUCUCCGUCUUCAUCUCUGUGUGCUCGGCCGCGGAAGCAUUCCAAAAACCUCAGCUCACUUCUUAGCCAGGCCACGCCACACCAAGUUACCAACCUUUUUUUCUCUUCUAGGGAGAGAGAGAGGGGUCUGGAAGUAAUAUGCUUGCCAAAUAUGGCACACUCAAAGACUAGAGCAUCAUCAGAAGUUCAGUACGAUGUGUUCUUGAGUUUUAGUGGAGCGGAUACUCGUUUUGACUUCGCGGACUUCCUCAAUAGAGACUUGAAUAAUGCCGGAAUCUGCGUAUUUAGGGACGAAGAUGCAAUCAAGGUGGGCGAUAAGAUUGGUGAGACAAUUCUACAAGCUAUUGACAACUGUAAAAUCUACAUACCCAUCAUUUCUAAAACUUAUCAUGACCGCAAAUGGUGUCUUGUUGAGCUUGAACACAUGAUGAACAAUGUAUCUCAGUCAAAGGGUAGAGAAAAGAUUUUCCCCAUCUUUUAUAAGGUGGAACCUAGGGAUGUUAAAAAUUGGACUCCAUGCCCAAUGAAUGCUUCCUCCGAAGUUGAAGUCGAACUUAGGGCGUUCAAAGAGGCACUUGCAAAGGUUGGGAUGGAAGGUCAAGGAGGGACAAAGGUAAAAGUACCUUUAAGACCCCUACCUAAUUCUUUUUCUUCUUCUUUUUUUGGGUUUUUGUUUUAGGGGAUAAAAUCUUGCCCUAUCAAAUCAUUUAUUUUCUUCUUCUUUGUUAAAUGGAAAAUUUUGAAAACUACCUCUGACUCCAAGUGCUGCUCCUAUUGAACUUUACAUCCUCUACUCGAGACAUGUUCCCUAAUAUUUCAGUUGUUAUAGCCACUGCUGGCGCUAGGGAACUUGUUACAGGUUUUGGGGUUAUAUAAUCUGUCUUCUCCAAAUUGCAGUGUUCAAUGGAUGACCUUGAAUUUGUCUACAUUUUCUCCCUAUUACAAUUGCUGAAAAUCUUUUCCAGGCUUAGCUAUAAAUGCGGAAAUUUUGCUUGAGCAUCAUGCGGUAGUCACUUGGUAAUUUCAGCCGUCAUGUAAACCACUACCAUAUAGAAAAAUGCAUCCGGUGAAUUGAAUUCUACUAAAUUAGCCUAUAUUGAUUAUUUAGUGUAUUUAGAUAUCAUUUGUAACCAUGUGCGAUGUGUGGGUAUGAAUUAAAUCUAGUCAACUAAUGAAAGCAUUUUUGUGUAUGGUAGUCAAGCAAAAAUUGCCGAUUUGGUCGUUCGAAAGGUUUUGGAGGAGCUGGGCAGAAAAGAUGAGUCACAAACGAAGCAUUCAAUUGAGCUUGAUGACUAGACACGGUCACUUGAAGACUCUUAUAAUCACACAGUGAUAGUACGAUAUCUUCUUCUUCAUCAAUAUACAAUUGACGUCCAUCAAUGCACGGAUUUGAAAUUUGAUCUGUUCUAGUCUCAAUUUGAUGCUAUAAUUUGGUAAAACUACACAAAUUACAAGAAGUUAUAUGUUAUUCCAAAAUUUACUUGGACAAAAAUGAUUUUCGGAUCAAUUAGUGUUCCUUCAACGUGUUAUUUUUUUGCAAAUGUUGUUUCCUAUAAAUUAAAUAAAUACACAACUGCAAGUCUCAUAAACUUUAAUUUUUAAAUUUAUUUCUUGCUGUAUAAUUCAUUGUUGGAGUUGUGUGAUGUGACGAGUGUUUAUUUAUUUAUUUUUAUGUCAUACUGUUUUCAAUAAUCGCCCUCUUGAACGUUCACAUGUUGCGUACUAGCCUGCAGAUUUUGAAGAUGGUUUAACUUAUCCCCUGCCUUCUCUAGUUUCAAUCCGCAUAACCAUCAAAUGUUACCUAAAAUCUUGUUGUCCUAAAGCAUUAUGAUGGGAGGCUAUUCUCAAAAGAUCGAUUAGCGAAAGCAUGGCUUUGUAAAAGCUCGACAGAUCCUCCAACCCCAUUCCCCCUCUCGUUUUCUGCCUUUGCCAGUUCCCCCCAUCUUUCCGGCGUACUCAAGUUCCAUUUUAGAAUUUUUCCCACAAAAAAAAAAAGUUAUUUUUUGCUUGAUUGUCUUGGAAAUAGAGAUUGGAGUUUUAAAUAUUGACAUGAAAUAGGUUAGCAGUGCAAGCGAUACUGUUUUAAUAAGUAUUUUUUUCCUAACUUUCAACAGUCUCUUUCCCUUUCCUCCCCCCUCUCCCUAAAGUUUAAAAAAUUCUUCCAUAAAAUGAAUUCCAAAAGACAAACCUCAUUUUGUCGGACAGUGUAUGAAAUUUUACUUACCAGUAGGGUAAACAUUGCAAGAUACAAAAUAAUCUUUAGAAGCCACACAUGUCUAGAUGUGGAUCAUUAUAUGAAGUACAUAGAUGUGGCAGCUUAUAUGUGCCAAUAGGAAUUAGUUAAGCUAAAUGUUAGCACUAUACUAUUCAAAGAAGAUUUACUUUACUUUUCUUUUCUUUUUAUAUCAAUAAUUUUAUUGACCCCAAUUUUCAAGUAAUUGUAGGAGUAUAAACAAUACGUUCCACAAGCAACCUAAUAUGUUCUCGAUUAGAUGAUUAGUGAGAAAAGAUUAGCAUUAUCUUAAUUGUGCAGUGCUUAAAACUUAUGUGGAAUUUCAACGUGGUCCAAGUGCAGCGGUAUACCGGGAGAGGCCGAGGGCUGGAGGGCGGGUACAUGAAGGAGGGCAGUGGGAGUACAGGGAGGAGAAGGAGGGAGUGGAAGCAGCAGAAGAGGGAGGAGCAGGUGCAGUGGAAGCAGCAGAAGAGGGAGGAGCAGGAGCAGUGGAAGCAGCAGAAGGAGUAGCAACGGGGAAGAGGAAGCGGGGGAAGCAGUGAGAGGAAGUUUUCACUAUAUUCGUUCGGGGCAUUCUUGGAGUACCUUUUUUAUGCAUUGUUUUAACCUUUCUCUGCUUAAGAGCAAGGAAACUAGUAACCUUUCUCUAGUCAAUAAAUAGAAGUAGACGGGUCAUGGAAGCCGCCUACCACUCCAGGUAGGCGGAACAAACAAUUUUGUUUUUGUUUUUUUUUUUUUUUGUCAUUUUCAAAUCUAUGUACCUUGAAUUCCUAUUCAUCUGUAUGAGUACUUACAGAUAUACGUUCUUGAUUUGUCGCUCAAUUAUUAUUAUUUUUUGGUAAUACCUUUUGGAAAUGGGACUCAAUUGUGGUGAUUUUGACCCCUUGAAACAUUUAGGAUCAUGAAGAAAUCUAAUGGAUUUCCAACGUCAACAUAGAAUAAUCAUUCUCAUGAAGGUUGCUGAUAGUUAAUAUCGGACUCAGGAGUCUGACUUUCCCAGCCAUCUUCUAGCCAGAUACAUCAGUUUCGUAAUGAAGCUAAUCGAAAAUGAGAGCGGGACUUUACGAAUAAUAGGAGGAUAAAGGAGAUCCAGCUUCUUUAUGGCCAUGCUAAGAGAUUGAUUCUCGCUCUGUUCGUGCUGGGGGUGACAGCAACCAUCGGACGCACAAAAUUCUCGACGUGAUUCUUGAUCAGAACCCCAAGCUCGCUAAAGAGCAAGUAAAUGGUGAUCUCAAGCUGUGAUGGAAAUGUUCAGUGUCAAGGCGGACAUGUGAUGCAUUGGCGACCGGCACACCAGAAGAAAUCCUCUUCGUCUUGCGGCUGUGGAAAGCCAGUCCGGCGUUCUGAGGAGCUGGUUCGAGAGAGGCCGAGGGCAGCACGUGAUGGGGUUGUUUAACGGGGAUUUUCAUAGCGUUAGGCAUAAUAACUUGAAAAGGCUUUGAAGCUUUUCAUGGAGACUCCGGGAGAUCACGACACGAACAAUUUCGGUCAUAGCAUAUUGCACUGGACUUUUCUCAGAGAAAGGCACCAAUCAUACUUUUUGGGACGCUCUUAGCCCAAACCAUAAAGAGAAACAGAUAAAGACAGCAAAUUUUAGACUUGGGGUAGGGAUAAAUUUGGUCAAUCAUUUGCCCUUCCAAAAAUAUCUAUCUCUUUAUUGGCUUUUUAUCCUUUUACAGGUCUAAAUAUUCGCAGAAUUGAUAUGUUGUCCUAAGCAUGACGUUAAAAUCUUCAUCUCAAGUCUCGUCUAGACUUCGGAAUCCUUGGAUUUAAAACACUUAGUUGCGCUUGGCAACCAAGAUGAAAUUCAGGAUAAGAUCAAAUUUAUUAUAUCUUGUAUUUGGUGUCUACUCAAAACAGGAUAAAUCAGGAUAUGAGGGAAAAAUAGACUAGAUAAAAUUAUCACAUGGGGAGGUAGAAUAAAGGUAAAUAAAAUUACUAGCAUCCAUAAUUAGAAAGUUAUUUUUCUCAAAUUAUGGACUUUUUAAAUUAACAAAAUUAAAAUUAUAUCUCAAUAUAAAUAUUAUUUGAAUUCUAAUGUAAGAAAUUUAAAAUAACCAAAAAAUAAUAAUUUAGUUAUUUUAAUUUAAUCUUAUUUUCAUUUAUAUAUUCGAAUUUAAUUAUAUUUUAUAAAUUAAUAUAAAUAUAAAUAUAAAUAUAAAUAUAUAUUUAUUAUAUAUUUUAAGUAUAUUAGUACAGUUUACUAUUUAAUAAAAUUUUAUUAGAGAAUGAUGGGAGGGGAAAAAUAAAAAAGAAAUUAAUUGAUAAAAGAGAUGAAAAUAAAACAAGAGUGUCAUGAGAGAUAGUUAUUUUUAUCGCAUGACAAAUUUUUUAAAUUAAAAAAAUUAAAAUAAAGCAAGAGUGUCACGAGAAAUAGUUAUUUUUCUCGCAUGGCAAAUUUUUUAAAUUAACAAAAUUAAAUUAAUAUAUCAAUAUAAAUAAUAUUUGGAUUCUAAUAUAAGAAAUUCAAAAUAACAAAAAAAAAAUUAAUUAUUUCAAUAUAAUCUUAUUUUUAUUUGUAUAUAUCUGAAUUUAAUUAUAUUUUAUAAAUAAGUUCAAUAUAUAAAUUUAUAUAUAUUUAUAUCUAUAUUUUAGGUAUUUUAGUAUUUUGGUUUUAAUAGUACAAUCUAAUGUUUAAUAAAAUUUUAUUAGAGAAUGACGGGAGGGGAAGAAAAAAUUAAAAAAAAAGAUAUUAUAAAAGAAAGGAAAAUAAAAUAAAGUAAGCAAGAGCGUCGCAAGAGAUUUUUACUAUCCCCAUUCAUAAAAUUUUUGGUUCAUUUUUACUAAUACGCAGUUUAUGCUAAAUAAUGUAUAUGAUAUGAUGUGAAUAUAUCCGAUUUUAUUGUUGUAAUCACCAAAUAGUAGUUAUAAUAUAUCAAAAUCAUUUGAAUUUCAUAUCCUACCUAUCCAAUCAUAUCCUAAUGAAAAAUCCGAACGACCAAAUGUAACCUUAGAGAGUACUAUCAAAUCUAAAGUAGGAAAAAGAUAUUGUACCAAUUAGGGGUAUUAGGCAUGCGAAAACCGAUAUAUUAAAAUAAGGAAAGCAUUCUAAUUGCCUACCCCAUAAUGCCCCAUAAGAUAGGGACAAGCGUGGGAGGCCCUCGUGGAAAACAAAUUGCCAUUCCUUGGUGAGGUAACCCUUCAACCGCAUCAAGGAUCCAAGGAAGCCCCUAAUUGAAGGUUUUUCUUGAAAAAGACUGCAUAUUCCAUUCUUUACCUUUGGUCCUCCAUUUACUAAUUAUUUGGAAAUACUUUCUAUUUGAGUAUCAAAUAUAACAAAUAAAAAAAAAACAACUAUUAUUAGUCUUGGUGCAUAUGAUUGUCGUCAAAUUGCGUGACCCUUGUAAGUCACUAUGAAGUUAAAAUUUGUAUUAUGACAAGAAAAGGUUAUAAAAUUCCUUGACAUAUAACAUAUAAUAAUGUACGGCAAGACCAAUAUUAGGAAUUUGUUUGAUGGCGGAUAUAAUUCGUGGAAGGUUUUAGUUCCAGGAAAGAUAUGCAAAAUAAAUUUAAGAAUUAUGAGAAAAUAGCAAUAAAAGAUGCUGAGAAAGGUUUAGAAAAUUAGAACGUACCACAAACUUUGAAUAUAGAAUAGAUGACCCGAUUAAGGUCGUUGGAAAAAACAAUCUUGGUGAUCGGAAAUGAUGAAACUUUUCCAUAAUUUCCAAAAGCGAUGUCGAAAUAAACAAAAGGAAAGUGAAUCCGAAUUUUGUUUUCAAUUGGUUAUUCUAUAGGGUAAAAAAGAGGAAAGUAUGAAUGACCCAGAAAAUCAUUAUACUACUUACAUUGUGGCAUAUGGGAAACCCCAAAGAUCAAUAAUUUUCCGGCGGUAGAAUUAAAAAAUUUAGGAGAGGACACUAAAGUAAUCACCAUAAAAAGGUGAGUGGCAAGAAAAGAGAAUGGAGUAAAACCUGCCUGCUAUUUGAAAAGAAGGGAAUGCAGGAAGAGAACAAAGAUAAAUAUAGUAAACUAUACUUGGGAGUCACUGGGUAAACAACCCAGCAGAAUGGAAACAAAACACUACGGGAGAGAAUUACCAAAAAUCUUGUUCUUAAUGCUGGUCAGCCUGUUUUAUCGACCUUGGUUUCGGCACAUACUUUAUGAUGAGAUAUAAAAAUGAACAUUUUACGGCAUGCUAUUUCAAAAACCGAAUGAGGCUCUAGAUAUUUUUCAACCAUUUAAGUGCUGCAAUAAAAGUGCAUUGAGAAUAUACGCAUCCGACAUAAUUUUAUUAUUGUUAUAUUACAUAUGGCAGCAAUGUGGCAUUGUGUUAUUUGAUUUGUACUCAUUGUCAGCCUACACGUGACGAGAAUAUGAGAUAUGAACAUUCAUACAGAAUGAUUCUGUUUUGGGAUUAUAAUCAUGACCGAUAUAAUUUUUGAGGCAUAAUCAUAACCGAUAUAGUUUUCAAGCUUUAUCACCUAGCAAAGUGGGACCCUAGGGUUCUCGAUAUAGCAAUUGAUUUUUAGUUUAUGCCAAAUAUUAUCGAUUUAUACUGGCAUUCAUAUGGAAAUUAAUGUUGCACCUAGUUAUUGAUUGCUUGUUCGUUGUGAGUGCAUAUCUUUCUUAAUUUGCAUUAUUCUUAGCUCGAUCCGAUAGAAGUGGUAUUAGUCACUUGCUGAGCCGUGAUAUUGCUUGCCCCUUUUUAACUUCUCUAGAUUGUGAGGCUGAGGAUUCAUGAACGAUGAUUUUUGUAGUAAUUUUGAAAUGAUAUUAGAAACUUGUCAAUAGUUUUUGUUUGAGGAUUUUGUCUUUAUAAUUAUCGGUUCAAUUUUAAAGAAGAGUCUAAAAUGAUUAUGAUUAUAUAUUAGAGAAGAGUCUAAAGUAAUUAUGACUAUUUUAAAUGAGAACCUAAUCUCGUCAUCUCGGCAAAAUAUUCCAACCAAUUAGAGAUGUGUGUGAACAUAUGGGCAAUUUUUUAAGGAAAGCACUAUGGGCCCUUAUUUAAGAAAAUAAGAAUACUUUGGAUUUUUAUUUGAAAUUUUCCCUAAUAUUGAGCUUUUCCAAAAAUAUAUUUGUCAAAUUGAAUUUCCUUUUUUAAAACCAAACAACAACUUAGUGCUUCCUAUCGUACACACGUGGAUCGAAAUGCUGACGUGGCAAACCACAUCAACGCCGUAUGUUGUUGAUUAGUUUAACAGUAAGAGAGAGAGAGAGAGAGAGAGAGAGAGAGAGAGAGAGAGAGAGAGAGAGGGGAUUGUCAGGAUUGUCCAAGCACCAGCAAGGGCCGGCAACCCUUACCAACUAAGGCGACCUGACAGCGUUGUCAUCAAUUGAGUUGAACUAUUUUCUUUUUGUCAAAGAAAGAAUGGCAAUACCACAAAAAGCUCUAAAUUAUGUCAAUUAUGAUACAAAUACCCCGAUUAUAUCGCAAAAGAUUAUAAACUUAAUCAUUAUGACACACUAAUGCCCAAUUUUUUCUUUCAAGAAAAAAAUUGAACUUAUAUAAUUUAUUUCGGUUAUAUCCAUAGUAUAUUUAUCACGCUAGUAUAAAUUUGGAAUUUUUUAUGUUAUGAAAAUAUUUGAGGUGUUUGUUUCACAAUUGGCAAAUUUAGGAUUUAGGGUAUUAGUAUCACAGUAUAUAUAAUUUAGAUCUUGUUUAUAGUAUUAAUCUAAAAAGAAUUGGACCAAUUAGCUAUGGUCUUUGGAAUAGUUUGGAAUCUUGGGAAUGUGGAAGUUCAUUUGAUGCUUCUUUGUUCCUUGUACCUAUGAGCCACGGAAUACUUAGAGUUGAUUUUGAGGUCAGGGAAGGAAGAUUGGAGAGUGAAAAUUAGGGGAGGUGAUUUGGAAAUUAUGUCAAGAAAAUAUCAGCAUCUCAUACGGAUUGGGAGGGAAUUGAAGAUCUAUGUGGCCAUUCUCGUUGAAGUUCUUUCUUGAUUUUUGCAUCUCACAUUUGUUGAAGAUCUGCGCGCAAUGUCACUUGGGGUGUUCAGGCGAGGUGUUGUCACCGCUGUCGGCUGCCAUUGUGAUGGCGAUCGUGACCGUUGCAUAUAUUCUUUUUCUCUCUCCACAUUUUUAUGUUCAAUGAUGGAGGUAUGCUAUUUGAACAAUGGAUAUUCAUCCAUGAACACCUACUAUUGCUAGCCAUGGACUUGAACUAGGGAAUCAAAAGAUAGGUCCAAGAUCUNNNNNNNNNNNNNNNNNNNNNNNNNNNNNNNNNNNNNNNNNNNNNNNNNNNNNNNNNNNNNNNNNNNNNNNNNNNNNNNNNNNNNNNNNNNNNNNNNNNNNNNNNNNNNNNNNNNNNNNNNNNNNNNNNNNNNNNNNNNNNNNNNNNNNNNNNNNNNNNNNNNNNNNNNNNNNNNNNNNNNNNNNNNNNNNNNNNNNNNNNNNNNNNNNNNNNNNNNNNNNNNNNNNNNNNNNNNNNNNNNNNNNNNNNNNNNNNNNNNNNNNNNNNNNNNNNNNNNNNNNNNNNNNNNNNNNNNNNNNNNNNNNNNNNNNNNNNNNNNNNNNNNNNNNNNNNNNNNNNNNNNNNNNNNNNNNNNNNNNNACUCCUUUUUGGGGAGAUUAGUGGAGAUUUGCCAAUCCUAAUUGGCAAUUGAUUAGUGAAGAAUUGCCUUUGGAUUGUGAUGCCCCAAUACGACACGGCUAAUGUAGUCACUAACUUUUUAAGUAUGCAAAAGUGUGUAUGAUUAAAGAACACUAGGACCUAUAAAAUUUCAAAGGGACACACGCGGAAAUGCAAACUAGGUAAUCUCAUUUCAUUUCUAUUUCUAUAUAUCUUAGGUGACAGGGUUGGGGUACACUAGAGGAUGAGCAAAAGGUAUGACUACUUCGUACCAAACCCAAAAGCUCCAACAGCCGCAUCAUCCCAACUUGAAUACUACAUAUGUACUAUGUCAUUUAUCUUCCAUCCACAAUACGUCCAAAAAUCUUGGCCUGGUUUUCCUAAAAUGCUACUGAUCUGAGAAGUAAUGAUCAACCAUGAGUGAGCACAAAGCUCAACAAGCAAACUAUUAACCUGUUUAUACCAUCACAUAUGAGGAAGUUUAAAUAUAAAUGAUAGAAGUCAUUAAUAUAUCAAUUUACCUAAGAACCUUUCUCAAAAUUAGAAUAGCAAAUAGAAAAGAUUUCCUCUGAAAAUAAUAACACCAAUAAAACUUGAAUAAAAUCUAAAAUUGCAAUCGAUCAUCUUUACUGUGGAUUGACUGUCACCAUCUUCCGAGGAACUCUAUUACCCUCCGGCAUCUCGUACCCAUCCGACAUUGUGAGAUCAUCUGGAAGAACCGUGUUACACCCGCUAGGCACUCGAAGGAAUCCAUUUACCCCUCCAAGCAUCCCUACUACAACUCAAGGCAUCGUCUUCCUAAGAACCGAUGGCAUUUCCAAAUCACACACUUAUAGCAUAGUACAACAAUUCCGCGAUUCAAGUGAAACAUGUCAUCCAAUGAGUUAAAACACAGAGACCCAUUCAACUUCACAAUCAUCAAUCUAUUGUCCAUUUGAAAACCAGAAAAAUGAUGUAGGACGGUCGGUUAUUUAGUAUUCACCAAAAACAAGUGCAGGGGGAAAUUACAAAGUCCCAAAAUCAAUCAAAAAGGCAUUUUGUCCAUCCUUAGAAAUCAACGGUAUUCACCAAUCAAAUCCACUAAAAAAAUCAUAGAAGUUUAACGGGAUGUGGAUGAGACUCUGAGGAACAUUUUUCACGGAGGACUCGAGGUCCGGUUUAGCUUGUAAAACUCCCAAUAAUUUUCUGAAAUUCUAAUCAUAAUGGAGCACAAUUCCAGAUUGCAGUCAGAUAAGGAAAUCACAUUUUGGACAUCUAAAUGAACUCCAAAAAAUCAUGGAAAAAUUCCACAUUAUAGUUUAAGAUGCGAUCUACAACUUUUGUGAAGGACACAAGUUCAAAUUGUUUCUCAAAAAUGCAGUACAAAAUGAAAAAUGAACUCGAAAAUGGCUUACAAAAAUAGUUUCGGACCUGAACAGUUUUUGAAAUAUAAUUUGUACACACAAAGUCAGAAAAAUCUGAAAUUUAAGUAUCUCAUAGAACAAGAAAAAUGCACAACUUUUGUGAAGAAAGUCCUAUAAAAUUUGCAGCAUAGAAAUUGGUCUAAAAUUAGCAAAAUCACCAUGUACAACAAAUCGAACUUUAAAAUAAUUGCGCUCCCGGACUCCAUCCACAAUUUGUGAUAUUCAAACUCAAAUGAUGGAUCGGCAUUUCAACAAUAUAUUAAUAUACUCAAGGGACUAAAUUAUUAAUACUAUUUACACAUGAAUUGUAAGAGUUUUCCUGAUAUAAGCUACGUUAAUUGAGGUUGUAGUUUACCNNNNNNNNNNNNNNNNNNNNNNNNNNNNNNNNNNNNNNNNNNNNNNNNNNNNNNNNNNNNNNNNNNNNNNNNNNNNNNNNNNNNNNNNNNNNNNNNNNNNNNNNNNNNNNNNNNNNNNNNNNNNNNNNNNNNNNNNNNNNNNNNNNNNNNNNNNNNNNNNNNNNNNNNNNNNNNNNNNNNNNNNNNNNNNNNNNNNNNNNNNNNNNNNNNNNNNNNNNNNNNNNNNNNNNNNNNNNNNNNNNNNNNNNNNNNNNNNNNNNNNNNNNNNNNNNNNNNNNNNNNNNNNNNNNNNNNNNNNNNNNNNNNNNNNNNNNNNNNNNNNNNNNNNNNNNNNNNNNNNNNNNNNNNNNNNNNNNNNNNNNNNNNNNNNNNNNNNNNNNNNNNNNNNNNNNNNNNNNNNNNNNNNNNNNNNNNNNNNNNNNNNNNNNNNNNNNNNNNNNNNNNNNNNNNNNNNNNNNNNNNNNNNNNNNNNNNNNNNNNNNNNNNNNNNNNNNNNNNNNNNNNNNNNNNNNNNNNNNNNNNNNNNNNNNNNNNNNNNNNNNNNNNNNNNNNNNNNNNNNNNNNNNNNNNNNNNNNNNNNNNNNNNNNNNNNNNNNNNNNNNNNNNNNNNNNNNNNNNNNNNNNNNNNNNNNNNNNNNNNNNNNNNNNNNNNNNNNNNNNNNNNNNNNNNNNNNNNNNNNNNNNNNNNNNNNNNNNNNNNNNNNNNNNNNNNNNNNNNNNNNNNNNNNNNNNNNNNNNNNNNNNNNNNNNNNNNNNNNNNNNNNNNNNNNNNNNNNNNNNNNNNNNNNNNNNNNNNNNNNNNNNNNNNNNNNNNNNNNNNNNNNNNNNNNNNNNNNNNNNNNNNNNNNNNNNNNNNNNNNNNNNNNNNNNNNNNNNNNNNNNNNNNNNNNNNNNNNNNNNNNNNNNNNNNNNNNNNNNNNNNNNNNNNNNNNNNNNNNNNNNNNNNNNNNNNNNNNNNNNNNNNNNNNNNNNNNNNNNNNNNNNNNNNNNNNNNNNNNNNNNNNNNNNNNNNNNNNNNNNNNNNNNNNNNNNNNNNNNNNNNNNNNNNNNNNNNNNNNNNNNNNNNNNNNNNNNNNNNNNNNNNNNNNNNNNNNNNNNNNNNNNNNNNNNNNNNNNNNNNNNNNNNNNNNNNNNNNNNNNNNNNNNNNNNNNNNNNNNNNNNNNNNNNNNNNNNNNNNNNNNNNNNNNNNNNNNNNNNNNNNNNNNNNNNNNNNNNNNNNNNNNNNNNNNNNNNNNNNNNNNNNNNNNNNNNNNNNNNNNNNNNNNNNNNNNNNNNNNNNNNNNNNNNNNNNNNNNNNNNNNNNNNNNNNNNNNNNNNNNNNNNNNNNNNNNNNNNNNNNNNNNNNNNNNNNNNNNNNNNNNNNNNNNNNNNNNNNNNNNNNNNNNNNNNNNNNNNNNNNNNNNNNNNNNNNNNNNNNNNNNNNNNNNNNNNNNNNNNNNNNNNNNNNNNNNNNNNNNNNNNNNNNNNNNNNNNNNNNNNNNNNNNNNNNNNNNNNNNNNNNNNNNNNNNNNNNNNNNNNNNNNNNNNNNNNNNNNNNNNNNNNNNNNNNNNNNNNNNNNNNNNNNNNNNNNNNNNNNNNNNNNNNNNNNNNNNNNNNNNNNNNNNNNNNNNNNNNNNNNNNNNNNNNNNNNNNNNNNNNNNNNNNNNNNNNNNNNNNNNNNNNNNNNNNNNNNNNNNNNNNNNNNNNNNNNNNNNNNNNNNNNNNNNNNNNNNNNNNNNNNNNNNNNNNNNNNNNNNNNNNNNNNNNNNNNNNNNNNNNNNNNNNNNNNNNNNNNNNNNNNNNNNNNNNNNNNNNNNNNNNNNNNNNNNNNNNNNNNNNNNNNNNNNNNNNNNNNNNNNNNNNNNNNNNNNNNNNNNNNNNNNNNNNNNNNNNNNNNNNNNNNNNNNNNNNNNNNNNNNNNNNNNNNNNNNNNNNNNNNNNNNNNNNNNNNNNNNNNNNNNNNNNNNNNNNNNNNNNNNNNNNNNNNNNNNNNNNNNNNNNNNNNNNNNNNNNNNNNNNNNNNNNNNNNNNNNNNNNNNNNNNNNNNNNNNNNNNNNNNNNNNNNNNNNNNNNNNNNNNNNNNNNNNNNNNNNNNNNNNNNNNNNNNNNNNNNNNNNNNNNNNNNNNNNNNNNNNNNNNNNNNNNNNNNNNNNNNNNNNNNNNNNNNNNNNNNNNNNNNNNNNNNNNNNNNNNNNNNNNNNNNNNNNNNNNNNNNNNNNNNNNNNNNNNNNNNNNNNNNNNNNNNNNNNNNNNNNNNNNNNNNNNNNNNNNNNNNNNNNNNNNNNNNNNNNNNNNNNNNNNNNNNNNNNNNNNNNNNNNNNNNNNNNNNNNNNNNNNNNNNNNNNNNNNNNNNNNNNNNNNNNNNNNNNNNNNNNNNNNNNNNNNNNNNNNNNNNNNNNNNNNNNNNNNNNNNNNNNNNNNNNNNNNNNNNNNNNNNNNNNNNNNNNNNNNNNNNNNNNNNNNNNNNNNNNNNNNNNNNNNNNNNNNNNNNNNNNNNNNNNNNNNNNNNNNNNNNNNNNNNNNNNNNNNNNNNNNNNNNNNNNNNNNNNNNNNNNNNNNNNNNNNNNNNNNNNNNNNNNNNNNNNNNNNNNNNNNNNNNNNNNNNNNNNNNNNNNNNNNNNNNNNNNNNNNNNNNNNNNNNNNNNNNNNNNNNNNNNNNNNNNNNNNNNNNNNNNNNNNNNNNNNNNNNNNNNNNNNNNNNNNNNNNNNNNNNNNNNNNNNNNNNNNNNNNNNNNNNNNNNNNNNNNNNNNNNNNNNNNNNNNNNNNNNNNNNNNNNNNNNNNNNNNNNNNNNNNNNNNNNNNNNNNNNNNNNNNNNNNNNNNNNNNNNNNNNNNNNNNNNNNNNNNNNNNNNNNNNNNNNNNNNNNNNNNNNNNNNNNNNNNNNNNNNNNNNNNNNNNNNNNNNNNNNNNNNNNNNNNNNNNNNNNNNNNNNNNNNNNNNNNNNNNNNNNNNNNNNNNNNNNNNNUAAUAAUAGCCUAGAAUUAAUUUACACGAAAAAUAUUAAAUAAUAUCAUUCAUUAUUUUAAUUUGUUACAAUAAUACACAAAACUUAGAGGAAAAAAUAUUAUUUAAAGAAAAAUGCUGAAAUGAUAUUUUGAAAUUUAUUUAUUUAUCAUAUAUAGCAUUUUUUAUUACUUCUUUCAUAGUAAAAGACUUUAAAAAUAAAAAUAAAACAUUUCUAAAAAAACAAAACUGAAAAAAAAAAAGACCUUGUACGUGUAUAUUUAUAGCAAUUUUAUUACUUCUUUGAUUAAUUCUUAUGUGUAUAUUUAUAUUUUGACCCCUCAAGUAUUAGAAAUUUUUAAAAUUGACCCCGCACGUGUCGGAAUCACGUGUCGGAAUUCUGGACUUAUGUGUCGGAGCGUGUCGAAAAGAGUUGACCACGUGUCGGAUUUUUCGACACUCGUUGACUGCGUAUUGAGAUGUGUCGGAGCGUGUCAGACACGUGUCAGAGUGUCGGACACGACAUGAAGGCUUCCGGAGAGUGUUCGUGCUACAUAGCUCGUGACAUAACCAAUGUUGACCGGAUCUCAAUUGGUUUGACUAAUGACCCGACCUCGGUUGACCGGUCGGAUCGUCGGUCCGAUCAAACCGUUGACCGGUCAGACCGGUUUCUGGCCGGCUCAAUAGGGAGGCGCAUGGAACUCAUGCGCCACGCAUUCCGUCAACAUGUGAGGGUGUGUGCAGCAUUAGAUUGGAGCGUGGUUUGCAUCGCUGUGCUCGUAUGGAGGUUCUCUACAUUGUGAUGUGUUUAUUUUAUAUGUUUGAUGAUUUUAUGGAUAUGAAAAUACAUGUGGAACCCUAAAGUACGUGAUUUUUAAGGUAUUUUGGGUAUUUUUCAUGUAUUUCUCUAAGGUUUCAUAAAUACGUUAUAAACUAACAUGUAUAUCAUCACAUAAAGAUAGUGUAGAGCAUUGAUUCAUUAAUGACAUGUAUAAGGUUCAGCAUGUGCUAAUGAAUAGAGCAAUGUAAGGCCCCGUUUGUUUGUAUUUCUUUUUUGUGUUUUUAAACACUUUUUUCUGUUUUUUUGUUCCUGGGAACAAAAAAAGAACAGAAACGCGUUUGGGUGCGUUUCUGUUCCUUUUUUGUUCUUUUGUUCCCAGGAACAAAAAAGAAACAGAAACAAGAAACACAAAUUUUGUGUUUCUUGUUUCUGGAACACAAAUCAGAAACACUUUUGUUUUUCUUUUUCUCUAUUUUUUUUUGUUCUUCUUUCUUUUGGCCGGUUGCCGGCCUCGUCCAUGACCAGCAACCGGCCGACGAGGGCCGGAAGAAUCUCCCAAACACGGCUAGGCUCGCCGGCCCCCUGCGAGGCCGACGCUCGCCGUCACCCGGUGAGACCGACGCUCGCCAUAACUGGGCUAGGGUCUGCCUCGCUGAGAUACACUAUACUCAUAUCCAGCGAGGAGGAACUCCGAUGACGUUGAGGCGAUGAAUACGUCGAAAUAGAGGGAGUAUAAGAACGAGACUCUAUUUUUGCGUGACAUGUAAAGAUGGGUAUCGGCGUACAUGGGUUUGGCUGAAAAAGCCUUUUGCUAAUUUUACUAGUGAUCCACGAAUGGGGACUGCUGAUCAACCUUCAANNNNNNNNNNNNNNNNNNNNNNNNNNNNNNNNNNNNNNNNNNNNNNNNNNNNNNNNNNNNNNNNNNNNNNNNNNNNNNNNNNNNNNNNNNNNNNNNNNNNNNNNNNNNNNNNNNNNNNNNNNNNNNNNNNNNNNNNNNNNNNNNNNNNNNNNNNNNNNNNNNNNNNNNNNNNNNNNNNNNNNNNNNNNNNNNNNNNNNNNNNNNCUCGGCCUCGCCUGGCGGUGGCCCGGCGAGGCCGCGCCUCGCCCGCCGCUGGUCUAGCUCGGCCCUCGCCGGCGACCGGCCAAAAGAAGAAAAAAAAAUGAAAAACAAAAAAGAAAAAAAGGAAAAAUAAGAAAAAAAUAGAAAAAAUAAAAGAAAUAAAAAAAUUAUCCAAAUUUACCAAACAUGUUUCUGUUUAUUUUUUAUUCCCGGAACAAGUUUACCAAACGCGUAUUUUUGUUCAAAAAUUGUUCCCUGGAACAUAAAUACUUUUUUCUAUUUCUAUUCCCUGGAACAAUUUUUAAACAUAAACACAACCAAACGCGCCCUAAUUGGCAUAACAUGUUGUUUUAGUGACAAAUUGCCCCGUCAUUUGGUCUAAAAUUACAUGUAUAAGAUGAAUGUGAGUCAUAAGUUUAUAUCUCUAGUAUAAAAGAAUUUCAAUGAUUCCAUUGUCUUGUAACUACCAAAAUGGCACACUUGAUUGGAUUUAAGAAAUAUCGGUCUCAUAUUAUGAUGUGAUGUAUGCUGUUCUAAUCGAUGGUUAAUUCCUAAAUGAGAUAAUUGGGUGUUGGUUCAUGGAGAGAUGCAUGUACAACAUAUAGUUGGGGAGUGACUGACCUUAAUGUUUUAUAUACCCAAAUGUGGUGAAUUCGCAAAAAGUUAGAAUAUAUUCUUAUAACCGCUGUCAUGUGGAGAGCAUAUAAUUGCAUGUUAUGUAUUCUGCUCAAAGAUGUUUAUAUGAUGAUACGUGUAGCUCUUGGGAUGUGUACUUAUAUGGUUUUCAAGUUACACAAUACUCACAUGAUACCAAUUGCAUAUACUGCUUGUCAUUAAGUUACAUUAUUUGUAAUGACAACUCCGUUGUGAUUGAGAUUCUUACUGGGUCAAAUUUUAGGUAAUGUAAGGAGGAUUUUCUGUUUGGAAUGAAGCUGGUAGAUGUUUAUAUUACUCUUACAAAGAAUAAGCUUGCAAUUUCAUUGUUAGUGAUAUGAAACUAGAAAGUACUUGUCGCCGCUUAGGAAAAGGAAAAUUGAAUUUUUCCGUUAUCCAUGAAGCGUUCCAUUGGGAACACUCGAAAAUGGUUUACCAGCUGACUACAUUGCUAAAAGGAUGAUGGAAGUUUUAGUAGCUUGAAAUUGUGUUUUGUCUAAUUCUGAGAUUGAGAUAAAUGUAAGGACUCUUCAACAUAAGGUGUAAUGAUUAUGAAGAGGUUAAGGAUUACAUCCUAAGGAUGGUAGAUUUGAAGUUCAAAAUCAUACUCAUAAAGGAACUCAUGAAACCACUGGUUAUUCUGUCAAUCUGGUAUGAUGAUAGCACCUUUUAAAAGAAAUUAUGUCAUUCACUACUCUUGUGGAAAAGAAAUGACACAUAAGGAACACUGUAAUGAAUAUAAAGCUUGGUUGUCUAAGCGUAAGUCUGGAGUUGAUGAUUCCUUAGCAUUCAUUUAUGAAUCCAAUUCCUAUUAAAAGCUUCAUUCGGUUCUUGGUGGCUAGAUUACCAUAAGGGGAUUAAUAAAUCUAAAGAAGCUAAAUCUUGAUGAAUCAUAACUCAUCAUGAGAAACAACAUUUAACGAUGAUUUAGUGGAAGGUAUUGUUUUGACUAUGCAUUCUGGAUUCUGGUUUGCAUUUAAUGUUGAGAAGCACUUUAUAUACAUUUCUUUAGACGAAACUUAAUUUCUAUAUCAUGUCUGGAAAUGUGUGGCUACUCUCUUGAAGUAUAGAAUAAUGCCGUUUCUCUAUUUUUGAAGUCAAAUAAAGUCGAACGCUACAAUAUAUGAAAUGUAUUAUACUAAUUGUGCUGAUCUCCCAAUAAUAUGUACGUCGUUUUUAUAGUUAAAAAAAUUGUUUUCAAUAAAUCUUAUCUAGGGAACAGUCUUAUACAUUGUGGCAUAAAAAUUUUGAUCAUAGAAAGAUUGAUAAUGUUAUAUAGAAUUUUUUUUUUCAACAUAGUCAUUGAAGACUAUUUUUUUAAAGAAAAGUCUGAAUCUUUUGAUAGAUUCAAGUUCUUUUAGACUAAAAUUAAGAAACAAUUGGGAUAAGUUUUAAAGAUUGUCAAAUAUGACUGCAUAUUUUGACAAGUAUGGCAAUAUUGGAUAAUUUAAAGGGUCACUUUGUCAAAUACUUGGAAAGAUUCUGGAAUGGUAACUUAAGGCACAUUUGGUAAUAUUUCUAUUUAAAAACUGUUCUAGGAAACAGAAAUAGAAAAAAGUGUUUCUGUUCCGGAAAAUAAUUUUUGAACAAAAAAACACAUUUGGUAAACUUGUUCUGGAAAUAAAAUAUGAACAGAAACGCGUUUGGUAAAUUUGUAUAAUUUUUUUAUUUAUUUUAUUUUUUAAUAUUUUUAUUUUAUUUUUUCUAUUUUAUUUUUUAUUUUCUUAUUUAUUUUUCCUUUUUUUCUUUUUCCUUUUUUCUUCUUUUGGUCGGUCGCCGGCCUCAGCCAUGGCCGGCGACCCGCCGACGAGGGCCGGCGGCCUCGCCGUAGCUAGGCGAGGCUCGGCCUUGCCUUGGCUGGGCGAGUUCGGCCUCGCCGGGAUUUGGGCGAGCUCGACUCGCCGGGGGCUGGCGACGCUCCGGCGAGGUCGCCGGCCCUCGACGGCCGGUUGCCAACCCUAGUCGAGGUCAGCGACCAGCCAAAGAAAGCCAAAGAAAAAGACGAAAAAAAAAAAGAAGAGAAAAAAGAGAGAAGAAAAUGGAAAGUGUUUCUAAUUUUUGUUCCAGAAACAAGAGACAACUUUUUUUUUUGUUUCUUGUUUCUGUUCCAGAUGUGUUUCUGGGAACAAAAAAAAUAAAUUUUGGAACAAAAACGCAAACAAAUGCGUUUCUGUUCCUUUUUUGUUCCCAGGAACAAAAAAACAGAAAAAGUGUUUAGAAACAGAAAAAAGAAAUAAAAACAAACGUAGCCUUAAUUUACUACGCCCAAAAAUCUUGAAAAAAUUGGUGUGGCCGAAAGGCAUAAUUGCAUCAUAAUGGACAUAAUAGUGAGUAUGAUUAUUAGGACUAAUUUAUCAAGUUUUCUGGAACGAAACAACACAAUAUGCAUUACACCGAAUUUCUACCAAAAAUAUUUUAAAUCGUUUUGAGUCAUGGGCUGGACGUAAACUUAUCUUGAACCAUCUUAAGGUUUGAAAUGUCCUGUAGAAAUGAUGUUAUAUGAUCCAACAUUAAGUAAGUUGAAGUGUAGAAUCCCUCGGUGUUAUUUCGUAUCUUACCUAGGUCAUUCAAAGGGAUAUCGAUUCUAUGAUCCCAAUGAAGAUACAAGAAUUGUGGGAUCACAGACAACAUAACAGGGUGGGUCGGGUACAAGGUCCAAUACAAACAUGGUCGGAUAUAAGGUCCAGAAAAAAGGAACCGGUUAUAACAGGGUUGAGUAUAGGAUUCAGGUCUAAACUUUACCCACCCUAGACCCAAUUACCCCUAACAAUCGGGGACAAGGGGUGCCCCACUUUGUCGGGAACAUACAUCUUAUGCUUUUCCCACAGGACAAACAUUGAAUCGGUAGAGAAGAGCAACAUUUUUCACGUCCGAAAGAUAGUGAUGCCCCCAUUGAAAGAGAGAUCUUUUUAAUUAAAACCCAAAAAAGAUGCAGCGAAUUUAUUAUUUUUCCCCAUAUUGGCCACCAACAAAGAAUAGAAUCCGAUCAUCACGUCCAUUCAAUUAACAAUGUGGGGAAAAAAUUAAAAAAUUUAAAAAAUAUUAUCAAACGUUGUCAACGCCAGAACCAACUAUGACGUAGGAUGGCCAGUGGAGAAGUAUUAACAUUAGCAAUUUGUAGGUCAAAGCUAGUUAGAUUGACUUGAUGGCAAAUCGUAAAGAGAUUUUGUGAUAAUCAACAAAAUUAAAAGGUUUAUGACUAAAUUAAUAAAAAAGAAAUUUUUGGGAUAAUUUUCUCAUUUUUUAUGUAAUAUGUAAGCUUGUAAAUUUGUUUUGGAAGAAGAAGAAGAAGAAGAAGAAGAAGAAGAAAGGCCAAAAAGAAAAGGGGGCGGGCAGAUAGACCGGAGACGUGAUUUGAGAGAAAGGCCAAGAAGAAAAAGGGGGCGGGUAGAUAGACCGGAGACGUGAUUUGAGAUCGGGCCAUGUUUGUUUUGCUAAAGCCCCCUUUUCUAGCUCGUGGCCCUUUUCAAAGGCUUUGGAGGCGGUUUCAUCUUCGCACGUGGGGAAUAGAUUCUUUGCUCUCUCCGUAUAUAAUUUCCAAUAGCCGUUAAGGUAAAGUCUUUCAACAUAAAAAUAAAAAUAAAUAAAUAAAAAACUGAAUUGAUGUCAUGAUCUAGUUAGAAAACCCAAUGAGAACAAGACAAAAGUUAAAGGGAGCUAUGUUCCAAUUGUAGUUUGAGCAUCCCUAGAGGAAUAUCACUGGAGUUGACCAAAAGAAGUAGCUAAAAAGAAAGAAAAAGAAAACGAUUAACGAUACACUUGCUGUUCCUUUUUCCAAUUGCUAAAGCAUGGGCUCGGCAUGUCUUAUUACAUCCUAUGUAGCACCGACACGGACACGUGACACGUGACACGACACGACACGACACGUCGACACGUCAUUUCUUAAAAAUAGAGAAUUUCGACACGUUCCGAUACGUUAUAUAUUAUAUAUAUUUUUAUAUAUAAAUACAUAAAUAAAUAAUAAUAAAAAUAGCCUAGAAUUAAUUUACACAAAAAUUAUUAAAUAACAGAAAAUUACACAAAUAACCUUUGAACUUUAGUAGAAUAUGUAAUGUUGCUUCUAAGCGUGUUUGAUGCGAUAUAUAUUUUGAUUCAUAUGCAACACCAUCAAUGAAUUUUACUUGAUUCAAUAUGAUCAUGGAUUUUGAUCUAAUUUUNNNNNNNNNNNNNNNNNNNNNNNNNNNNNNNNNNNNNNNNNNNNNNNNNNNNNNNNNNNNNNNNNNNNNNNNNNNNNNNNNNNNNNNNNNNNNNNNNNNNAGAUUAUACUAAACAUUAUUAAUAAUUUACGGACCGUAUUAAACAAAUUAAAAGUUGAGAGACGAUAUUACACAUUGAUCAAAAGUUCAAAAAUCAUUUGUGCAAUUAUCUCUCUCUUUUUAAACUUCGAUUACUUCUUUUUCUCAAUCUAUAUCUUAAUCUCUAUCAAUAGCCUAGUCUCUUUCCCCCUUUUUCCUUGGUUUUCAACUUCUUUUUUUGUAAUGUGUUAUGUUCAAUUGACAUUAAAAAAAUUAUUCAACCGUAAUUUAGGCAUAUGAUGGCAUCAAUGUUGAACAUCCGUAAAUUUUUCUAAAGUCGGAAAUAGGGUAUUAGUAUUUGAAUAUCGGCGCAUCGAUUUGGAGCUUUUCGACCACCUAACUAGUCCGCACUAGACCUGAUAGUGUCCAUUUCGAGCAAUCCACUGUGCGUAGAAGUUAUGAUUUUUAACGGCACUAAUCUUUCUUGUGCAAUUUAUAAUAGGCAUCUGUCGGAAUCGAAUGUUUCCUUGAUCUAUGUGUCUAAGUUGUCUAGAGCGAAAUCUUCCGCUUUGAUAAUGCCCCAUCUAAUGGUAGAGAUUUGUUAAGCCAUCAGAAAAGACACCAGAUAUAAAUAGAGACCGUCUUGCUUGAAUCUUGAACUUACUUUAUUUAUCUUUUAGAAACGUUCAUCUAUUAAAUUCUCAAUUCCCCAAUUACCUCACACUGCUAAUACCCAGUGCGACCAUAUACUUUCAUGGCACGCUCAACGAUAUAACGAAUUGAGGGCUUUUAUCCAAUAAACCAGAUCAAAUUUCUUGUGAAUUUAUCCAUACCCAUUUUUCAAACUUCAAAUUACCCUAAAAAUAUCGGAUGUACGACCUCUAACUAAACCGUGACUGUUCACUAAUUUCGUUCUUUUCUUCCCCUUCAAUUCGGCAUAAAUAGUUUCUACAUCUUAGUUCUCAACAACGUACGCACCCAAUCAGUGAUGUCCAUCCGUCGAGACUAAUGAAAAGUCAAGACGAAUCCUUCCCAUCUUGUUUGUCCUAAUUACAUAUUUGAACCAAAUAUACCCCACUCGCUAUCGAUUCUCCUCGAAAUGAUCCUGGUGGUUGCGCUUCUCGGCGGCUUAUUCAAUUCCAAAGAAGGGAGGAUCGUUCAAGAAAAAAUUCCUUGAACCACCUUCCCUUAGGGUUUCUAAUCGUUUUAUGGUGCCCAAAAAUUCGUCCAAUGACCAACGACCAACCAACCAUGUCAUACCAUGUGCGUCGAAAAGCUAAAAGCCAAAAAGCAUCCUGCCACCGUACAUUAAUAGUUAAAUUACACAGCUUCGAUUGCGUGUUUAUCCAACGUAUCAUCCUAAACAUUUUCUCUCUCAUGUGGACUAUACUUAGAGCAAGUCUAUAAAUAGUCUCGCCCCAUUUAAGAUCAAACGCGUCAUUUAUUUGAUGAAUUUAGAGGAUUCAUGUUCGGAAUUCGGAAAAUUGCGAUACGGGUAGCUGUUGGUUGAAUAAGGACGCAUUGAUCUAGGAAUUUCUGGUAAGCGAAACCUUGUUUAAAGUCUCUCUCUGUCGCUCUCCCUAAAAGCUUGAAAAGACCCAUGCCAAUCAAGAUAGCGUCUCUCUCUCGCUUGUGCUUCGAGCCUCCGCUUGACACUGUGCUGCUUCUUCCUGCUCCUGCCCCACUUUGUGAAAAGCAUAUGUUGUCCGUCUGCCGGCAAAGUGCUUGCGAUCCUUCCUCGUGACGACGAAACCACUUUCUGUUUUCGCAGGUUCGCUCGGUGUCCCUUGCGGAUUCGUCUUGCAUCUCCACCCGCGGCCGAAAGUCACUACCAAGAUGAGAUGAGACAAGCCGUGUCACAAAUCUUCAGCCGAAUCAUCGCAGCGUGCACCUCACCGAACCACCACCGUGGCCAUCCUUUAUUUGUGUUUUUGCAUGUGAUUGUGCACUCUGAGCAGAAAUCCCCUUCGCUAAAUCUAUUUGCACACGCCUUCAGCUGCUGGAUGAUCUUUUUUCUUCGCUUUUCGUGUUUGUGUACUGACCACUUACCAUUAACAUGCAGUAUAUUCCCGAGGAUCUCCGUCUUCAUUGGAAUAUCAGUCAUCUGGGUGUGCUCUGCCGCGGAAGCAUUCCAAAAACCUCAGCUCACUUCUUAGGCAGGCCACGCCACACCAAGUUACCAACCUUUUUUUCUUUUCUGGGGGUAGAGAUAGAGGUCUGGAAGUAAUACGCUUCCCAGAUAUGGCACGCUCAAAGGCAGCAUCAGAAGUUCAGUACGAUGUGUUCAUGAGUUUUAGCGGAGCAGAUACUCGUUUUGACUUCACAGACUUCCUCAAUAGAGACUUGAUUAGUGCCAAAAUCCGCGUAUUUAGGGACGAAGAUGCAAUCAAGGUGGGUGAUAAGAUUGGUGAGACAAUUCUACAAGCUAUCGACAACUCCAAAAUCUACAUACCCAUCAUCUCUCAAACUUAUCCUGACCGUAAAUGGUGUCUCAUCGAACUUGAACGGAUGAUGUACAAUGUGUUUAGGUCAAACGGCAAAAAAAGGAUUUUUCCCAUAUUUUAUAAAGUGGAACCUAGGGUUGUUAAACAUCGCACUCCACGCCCAAAAACUCUGUCCUCUGAAGUCGAACUUAGGGCAUUCAAAGAGGCUCUUGCAAAAGUUGGUCAAAUCAAGGGAUGGAAGGUCGAGGAGCGACAAAGGUAAAACUAACUUUAAAAUGCCUGCCUAAUUUUUUUUUUUCUUUUUCUGGCUUCAGGGGAUAAAACAUUGCCCUAUCGAAUCAUUUCUUUUCUUCUUGUUUUUUAAAUGAAAAAUUUUGAAAACUACCUCCAAUUCCAAGUGGUGCUCCUAUUGAACUUUACAUCCUCUACUCGAUAUCUUCCCCAAUAUUUCAGUUGUUAUAGCUAGUGCUGGUGUUGGGGAAUUUGUUACGGGUUUUGGGGUUAUAUAAAUUGUCAUCACCAAAUUGCAAUGUUCAAUGGAUGACUUUGAAUUUGUCUACUUUUUCUCUCUAUUACAAGUGUUGAAAAUCUUUUCCAGGCUUUAGCUAUAAAUAUUGAAAUUUUGCUUGGGCACCGUGUCUUUGAUAAUUUCAGCCAUUGUGUAGACCACUACCAUAUAGAAAAAGGCAUUCGGUGAAUUCAAUUAUGCUAAAUUAGCCUAUACUAAUUAUUAAGUGUAUUUAGAUAUUGUUUAUAACCACGUGCAAUGUGUGGGUAUGAAUUAAAUCUACUCAACUAAUAAAAGCGCUUUUGUGUAUGGUAGCCAAGCAAAAAUUGUUGAUUCGGUCGUUCGAAAGGUUUUGGAGGAGCUAGACAAAAAAGAUGAGUCACAGACUAAGCGGAUUGAGUUUGAUGACUUGACACAGUCACUUGAAGACUCUUAUAAUCACGCAGUGAUGGUACCAUAUCUUCUUCUUCAUCAAUGUACAAUUGAUGCCCAUGAAUGCAUGGAUUUGAAAUUUGAUUUGUUCUAAUCUCGGCUUGAUGCUAUAAUUUGGUAGAACUACACAAAUUGCAAGAAGUUAAAUGUUAUUCCAAAAUUUAAGCAGACAAAAAUAUACUUUCUAAUUAGUUAGUGUUCCUUCAACACGUUCUUUUUAAUUGGAAAUGUUAUCUUUUAUAAAUUAAAUAAGUGCACAAAUAAAAGUCUCGUAAACUGUCAUUUUUAAAUUUAUUUCUUGCCGUACAAUUCAUUGUUGGACGUUGUGUGAUGUGAUGAGUUAUUUUUUCCAUUUUUUUUAUACUAUUUGCAAUAAUCACCCUUUUGAACAUUUACAUUCUUGCGUACUAGCCUGCAGAUUUCGAAAAUGGUUUAUCUUAUCCCGUUCCUUCUCUAGUUUUCCAGUCCACGUAACCAUCAAAUGUUACCUAAAAUCUUGUUGUCCUAAAGCAUAAGGACAGGAGGCUAUUCUCCAAAGGUCGAUUAAUGGCUUUGUAAAGGCUCGACAGAUCCUCCAACCCCAUUCCCCCUCCCACUUUCUGUCUUCACCAGUUCCUCUCAUCUUCUCCGGCGUACUCAAGUUCAAUUUUAGAAUUUUCCCCACAAAAAAAAAGAAACAAAAAAGAUUUUUCGCUUGAUUGCCCUACAAACAGAGACUGGAGUUUUAAAUAUUGACAUGGUAUAAGCUGGCAGUGCACGUGCUACUAUUUUAAUAAGUACUUUUUUCCUAGCUUUCGAUAGUCUCUUUUCCUUUCCUUCCCCUGCCCCACUUCAAGUUUAAAAAUUUCUUCCAUACAAUGAAUUGCAAAAGACAAACCUCAUAUUUUCGAAUAGUGUAUGAAAUUUUACUUACCGUACCACCUUGACUACAGUUUUUGGUUGUCAGUAGGACAAACAUUGCAAGAUACAAAAUAAUCUUUAGGAGCCACACACGUCUAGAUGUUGAUCAUUAUAUGAAGUACAUAGAUGUGGUGGUUCAUAUGUACCGUAGGAAUUAGUCUAGCUAAAUAUUAUCACUAUACUAUACGAAGAAUGUUUACUUUUCUUUUCUUUUCUUUUUCAUAGAAAUAAUUCUAUUGACCCCGAUUUCCGAGUAACUGUAUAAGUAUAAACAAUAUGUUUCCAAAGCAACCUAAUCUGUUCUUGAUUAGAUGAUUAGUGAGAAAAGAUUAGCAUUAUCUUAAUUGUGCAGUGCUUAAAACUUAUGCGGAAGUUCAACGUGGUCCAAGUGCAGCGGUAUCCCGGAAGUGCAGCUAGUACAGGGAGGGGAUCGAGGAAUCUACGCAUAAAUAGGCUGGAGGACGUGUACAUGGAGGAGGGCAGUGGGAGUACAGGGAAGAGAGGGAGCAGUGGAAGUAGCAGAAGAGGGAGGAGCAGUGGAAGCAGCAGAAGGAGUAGCGGGAGGAGCAGUGGAAGCAGCAGCAGCUGGAGAGAGAGGAGCAGGAGCAGUGGAAGCAGCAGAAGUAGCAGCGGGGAAGAGGAAGCGGGGGAAGCGGUGAGAGGAAGUAUUCGUUUGGGGAAUUCUUGGUGUACCUCUUUAAAGCGUUGUGUUUUAACCUCUCUCUGCUUAAGAACAAGGAAACAAGUCAAUAAAUGGAAGUAGAUGGGUUAUGGACGCCGCCUACCUCUCCAGGUCACUAAUACUGCAACUUUAACGGAACAAAAUAUUACAAUUUUCUUUUUCUUUUUCUUUUUUGUCAUUUUCAAAUCUAUGUUCCCUUUUGAAUUCCUAUUCUAUAGUAAGAGUACUUACGGACAUAAGUUCUUGAUUGGUAUCUCAAUUAUUUUUUUGAGGUGAUACAUUUUGGAAAUGCUACUUGAUUGCGGUGAUUUGAUCCUUUGAAACAUUUUGGAUCAUGAAGAAAUCUAAUGGAUUUCCAACGUCAACACAGAAUAAUCACUCUUAUGAAGGGUGCUGAUAGUUAAUAUCGGAUUCAGGAGUUUGACUUUCACAGCCAUCUUCUAGCCAGAUAUAUUACUUUCGUAACGAAGCUCGGAUCUGUCCCUAGAUAAAAAAUGAGAGCAGAAUUUACGAGUAUUGGGAAGAUAAAAGAGCUACAGCUUCUUUCUGGCCAUGCUACGAGAUUGAUCCUCGCUCUAUUCGCGCUGAGGUUCUUAAUCUUAUUAUAGAAAGACCCCACUACAGAUGGCAGCAACCAUCGGACGCAUGAAAUUUCUAGACGGGAUUCUUGAUCGGAAACCCGAACUCGCUAAAGAGCAAUUAAAUGGUGCUCACAAACUGUGACGAAACUGUCGAGUGUCGAGGGGGACAUGUACUGCAUUGGCGACCAGUACAGCAGAAGAAAUCCCCUUCGUCUUGCGGCUGUGGAAUGCCGAUCCGGCAUUUUGAGGAGCUGGUUCGAGAGAGGCCGAGGGCGGCCCGUGAUGAGAUUGUUUAAUUUCAUUGCGUGAGGCAUAAUAAUUCAAAAGGGCUUGGAAGCUUUUCGUGGAGACUCCGGGAGAUCAUGACAUGAGCAAUUUCGGUCGUGUCCAAACCACGAAGAGGGAUAGAUAGAGGCAGCAAAUUUUGGAGUUGGGAUAAAUUUGGCCAUUCAUUUGCCCCUUUCAAAAACAUCUCUCUUUUUAUGGCCUUUUUAUCCUUUUACAGCUCUAAAUAUCUGCAGAAAUGCCAUGAAGAGUACGUUUCGUCCUAAGCAUGAAGUUGAAAGGCUUCAUCUCAAUGCUUAUCUGGAUCUGGAGAUCCCUAGAUGUAAAAUACUCAGAGGGUACUAUCGGGUACAGGAUAAGAAAAAUAUAUUGUAUUGAUUGGAAAGGUGAGGCAAACAAAUACCAACAUAUUAAAAUAAGAAACGCAUCUUGAAAAUCCAGUCCAAAAGAUAGGGACUGGUGCAAGAGGCCCUCGUAGGGAAGAAGUCCCCUUCCUUGGUGAGGAAAUCCUUCAAUCGCAUCAAGGAUCCGAGAGAGCCCCUGGAUGAAGGUUUUUCUUGAAAAGGACUGAAUAUUCCAUUCUUUCCUUUUGUCGUCCAUUAACUAAUUAUUAGGAAAUACUUACUAUUUGAGUAUACAUAACAAGUCGAAAACAAAAAAAAACAAUUGUUAGUCUUGGCGCAUAUGGUCGUCGAAUUGCGUAACCCGUCUAAGUCACUAUGAAGUUAAUAGUUGUAUUAGGACAAGAAAAGGUUAUGAAAGUCCGCGACAGAUAACAUAUAAUAAUGCACGGCAAGACCGAUAUUAGGAAUUUGUUUGAUGGUGGAUAUAAUUCGUGAAUUGGUUCUAGUUCCAAGAAAGCUAUGCAAAAUAAGUUUAAGAAUUAUGAGAAAACAGCAAUAAAAGAUAUUGUACAUUAUGUAUAUAAGAAAAGAGGAACACCUUUGAAAAUAAAUUCACCAAAAAAAAAAAAAAACACCUUUGAAAAUAAGAUAUAUGACCCAAUGAAGGUCGUUGGAAAAAACAAUCUCGGUGAUCGGAAAUGAUGAAACUUUUCCAUAAUUUUCAAAAGCGAUGUCGAAAUAAACAAAAAGUGAAUCCGAAUUUUUUUUUCAAUUGAUUUCUAUGUAGGGGAAAAAAGAGGAAAGUAUGAUUGACCCACAAAAUCAUUAUACAACUAAUAUUGUGGCAUAUGGGAAACCCCAAAGAUCAACCAUUUUUUUGGGGUAGAAUUAAAAAAAAAAAAAAAGGAAAAAUUCCAAAGAAAGAUUUGAAACGCCUUUAUUUUCUUAAAUAAAAGCCUAAAAUGAAUCUUGUUUCAAAUAAGGGCUAAAGUGCCAUCAUCUCUUAAAUAAUGGCCUAAAGUAGAUCCUAUUUUAAAGAAUGGCCUAAAAUGACUAUGUUUAUUUCAAAUAAGAACUUAACUUUCUGGCUUGUCAAAUGCGUUUUAGUUAUUUUUUUUUCUUUUUUUUUUCUUUCUCUAGUUUUUCUUUCUUCUUUGCCGAUGGCUCGGCCACCAACCAUGCCGGAAAGAGCUGGCUGAGGGCGACUCGAUCCAACGAGAGCCGCCCUCACUGAUGCCAACAAGGGACAGCCUCACCUAGGUGAGGCGGCCCCCGCCCUAGGCUAGCUAGGGCUGAUCUUGCCAACGGCUGGCGAGGGAUAGCCUUGCCCUAGGCUAGGCCACCCUCACGGCCAUCGGCAAGGUCACCUCGCUAGUGCCCAGCGAGGAAUGGCCUCACCUAAAAGAGGCAACCCUUGCCUUGGAUGAGGUUGCUUUUGUCAAUAGCCAGCAAGGGUCGUCGAGCCCCCGUCAGCCCCAAACGAGGCCAACCUUCACCGAUUAUGGUUAAUCCAAUAUUUGUCCCAACUCUUAACAAAAGCUUGAAUUUCACUAAUAAAAAAAAAGAACUAAAAUUUGUCCCGAUCCACUAGAGCAAUGUGACAAAAACUAUUUUUCCGGAAAAGGGUCCUUUUUUUUUUUUCCUCUGGGCAGAAUUUAUUCAAGCAUACUAGACAUAUACAGGUGAAAAGCCAAGGCGAAGAACUCAAAAGAUAAUGAAAGUUCUUGCCACUGCAUCCAGUUUAAGAGAAAAUAAUAAUAAUAAUAAUAAUAAUAACAAACAGGUGGAGAUGGGACAGAAGCAAAAGAGUAAAAAAGGACUCUCCAGAAUAAGCACCCAUCUCUUAAGUUAUCCAUCGCUUACCUGAAGGCCAGAAGGCCGGUUCCGGUGCCGCUUAUCAGAGAGAGAGAGAGAGAGAGAGAGCUGCGAGCGUGAGGACGAGAGCAAGAAAUGUUGGGUUACGAGACGGACGCUAGUCGGCGCGAAAACUAUAAGGAGGCCGAGGACUAGGCAAAAUCGACAGCAGAAUUCUAACCAACAAAAAAAAAAAAAAAAAAAAAAAUCGACUGCAGAACUUUUUCUUUUUAAAAUUUGUACGGAAGAAGCAAUAAUCCUUCGCUUUCACAAAAUAUUCAAUCAUGUGCUCUUACUUUUUUUUCCCAAUUAAAAUACAACGUUUUUUUAAUUUAAUUUUCAUGUAUACCUAAUGUUUCUCCGAAAAGUGUCCAUUAAACACCUUUUGAAAUAUGCAUCAAUAUGAGAAUUGACAAAUGAUGUGAAUGGUACUUUGUUGAUUUUUGGACCGUGAAACAUGUAUUGACACAAAUUUUAAAAUUAAAGGUAUAAAAAUCAGAGGCAAUCAUAGCCGGUCAUAUAAAAGGGUACCGAAAUGUAAAGAUAAUAAAAAGAUAAAAUCGAGCAAUAAUUUUGGUAAUUUUUUAGUCGAAUUAUAAUCAUGAUAUUUAUAGCUACUAGUGACUGCAAACAACAGUUACAAAGAAAACAAAUCACAUUUUAUGUUGAGAACGAUUAUAACGAACAACCCAUGUUUCUCGGCCAUUAGCAGUAGUGGCUUUCAAUAUUCACAUCUGAUCGUGCUCAUGCUGGAUAGUUAUAAUUGUAGCCGAAAUCAUUGAUUGGAAGACUUGAACACUUAUAUCGCUCUUGAUUCGUCGAUCUUCGCUUGAACUUCGGUUCUUUUGUCGAUUGAACCACAUUUCACUUACCAACAUUCAGUGACUCAACAGUACCCAAUUCUCUUUUUAUAUCGCGUGUCACCAACUCCUCAUCUCUUCUAUCGAUCGUCUAUGGUUGCCAGCAAAAAGGACUCGGCAGAUUUUUCCUCAUCUAUGUCUUGCUGGUUCUUUCCUCGUGCGAGUCGAUGGUCAAGGACUUGGGCAAUUUUUGGUGUAAACACACACAUAUACGUACAAAAAAGCUAAAAUGGGACAAACCAUGUCAGCGCCACGACAUUACUGCUUAAUCUAGUCGUUGAUGUGGAAAUAAAAAGAAAAUAUUAAACAGAAGGAGAAAUUUUUUUUUUUAAAUGCUGGAAAAUCAUUCAGAUUGUUCUAUAUCUUUUUAAGGUUUUUCGUUGCCGCAUACGAUGUCACGUGCUUGAGUGUGAGUGUGAGUGCGCGCGUAUAUAGACAAAAUUCUUAAACAAUAUUUAUUAUGAAGUUUCUAAUAUCAUUCCAAAAUUGAGAAAAAAAAAUCAAAAAAGUUCUAAACCUAUUAUAAUUGACUAAUUCAAUCUUAAACUUAUUUUUUUACUAAUUGUGUCUUAAAUUUUUUGUAAUUGUGUCUCAGUCCAUUUGUCCAAAUUUGGCCAGCCGACACUAAUGUGGCACCGAUGCUAGUGUAACACAACUGACACUACCAUUGAUAAUUUUUAAUAAUAUUUUAUUAUAUUUUAUUAUUAUUUUAAAAAAAGAUUCUUUUCUUUCUCUUUAAUUUUUUUUCCCUCUUCCUCCUUCCUUUGGCCGGUCACCAGACUAAGGCGACCUCGCUAGCCAAUGGCUAGGCGAGAUUGACCUCACCCACCCUUGAUGAGGCUCGCCUUUGCCAAAUCUAACAAGGUCUUGCCUUGCCAAUGGUUGGGCAAGCUUGCCCUUGCCCACUGACGGUGAUGCGAGCCUGGCCUUUGGUCAAUCACAUUAGUUCGAUGACCGGUUAGAGGAAGAAGGAGGAAUGGGAAAAAAAAAAGAGAAAAAAACUUAAUAUUACUAAAAAAUUAUCCACAUCAGCAUCGCCCCACCAGAUGGACUAAAUUGUAUUAAAAGGUUUAGGAAGGUUUUGGAUUAAAUUGGCCAAAAGAAAAUCGAUGACUAAAUUAGCACAAUUGCAAUAAGUUUGGGAAUUUUUCUUAUAUCCUUUCCAUAAUUACUGAAGUGCAACGUUCACGGAUCCUCAGCUUCGGAAUAAGGAAAGGUCAAAAAGGGGCGAACAAUAUCACGUCUCGGCAAGUGAGUAAUGCCACUUCUAUCGUCGAGCUACAAAUAAUGCAAAUUUAAGGAAUAUAUGCACUCGCAACCAACAAGCAAUCCGAUAACUAAGUGCAGUAUCGAUUUCCAUAUAGAUGCCGACAUAAAUCAAUAGUAGUCGGCAAAAGCUAAAAUCAAUUGCAAUGUCGAGAACCCUAGGGUCCCACUUUGCUAGGUGACGAUGGUUAUGCCCUAAAAAUUUACUUCGGCUGUGCCCGUGAUUAAGUCCCAAAAACAGAACCGCUCUGCACAUAUGUUCAUGUCUCAUAUUCUCAUCACAUAUAGGCUGACAAUGAGUACAAAUCAAAUAACUUAAUUUGAUUAUGCCGCCAUGUGUAAUAUAACAAUGAUAAAAUUAUCUCGUAUACCUGUCUUCUCAACGCACUUUAAGUACAGCACUUAAAUGGUCGAAAAAUGUUCAAAGCCUGAUUCGGUUGUUGAAAUAGCAUGCCAUAAAAUCUUUCAUUUUUAUAUCUCAUCGUAAAGUACGUGCCAAAACUAAGCUCGAUAACACGACCUGACCAGCAUUAGGAACUAGAUUUUUGGUAACUCUCUCCUAGCGUUUCCGGUUUUUUUUUUUUUUCCUGGCCUCUUCCCUAGUUAUGUUUUCAUGCCGUUAGGUUGUUUACCCAAUGAUUCCAAGAAUAAAUUACUAUAAUUAUUUUCUUCUCUUACUACAUUCCGUUCUUUUCUUUUUUUGGUCAAAACAACACUUCAUUCAUUUGCACAGAAAAAUAAGAAAGAAACAAUGCGGUCCGAUUGUAACCAAGACAAAUCCUAAAUAAUAUCGAUAUAAUAAUAUAUUGCUCCGUUAAAAUUGUAAUAUCAGUGGCCUGGAGAGGUAGGCGGAGUCCAUAACCCAUCUACUUCUAAUUAUUGACUUGUUUCCUUGUUCUGAAGCAGAGAAUGGUUGAAACGCGAUCCAAAAAAAAGGUACACCAAGAAUGCUCCAAACGAAUAUCUUGAAAACGUCCCCUGACUGCUUCUCCCGCUUCUUCUCCCCCGCCGCUACUCCUUCUGCUGCUUCCACUGCUCCUCCCUCUUCUGCUGUUUCCACUCCCUCUCCUCCCUGUGAUCCCACUGCCCCCUCCAUGUACAUGUCCUCCAUCCUAUUUAUGUUUAGACUCCUCCAUCUGCUCCCAGUACUAGAUCUGCUUAGACCCCUCGCUGUCCCUAUACUUCCUCUGCUUAGACUCCUCCCUCUCCCGGUAUACCACUGCACUUGGACCACGUUGAAAUUCCACGUAAGUUUUAAGCACACUGCACAAUUAAGAUAAUGCUAACCUUUUCUCAGUAAUCAUCUAAUUUAGAACAGAUUAGGUUGCUCGUGGAACAUAUUGUUUAUACUCCUACAGUUACUCAAAAACUGGGGUCAAUAGGAUUAUUUUUAUAAAAGAAAAAAGAAAAGAAAAGAAAAUCGAAUAGUAUAGUGCUAACAUUUAGCUUGACUAAUUCCUAUUGGCACAUAAAAACUACCACAUCUAUGUACUUCAUAUAAUGAUCCACAUCUAGACAUGUGUGGCUCCUAAAGAUUAUUUUGUAUCUUGCAAUGUUCAUCCUGCUAACAACCAAAAACUAUUGUGGUCAAGGUGGUAUGUUCAGUAAAAUUUCAUACACUGCCCGACAAAUUGAGAUUUGUUUGUUGCAAUUCACUAUAUGGAAGAAUUUUUGAAACUAUAGGGAGAGGGGAGGGGGGCGCGGAAAGGAAAAGUGAUUGUUGAACGCUAGGAAAAAAAGUACUUAUUAAAAUAGUAGUGUGUGCACUGCCAACCUAUACCAUGUCAAUAUUUAAAACUCCAGUCUCUGUUUGCAGGGCAAUCGAGUGAAAAAUUACGUUCUUUUUUUGUGGGAAAAAUUCAAAAAUGGAACUUGAGUACGCUGGAGAAGAUGGGAGGAACUGGCAAAGGCAGAAAACGAGAGGGGGAAUGGGGUUGGAGGAUCUGUCGAGCUUUGACAAAGCCAUGCUUUUGCUAAUGGAUCUUUGGAGAAUAGCCUCCUGUCCUAAUGCUUUAGGACAACAAGAUUUUAGGUAACAUUUGACGGUCAUGCAAACUGAAAAACUAGCGAAGGUAGGGGGCAAGCUAUGCCAUUUUCGAAAUCUGCAAGCUAGUACACAACAAUGUGAACGUUCAAGAGGGCGAUUAUUGCAAAUAGUUUGACAUAAAAAAAAACAUCACAUCACACAACGUCUAACAAUGAAUUAUACAGCAAGAAAUACAUUUAAAAAUUACAGUUUAUGAGAAUUGUAUUUGUGUACUUAUUUGAUGUAUAGGAAACAACAUUUUCAAUUAAAAAGACCGUGUUGAAGGAACACUAAUUGAUUAGGAAAUAUAUUUUCGUCCUCGGAAAUUUGGGAAUAACAUUUAACUUCUUGCAAUUUGUGUAGUUCUACCAAAUUAUAGCAUCAAGCUGAGAAAAGAACAAAUCAAAUUUCAAAUCAGUGCAUUCACACGUUUCUAUUCUAUAUUGAUGAAGAAGAUGAUAUCAUACCAUCUCUACGUGAUUCAAAGAGUCUUCAAGUGAUCAUGUCAAGUCAUCAAGCUUAAUCGGAUACUCAAUUUGUGACUCAUCUUUUCUGCCUAGCUCCUCCAAAACCUUUUGAACGACCAAAUCGACAAUCUCUACUUGGCUGCUUGUACACAAAUGCGCUUUCAUUAGUUGACUAGAUUUAAUUCAUACCCACGCAUCACAUGUUGUUACAAACGAUAUUUAAAUACACUGAAUAAUUAGUAUAGGCUCAUUUGGUAGAAUUGAAUUCACUCAACCAUUUUUCUAUAUGGUAGUGAUUUACACAACUGGCAAAAUUACCAAGUGGCUAUCACAUGGUGCCCAAGCAAAAUUUCGGUGGUAAAGACUUUCAGUCAACACUUGUAGUAGGGAGAAUCGGGAACCGAGAAAUGUAGACAAAUUCAAGGUCAUUUAUUGAACACUGCAAUUCGGUCAUGACAAAUUAUAUAACCUUGAACCCGUAAUGAAUUCCCCAACGCCAGCAGUAGCUAUAACAACUAAAAGAAGAUGUCUCGAGUAAAGGAUGUAAAGUUCAAUAGGAGCAGCACUUGGAAUUGGAGGUAGUUUUCAAAAUUUUCUAGUUAAAAAAAAGAAAAAAAGAAAUGAUUUGAUAGGGCAAUGUUUUAUCCUCUGAAACAAAAACUGAAAAAAGAAGAAGAAGAAGAAUUAGGCAAGCAUCUCACAUCUCAAAUGUAGUUUUACCUUUGUCUCCUCGACCUUCCAUCCCUUGAUUUUACCAACCUUUGCAAGAGCCUCUUUGAAAGCCCUAUGUCAGAAGGUGAGGGGAAAGGGAAGAAUGAGAAGAAGAAGGAUAGGGAAUUCGAAUGUAUUUCUCUGACUUUCACUCAAUGUACAAAGUUACAUUAUAUUACAGAGUAUGUGUAAAAGAAAAGGAAAUGAUACAAUGUACAGAUUAGAUCUGAUUUUAAUUGAUUCAAUAAAAUCCUUAUGAUUUGAUCUAAUCGAAUCUUUCCAAAGUUUCUGCAUAUCUUCCAACACUCCCCUUCAAGCUGGUGGCUUGUAGAUGUCCAAGACGCCAAGCUUGCUCAAGAGAUACACAUGUUGUCUUUGACACAGAGGUUUGGUGAAGACAUCCGCCGGUUGUUCUUCUGUUCCAAUCCCUUAUGUUUCAAUCAUCCCUUCCUGGAUUUUCUCGCGGGUGAAAUGACAGUCUACUUCUAUGUGCUUCGUUCUCUCAUCCACGAUAGGGUUGGAUGCAAGUUUGAGGGCCGCAUCAUUGUCGCAGAAUAAUUUUGUUGGUCCUUUAACCUGCACUCCAAGAUCCUGAAGUAACCCUCUCGACCACACUAUUUCACAUGUGGUUUUAGCCAUGGCUCAAUAUUCCGCCUCUGCUGAAGAUAACGAGAUAGUUGGAUGUUUCUUCAUUUUCCAUGAAAGCAAAGAAUCCCCUAAUUUGAUACAAAAAUCGAUUAUCGAUCUUCUACUCAUAGGACAGGUUGCAUAGUCUACGUCACAGUAUGCAAUCAUUUUCAUGUCACACUUCCUAGAGAGAAGAAUUCCAAGUCCAUGACAUUUCUUCAAGUACUUCACAACUUUCAGCGCAACAUUCAUAUGAGACUGUUUCGGCUUAUGCAUGAACUGACUAACUGUUGGCUUAUGCAUGAACAUAACUUAUGUCCGGUCUGGUCAUAGUUAAAUAUAUGAGUUUUCCAACAAGCUUCUGAUAGCCCAAAGGAUCUUUGAGUAUAGGAUCUGCCUCCUGAGAUAGUCUAGCAUCAUGAUCGGCCGUAGUCAGUUUGAUGUUUUGCUCAAUCGGUACCAUAGCUGGCUUACAUCCGGAUAAUCUUGCUUCUGAAAUGAUCUCCAAUGCAAAUUUUCUCUGGCUGAGACAGAUUCUUUGGUUUGAUCAAGCAAUUUCGAUUCCAAGGGAAUAUUUUGGGGAUCCCAGAUCUUUAAUAUGGAAAGUAGAAUGCAAGUCUUCCUUAAGGCCUUUGAUAGCUAUUUCAUCAUUCCCCGUAAUGAGUAUGUCAUCUACAUAUAUCAUCAAGUUGAUAGAUUACGUACCUUGAGUCCAUGUGAAAACAGCAUAAUCAAAUCCAGAUUGUUGAAAGCCAUCAGCUGUUAGUGAUUCAGCAAAUUUUGCAUUCCACUGUCUAGAUGCUUGCUUGAGUCCGUACAAGGAUUUACGGAGACGACGCACUUUGUUCUCCCCCUGUCUCCGUAAACCUUGUGGUACUUCCAUAAAUAUCUCAUCGUCUAAAUCUCCAUGGAGGAAGGCAUUAUAAACAUCCAUCUGAUGUAAUAACCAGUCUUGAGAGGCUGCCACUGAGAGAAAGGAACGGACUGUGACGUCCUUGGCCACGGGGGAAAAAGUUUCGUGAUAGUCGAAACCCUCUUUCUUUGUGAAGCCCUUAGCCACUAGUCGUGCUUUGUAUCUUUCAAUCCAUCCAUCUGCUUGAUAUUUGAUCUUGUAUACCCAUUUGCAUUUGAUUGCCUUGCAAUGUGGAGGUAGGGUAACAAGAUCCCAUGUGUGAUUAUCCAUUAGGGCCUUCAAUUCUGCCUCCAUGGCUAUUUGCCAUCAUGGAUCAUUACUUGCCUCAUGGAAGUUGGAUGGUUCUUGCUCUUCAGAAAUGUGAGCGAUGCAACAUCGAUGUGCCGAGGACAAGUGAUCGAAGGAAACAUAAGAGGAGAUUGGAAAAAGAAUACCUGGUGAAUUCCUGACUCCACAUAUGUAGUCCUUAGUCCAGGUAGGUGGUCGAGUGGUACGACCGGAACGUCUAAGUCGAUCAUCUUCCAAAGAUGGAGCAUUGUCUGGAAUUUCCACAGGAGACGAAUCUGAAGUAGGCGGGUCUAAAGGAGCCUCAUCAUUCGGUCUUUCAUUCUGGACAUCCACUAAAGGUGUUGUGUUGGUAGUGGAUUUGGAAAAUCGCUGUGUAUCCAUUAAUGAAGGAAGGAAGAUAUAUCCAGAACCUUCAGACUUGUCUUUAGCAGAAGAAAUUGGAGAAUGCCCUAGUUCAGUGCUACCUUUGUUGUGGUUGGCAAAAGGAAAGAUAGUUUCCUGAAAUAUAACAUCUCUGCUAACAAAAAAUUCUCCUGUACUUGGAUCAAAAAUCCGGUAUCCCCUUUGUAAGGUAGAAUAUCCCAUGAAGAUGCAAUGGCGAGCACGUGGACUCAUCUUAUCCUUGGGUCCGACGAUUGCAGCAUAGCACAGACAACCAAAAAAUUUCAAGUGGUUCAAGUUAGGCUUCUUUCCAAAAAGUAUCUAGAAGGGAGAUCAUCCAUCAAGGAUCUUGGUCGGCCUGCGAUUAAUUAAAUAAGCAGCAGUCAAUACACAAUCCCCCAAAAAAUUGUCUGGAAUAGAAGCUAGAAACUUUAAAGCUCUUGCAACCUCCAAGAGAUGACGGUGUUUCCUUUCCACCACUCCAUUUUGUUGUGGUGUAUAAGUACAAGAGCUCUCAUGCAAUAUCCCUUGUGAUGAAAGAAGAUCCGCACGUUCAUGAUUGAAAAAUUCAUUCCCAUUAUCUGUCCUUAUUCUUUGCACAGGUUUCCCAAAUUGGGUUUUUGACAAGGAAAGGAAUGUUCUUAAGUUGGACACAACUUGACUUUUAGACUACAUGAGAAAAAUCCACGUGGCUCUGGAGUGAUCAUCCACAAUGGUAAGGAAGAAUCGAGACCCAUCAUGAUUUAAUGUAUGAUAGGGUCCCCAGACAUCAACAUGCAGCAGGGAAAGGAUAUUUUUUGAAUGACUUUGGCUCAAAGGGAAAGGACUACGCGAUUGCUUUGCAAGUGGGCAAAUUUGACAUUGGGGAUAAGAAAAAUAAGAGCUAUGACCCAAUCUGGAGUGCAAAAGGAAAUUUCUAUCAUUGGAAGUUGAAUUACACAAUGAUUUCUUAUUACAAGGAAAAAGAUUAAAAUUUAUCAGCAAGCUUUUCCAGAAAAACAAUCCUCAGAGAGACUACCCUAGCCCAUCAGUGUCAUAGUCGAAAGGGCUUGAAACAGACAAGUAUCGACAUCGAAAAGAACUCGACGGGAAUUUUCCUUACAGGCUCUAGACACUAAAAUGAGAAUAAAUUGGAAGUUCGGAAUAUAAAGGACAUUGGUAAGGACAAUAUGAGAAUUAAGGGUGAUUGUCCCCGUUGUAGUGACAUAAGCAAUGUUUCCAUUGGGUAAUUGCACAAUGACAAGAUCAUCUAAUUUUUCAUGAAUAGCAUAAAAUAACCUUCUAUCACAUGCUAUAUGGUCACUGGCUCCUGAAUCAACAAUUCAGGUAUUUCUAGAAAUAGUACUUACUAGGCAAUAAGAAAUACCUGUAAAGCUGCUUCCCCUCUUUUGGACAUCCAAUUUUUGUAAGACCUGCAUAAGUUGCUGAUAUUUCUCAUGUGUAAUAUGUUGAUUUGUAGAAUUUAUCAAACCUGAAAUUUGAUAGGCUGCUGCAGAUAUUUCAUUUCCCCUUUUUUCUUUUUCUCCAGGUCUACCAUGCAAUUUCCAGCAAUUGUCAAUUGUGUGAUGGGGCCGCUUGCAAAAAUCACAGAAUAAUUUUCCUUUAUUUUUAAAAUUUUUCUCAUAUCCUUUCGAAUUUUGAGGACAGUUGGAUCCCCUUGGACCGGACGCAUUUCCACCAUCCAGAUCAGACUGAGCUCACGCGCCUUUGGAGUCGUCGGAUUGUGGCAUCCGAUCCUGGCCGUCCGCAAGACCCCAUUUAAACCCUUUUUGAUCCACGAACCCUAGCAACCCUCGUUGCUCCGUGAACCCUAGCGACUGCUCGUACCCUUUCUUUUCUAGGGUUUUCUCCUUCUCGACCCUUGCCGCCAACGCUAGGGUCUCGGAGCUCUUGCUGUCCGAUGAAGCAAGCCUUUAAUUCUCCUAUUGUACUGCAAGCUGGAAGAUCCGACCGAGGGUUGGUGCUAGUUCCAUGGCCAGUAUUUGUGAUCUAAAGGUAAGAUACGAAUUGUUGAGUAUGAGUAAGAAUCGAGUCGCCUUCUCUCUAUCUUUCAUAGCUUUAUAUUGCUGGAGGGUUGAUUCGGGCCCUUCCAGCUUUUCUUCAGCGGCUUCCAACUCAUUCUAGAGUGUUGAAAGCCUGUUGAAGCAUGUCGUCACAGAUGUGUUUCCUUGCUUCAAUUCGCUGAGUGCUUGGUGAAGCGAAAAUUUUUUUACCCGAUCCAAUUUGCCGUACAUUUCUCGGAUGCUAUCCCAAAUAAUCUUUGAGUCUUCUAUGGGUGGUAACCUAUCAACGAAAUCUAGGCUGAUGCAAUUGCCGAUCCAUGUUCUGACUAAUUGGUUACAUUUUCUCCACUGUCUUCCCACUUUCUCGUCAGUCGGGAUGGGAAUGGUCCCAUCGAUGAACCCCUCUUUGUCUUUUGUGAUUAGGGCUCACCGAAAUUCCCGCGCCCAACUUGAGUAAUUUUCUAGACCUAUGAGAGGGUGGCUAAUGAGCCACAACUCCGGUCCGUCGGCAGUGGAGACAUAGAGUGCGUCGCCGGGUUCUGGUCGACCCAUGGCGGCCGCAAAAGGAAAUGGAAGAAACCCAGGUGGGAUUCCCUAGUAUGGAUCUAUGGAUUGCCCCUGAAGUCUCACACCAGAAUCACUCAAUCCGCCAGUCUGCUCCGGGCCGAUGGUCGAGCCUGCCCUAGUGCUGGUUGGUAGGCCUCCAUCGCUCGGCAUGUUACUCUGAAAUCUCGACUGUGAUGUGACUGGAUUUGUCCCAUGGAUCCAUGGAUAUGGCAUCCACUGGUAGGGAUACGCCGAGAAUGGCUGACCAAGAUUAAACUGAGCCGAAAAAUUUUGCCAAUAUGCGUGUUGAUUUUGGAUCUGGGGUUGGCCGAAUUGUUGUUCAGCCAUGGAAGUAAUGCUGGAAGCCUGUGGGGUCGUUUCUGUUGCUGUUUGCUCGUCUGAACUGGAGGUGAGAUUCUCCAGUUUGUUCAUACUGAAAAAUUUCCCUUAAAAAAAAAGUAGCGAUUCCUCUCAGCAACUCUUUUGCAGGAUAGAGUUCCUUUAAGCAAUCAAAGGAAACAGAGCAGAAGAUAUGUCAGAGUCUUCGGCUACUCUGAUACCAUGUCAAAAGGUGAAGGGAAAGGGAAGAACGAGAAGAAGAAGGAUAGGGAAUUCGAAUGUAUUUCUCUGACUUUCACUCAAUGUGCAAAGUUACAUUAUAUUACAGAGUAUGUGUAAAAGAAAAGGAAAUGAUACAAUGUACAUAUUAGAUCUGAUUUUAAUUGAUUCAAUAAAAUCCUUAUGAUUUGAUCUAAUCAAAUCUUUCUAAAGUUUCUACGUAUCUUCCAACACCCUAAGUUUGACUUCGGAGGAAAGAUUCUUCGGCAUGGAGUCCGAUGUUUAACAUCCCUAGGUUCCACUUUAUAAAAGUUGGGGAAAAUCCUUUUUUCUGCCGUUUGAACUAAACACAUUGUUCAUCAUGCGUUCAAGCUCGAUGAGACAUCAUUUACGAUUAGGAUAAGUUUGAGAGAUGAUGGGUAUGUAGAUUUUUGAGCUAUCGAUAGCUUGUAGAAGUCUCUUAUCAAUCACAUUACCCACCUUGAUUUCAUCUUCGUCCCUAAAUACACGGAGUUUGGCUAUUUCCAAGUGUCGAUGGAGGAAGCCCAUGGGGGAUGACGAGUUUCAUCUCCACUAAAACUCAGGAAUACAUGGUACUGAACUUUUGAUGCUCUGGCCUUUGAGUGUGCCAUACCUAGGAAGCGUAUUACUUCCAGACCUCUCUCUGCCCCCCAUGCAAAAACACAGAUAUAAGCACUUGCUACUGCACAUACGUUCAAAGCCUCAACUUCUGCAAUCACGUCCCAGAACAUGGAAAAACAAUAAGAAAAAGGUACGUUCAAAGCCUCAACUUCUGCAAUCACGUCCCAGAACAUGGAAAAACAAUAAGAAAAAGGUGAGCCCAGAACGCAUGUGUAUAUGCACUGCACACGAUGAAAAGGAUGAGAUGAACAGCAGAAGCAAGUUCAUCACCAAAGAGCAUACCCUAUGGAAGCUGAAGGCUAUCCUGCUAUAUAUACUGUCUGGGCCACUGAAUUGGUCGAUCGUCCCGGCAUGUAAAUCCACUCACUUGAUGGUAAUUUCACAUGGUACAGAUCUUUUCUCCUUUCUCAAAGACCUGGCCGGCUGAUAAUAAAAUCUGAUAUUGUCUAUUUCUUACCUAACGCUCCACCUUAGCAAGUAGACACGAAGUUGAACGAGAUAUUUUUUAACAAGUUUUAUUUUCACUGCUUUGUCCAUCAGUGAUUUUAAAUUUUGAGUUUCGGCACGUCCCGUACAUUUAUUCUUCACAUGGUGCCUCAAUCGUGCCUCAAUCGAUAAUCUCUCGAUCCCUUAUAACUGGUAUCCUUGUCGACCAACUCUGCCAUGAUAAUUGUCACCAUCCACCAUCAUGUGUCGACAGCAUAGUCCAUGGUCAUCGAUGUCUAUCGGUCACAAUUCUCAUUGUCGUCAACAAUAACCACGUUUCAUAUAUUGAUAACCUCUAGCCACGUGCUUACUUAUGAAAAUGACCUAAUGAAUUUUUGGCGCAAAAAAUAAUGGUACAGAUAUAGCUCACCUUGACAUGCGACGCGCGAACUUAAAAUAGAAAGAGAAAGAUGGAGAAAAGUCGGAGGUAAUUUGAGGAUAGAGCACCCGGCUUAUGAGAUGGCAUUCAAAGUCAAUAUCAUUACGCGGGCACCUUUUCCUGUCUCAUUCUUGAUUCCUGUCUAUAUCAUUCCUGUCAAUAUCAGCAUGGUUUCCUACUCAGGAAGUUUCCUGUCAAUAUCAUUCCUGUCAAAUCCAUUAAAUUUCUUUCACACGUUUUAUUUAGAUUUCUAAUGAACCCAUCAAAAGCUAUCUAAAGCUGAUUAGGUCCUGCAGUGACGCUCAGCCUCGAUUGAUUGGGAGGUCUCGACGUGAAAUUGCUUUCAUGCUGUACACACGUGAACCAAAAUGCUGACGUAGCAAACCACGUCAACGCCGUUUUUUCUUCUUUCUCGACCACAACUUCAAAGCUUACAGAAGAAGAUAAGUGAUGUCAAGAUCAACUUCAGACUUUAAAAAUUUCAGCUUCACAACUCUACCACCUUAACCAGUUAAUCUCCUUAAGUACUCUUCUUAACGAAAAUUUGAAUUUUACUGAUAAAAAUAACUAAAAUUCAUCCCGAUCCUGACAGAAGCCAUCUGGUCUUCUCAAAAGGAACGGUUUUUUUUCUUUUGUUAAUAUCAUCAUUGAUCUCUCAAAGGGCUGGCUCUUUUUUCCUUUUGGUCUGACACACGGAAGAAAAGACGAGAGAGAAAGAGACGGGACCUUUGAUCUCGGGAAGCUUUACUUAAACGAAGCCGCUCGUUCGUGUUGCUCCUACAGUCGUCUGCAGUCAUCGACGUCGCAUCUUCAGCCCGUGAGGGACGACGAGGGCACUGCUCCCCGCUCCCGACGCCUGCUGCUCACCGCCGCCGCCUCCUUUCUUCUGACGAGCUGCUUUGCUGUCCAGGCCGCGACGACGAGCUCCGACGGCCCUGUCCUCUCCUCCCGCUGAACCUAUCUGUCGGCAUACCUCUCCCUCCAAAAGCAGCGACGACGAGCUUAGACUUAAUAAUCUCUUAGCCGGGUGGCUCACCAAGGUUGCGACACUUAUAUUUGUGUUUUCGCAUCUGAUUGUUCACUCUAAGCAGAAAUCACCUUCGCUAAAUCUAUUUGCACACGCCUUCAUCUGCUGGAUGAUCCUUUUUCUUCUUUUUUCGUGUCUGUGUAACAUAUAGUCUACUCCCGAGGAUCUCCGUCUUCAUUGGAUUAUCAGUCAUCCGUGUGUGCUCCACUGCGGAAGCAUUCCAAAAACCUCAGCUCACUUCUUAGCUAGGCCACGCCACACCAAGUUACCGAUCUUUUUUUCCUUUUCUAGGGUGAGAGAGAGAGGGGUCUGGAAGUAAUACGCUUCCUAGAUAUGGCACACUCAAAUGCCAGAGCAUCAGAAGUUCGGUACGAUUUGUUCUUGAGUUUUAGUGGAGAUGAUACUCGUUAUAACUUCACGGGCUUCCUCCAUCAAAGCUUGGAAAAAGCCGGGAUCCGUGUAUUCAGGGACGAAGAUGAAAUCAAGGUGGGUGAUAAGAUUGGUGAGACAAUUCUACAAGCUAUCGAUAACUCCAAAUUCUACAUACCCAUCAUUUCUCAAACUUAUCCCGAUCGUAAAUGGUGUCUCAUCGAGCUUGAACGCAUGAUGAACAAUGUGUCUCGGUUAGAGGGUAGACAAAGGAUUUUCCCCAUCUUUUAUAAAGUGGAACCUGGGGAUGUUAAACAUCAGACUCCACAACUGAAGAAUCCUUCCUCCGAAGUUGAACUUAGGGCAUUCAAAGAGGCUCUUGCAAAGGUUGGUCAAAUCAAGGGAUGGAAGGUCGAGGAGGGACAAAGGUAAAACGACCUUUAAGAUGCCUGUCUAAUUCUUCUUUCUUUUGCUUUUGUUUUAGGGGAUAAAACAUUGCCCGACCAAAUUAUUUCUUUUAUUUUUUUUAUUAUUGGAAAAUGAUUCUCCUAUUACAAGUGCUGAAAAUGUUUUACAGGCUUAGUUAUAAAUGCCGAAAUUUUGCUUGUCACUUGGUAAUUUUGGUUGUUGUGUAAACCAAUACUAUAUAGAAGAACACAUCCAAUGAAUUCUACUAAAUUAGCCUAUACUGAUAAUUCAAUGCAAAUUUCGAAGUUUGAAAAGAAAAAAUAGACAUUCCUCGUGUGAGUGUGGGUAUGAAUUUAAUCCAGUCGACUAAUGAAAGUACUUUUGUGUAUGGCAGCCAAACAGAAAUUGUCGAUAAGGUUGUUCAGAAAGUUUUGGAGGUGCUGGGCAGAAAAGAAGACAUACAGACUGAGUAUCCGAUUGAGCUUGAUGACUUCACACAGUCACAUGAAGACUCUUUGAAUCGAGCAGACAAGGUGUGAUAUCUUCUUCUCAUCUUCAUCAAUAUACAAUAAAGCGCUGGAAUGCGUGGAUUUGAAAUUUCAUUUGUUCUAAUCUCAGCUUGAUGCCAUAAUUUGGUAAAACUACACAGAUUGCAAGAAGUUAAAUAAUAUUCUGAAAUUUACGCGGACAAAAAUACAUUUUUUAAUUAAUUAGUGUUCUUUCAACAUAUUCUUUUUAAUUUGAAAUGUCGUUUCCUAUAAAUUAAAUAAGUACACAAAUGUAAGUAUCAUGAAUUGUAAGUUUUAAAUUUAUUUCUUGCAGUAUAAUUCAUUGUUGGACAUUAUGUCAUGUGGUAAGUGUUUUUUAUUUAUGUUUUAUGUCAUACUAUUUAGCAAUAAUCGCCCUUUUGAACGUUCAUAUUGUUGCAUACUAGCCUGCAAAUUUCGAAAAUGGCAUAGCUCACCCUCCUAUCUUCACUUUUUUUAGUCUGCAUGACUGUCAAAUUUUUCCUAAAAUCUUGUCGUCGAAAAGCAUUAGGAAAAGAGGCUAUUCUCCAAAGAUUGCUUAGCAAAAGCAUAGCUUUGUUAAAGCAAGACGAAUCCUCCAACCCAUUUCUUCUCCUGUUUUCUGGCUUUGCCAGUAUCUCCCAGCUUCUCUGGCCUACUCUAGUUCCAUUUUAGAAAUUUGUCCCACCAAAUAAAAUGUGAUUUUUCUGCUCAAUGGCCCUGCAAAUAGAGACUGCAGUUUUAAAUAUUGACAUGGCUUAAGUUGGCAAUGCACACGCUAUUGUAUUAGUGAGUACUUUUUUCCUAGCUCUUAACAUUAACUUUUCCUUCCCCCUUCAAGUUUCAAAUGCUCUGCCAUACAAUAAAUUUCCAAAGACAUAUCUCAUCUCUCGGACAGCGUAUGAAAUUUUACUUACUAUACCACCUAGACUAUAGUUUUUCAUUGUUAGAUACAAAAUAAUCUUAGGAGCUACACUUGUCUAGAUGUGGAUAAAGCCUUGUUUGAAGCACAUGGAUGUGGUAGUUUAUGUGUGUGAAUAGGAAUCAGAAGCUAAAUGUUAGCACCAUACUAUUAAAAAUAGGAUUUUUUUUUUAAAAAUCCUAUUGACCCUAUUUCUUAACUAACCGUAGCAGUACAAAGAAAAUGUUUCCCAAGUGACCUAAUCUAUACUUGAUUAGAUGAUUAGAAUCUUAGCAUUAUGCGAAUUGUGUAGUGCUUAACACUUACUUGGAAUUUCAACGUGGUUCAGGUGCGGAGGGAUACCAUAGGGAGAGAGAGGAGUCCAAGCAGAGGAAGGAUUCGUCAAUUUGAGGGGAAUGUGAUGCAAGGAGAGAGAGCCGAGUGUGGGCAGAGAAAGGGAGGAGAACAGGAAGUACAUGAAGUAUGUGGAGGAGGAGCAGAUGACGAGUGUAGCAAGAGAAAGGGAGGAUGAUGGAAAGCACAUGAAGUACAUGAUGGAGGAGGACGAGUGUAGGUUAGACGAGAGGGACGAGAGGGACGAGUGUCGGAUGAGAAAGGGAGGAUAAUAGGAAGCACAUGAAGUACAUGCUAGAGGAGCGGAUGAGGAGAGGGACGAGUGUAGGCAAAGAAAAAGAGGAUGAUGGGAAGCACAUGAAGUAUGUUCUGGAGGAGUGGUUGAGGGAAGGGACAAGGUGAAGUAGGCACGACAAGAGGGACAAGCAUAAGAAGAGAAAGGGAGGAUGAUGGGAAAGCUCAUGCAGUAUGUCUUGGAGGAGUGGUUGUCGUCGUUUCCCCAACUCUCUCUUGCAUUUUCUCAAAUUUCACGGAGGAAAACCUGAGGAUUGAGUUCAAGGUCAACACUGUUCCUUUUUUGUGCUACAUUUUCGAAAUGUGAUUGAUUGCGGGAGAAUUAUAUUAAAAAAAAAAGUCCUCAACUUAUUACAAUUAUAAUUUAGUUCUAAAUCUUUUUUUCCAGUUCAAUUUUAAACAUUUUUGCAUUUGUGUCAAUUCAAUUCAUCCGACUAAUUUCGGCUAGCAACAUUGACAUGGAUGUCGGCCAACACCAGCCGUCCAACCGAUGCCAAAGUGAACAAUUUUUAUAAGCUUUUUUUUCUAAUUUUUAUUUUUAUUUUUCCUUUUCUUCCUUCUUUGCUUUUUUAAACCCACGGUGGCCAACCAAGUUCGCCUCGCCUGUACCCAUGACCUCAACCAACACGGGUACCUUCUAGUUUCAUCCUUGUCAUCGUUUUCCCAACUAACAUGGAUGUCAGCUAGCACCAGUCCAACCGAUGCCAACGUAAACAAUUUUUAACAAUACUUUUUUUCUAAUUUUUUUUCCUUUUCUUUCUUUUUCGCUUUCUUAAACCUACGGUGGUCGGCCAGGCUCACCUCGCUUGCAACCAUGACCUCAACCAACACGCUUUCCUUCCGAUUUCAUCCUUGUCGUCGUUUCCCUAGCUCUCUCUUGCAUUUUCUCAGAUUUCACAGAGGAAAACCAAAGGAUCGAGUUCAGGGUCAACACCAUUCCCAUUUGGUGCUACUUUUUCGAAAUGUGAUUGAUUGCGGGAAAAUUAUUUAAAAAAAAAAAAUUCAUAAACUUAUUACAAUUAUACAAAUUCAAUCAUAAACCAUUUUUUUCUCAAUUCAAUCUUAAAUAUUUUGUAUUUGUACAAAUUCAGUCCAUCCGGACAAUUUUGGCCUACAACACUCACAUGGAUGUUGGCCAGCACCAACCUUCCAACCAAUGCUAACGUGACCAAUUUUUAAUAAAAAAAGUUUCUAAUUUUUUAUUUAUUUUUAUUUUUAUUUUUAUUUUUAUUUUUCUUUCUUCUUUGCUUUUUUAAACCCAUGGUGGCCGGCCAGGCUAGCCUCGCCUGCAGCCAUGAUCUCAACCAACACGCGUUCCUUCUGGUUUCUUCCUUGACAUCGUUUCCCCAACUAACAUGGAUGUCAGCUAGCACCAGUUGUCCAACCGAUGCUAACGUGAACAAUUUUUAAUAAUACUUUUCUAAUUUUUAAUUUUAUUUUUAUUUUUUCCUUUUCUUUCUUCUUUGCUUUUUUAAACCCACGGUGGCCGGUCAAGCUAGCCUCGCCUGCAGCCAUGACCUCAACCAACACGCAUUCCUUCUGGUUUCGUUCUUGUCGUCAUUUCCCCAACUCUCUCUUGCAUUUUUUGAGAUUUCAUAGAGGAAAACCUGAGGAUUGAGUUCAAGGUCAACACCGGUUGCAUUUUUUAAUAUGGCCCAGCAAUCUUCGUCCGUCAGAGGAAGAAGACAAUGCAGAUUUUCCUUACCAACCAUCAUCUCCACCAAUGUAUCGCUCCUGCCAUUAACAAUCACAACUCCUCCAUAUCACAAAAGUUUUAAAACUUGAUUGCAUAUUUUGAAAAUCUUAGAAUUCGAUUGGGUUUUCGUAACAAGUUUUAGGACUUCCAAUGUAUUUAUCUCCACAAUAAAUAUAAUAGAAUUUCAACGUCUACAAAAUAAUCAUUCUUAUGAAGGGUGCUGAUAGUUAAUACUGGAUUCAGGAGUUGACUUUCACAGCCAUCUUCUAGCAAGAUAUAUCAAUUUCGUAAUGAAGCUCAGCUCUGUCCCUAAAUCGAAAAUGAGAGCAGACUUUACGAAUAGGAGGUUAAAGGAGAUACAACUUCUUUCUGCCCAUGCUAAGAGAUUGAUUCUCGCUCUAUUCGCGCUGGUGGUCUUAAUCUUAUUAUAGAGAGACUCCACUACAGAUGGCAGCAACCAUCGGAUGCACGAUCCUUGAUCGGAAACCCAAACUCGCUAAAGAGCAGUUAAACGGCGCUCACAAACCGUGACGAAACUGUUGAGUGUCGAGGCGGAUGUGUGCUGCAUUGGCGACCGGUACAGCAGAAGAAAUCCUCUUCGUCUUGCGGCUGUGGAAGGCCGGUCCGGUGUUUUGAGGAGUUGUUCAAGAGGCUGAGGGCGGCACGUGAUAGGGUUGUUUAACGGGGAUUUCAUGGCGUGAAGCAUAAUAACUUAAAAAGGCUUUGAAGCUUUUCGUGGGGACUCGGGGAGAUCAUGACAUGAACAAUUUCGGUCAUGCCCAAACCAUGAAGAGGGAUAGAUAAAGGCAGCAAAUUUUGGAUUUUGGAUUUUGGAUAAAUUUGGCCAAUCAUUUGCCCCUUUAAGAAAUUUCUCUCUUUUUUAUGGCCUUUUUUAUCCCUUGACAGCUCUAAACAUCUGCAGAAUUGGCAUGAAGAGUACUUUCGUCCUAAGCAGGACGUUAAAAUGGUUCAUCUCAAGUCUUGUCUGGAUCUCAGGAUCCCUAACUGUAAAACACUUAAGAGGGUCCCGUCAGGUAAAGACACUAAUUGGGGAUGCAAGCACCAACACAUUAAAAUAAGAAAUAUAUCAUAGUAGCUCAUGCCAAAAGAUAAAGACAGGUGCAGGUAGCCCUCAUAGGAAAGAAAUAUUACAAAAUCGCACGUCGAUUCCAGAAAAAUAAUGCUCGCAAACUAUUCAUCAAGCAGAAUAUAAUAAUAAAAUAACAGAAUUAGAAAGACGCGCCAAAAAAUUUGUUAACGAAGUUAACCUAAACCUAGGUUAUGUUUCUGCGCAGAGGUACUCUACAAAUCCACUAGACUUCAAAAAAGUUAAAAUAUAACAAUGAUCUUCUAUCAAGAUUAAGGCACAAAGAAAUUGAAAAUCCCCGUAAAGAUAAAAAAAAAAAAAGAAACUUACUUUUUUCUUCACUUUUUUUCUUGCCUCUCUAUUUUCUUUUUUUAGUAUUUUGACGGUUAGCGUAUUGCCAUCGCUAAUAUAAAUGUAUCAUUUUUAACUUUAAAGUAAAUCUGAUUGAAAAGACAAAAAAACCCUAAAGAUAUUUGGCUUCAUCUAUAACAAGAAAUUACCCUUCCUUGGUGAGGCAAUCCUUCAAUCGCAUCAAGGAUCCAAGAGAGGCCCUGGAUGAAGGUUUUUCUUGAAAAGGACUGAAUAUUUCAUUCUUUGCUUUUUGUCGUCCAUUAACUUAGAAGAUAACGGCAUACAGUGUAAGAGCGAAAAGAACAAACAGGUGGAGAUCGUACAGAAGUAAAAGGGUACGAAAGGAGUCUUCAGAACAAGCACCCUAUCUCUGAAUUCAUCUGUCGCUUACCUGUAGGCUCGAAGGCCAGCUCCGGCACGCGCGCACACAGAGCUGCGAGUGUGAGGACGAGAUCAAGAGACGUUAGGUUAAGAGACAGACAGGUCCGCGCGAAGACUAUAAGGAGGCGUUCGCUCCCACAAAAUAUCCGAUCAUGCGCUCAAACUUUUUUUUUCCCUAUUAAAAUACAACUCUUUUUUUUUUUAUAAUUUAAUUGUUCUUUCAUGCAUACGUAAUGUUUCGACGCCAAAAUUGUCCAUAAAACACCUUUCGAAAUAUGGAUAGCUAUGAGAAUUGACAAAGGAUAUGGAUAGCUAUGAGAAUUGACAAAGGAUAUGAAUGGUACUUUGUUGAUUUUUGGACUUGAAACGUAUAUAGACACAAAUUCUAAAAUUAAAUGUAUGAAAAUUGGAGGCACUCUUGGCCAGUCAUAUAAAAGGGUACCAAAAUGUAAAGAUAAUAGAAAGAUAAAAUUGAGCAAUAACUUGGAUGAUUUUUUAGUCGAAUUAUAAUCAUGUUAUUUAUAGCUACUAGCGAUAGUUAACAAUAAUUACAGAGAACAAUUAUAACAAACAACCCAUGCUUCUUGGCCAUUAUCAGUAGUGGCUUUCAGGAUUCACAUCUCCGUGAGCUGGUGGUCGUGCUCAUGAUGGAUACUUAUGAUUGUAGCCGAAAUUGUUGGUUUCAGGACUUGAACACUUAUCUUGCUCUCGAUUCGUCGAUCUUCAUUCGAACUUUGUUAUCAAUUUCCAUAUAGAUACCGACAUGAAUCAAUAGUAGUCAGCAUAAACUAAAAUCAAUUGCCAUAUCGAGAACCCUAGGGUCUCACUUUGCUAGGUGAUAAUGGUUAUGCCCCCAAAAUUUGCUUCGGUUGGGGCCGUGAUUAAGUCCCAAAAACAGAACCGCUCUGCACAUAUGUUCAUAUCUCAUAUUCUCAUCACAUGGAGGCUGACGAUGAGUGCAAAUCAAAUAACAGAAUUUGACAAUGCCGCCACGUGUAAUAUACCAAUGAUAAAAUUAUCUUGUAUACGUGUCUUGUCAAUGCACUUUUAGUACCGCACUUAGAUGGUCGAAAAAUGUAUAAAGCCUGAUUCGAUUGUUGAAAUAGCGUGCCAUAAAAUCUUUCAUUUUUAUAUCCCAUCGUAAAGUACAUGCCAAAACCAAGGUCGAUAAUACGAACUGACCAGCAUUAGGAACUAGAUUUUUUGGUAACUAUAGAUUUUUUAGUAACUAUCUCCUAGCAUUUCCGGUUCUUUUUUUUCUGGCCUCUUCCCUUGUUUUGUUUCCAUGCCGUUAGGUUGUUUAUCCAGUGACUCCAAGAGUAAAUUACUGUAAUUAAAGAGUUUACUAUAAUUAUUUUCUUCUCUCACUGCAUUUCCUUCUUUUCCUUUUUUGUCAAAACAACAUUUCAUUUAUUUGUACAGAAAUUCAAGAAAGAAACAAUGCGAUCCAAUUGCAAAUUACAACAAAUCCUAAAUAACUUCUAAACAAAACAAGGUCCAAAUAAUAAGAUGAAUUGUAAGAUGAAUGGAACUUUCACAUGGUACAAAUCUUUUCUCAUUUCUCAAAGACUUGGCCGGCUGAUAAUAAAAUUUGACAUAAUUGUCUAUUCCUUACCUAAGGCUUUUUUUGACAAGUGUUAAAUUCACUACUUCAUUCAUCUAUGCGUGCUCUGUUACGGAAGCGUUUCAAAAACCUCAACUCACGUUUGGUCUGUUUGGUCAAAUAGUAUAUGAUUCUAUUUUUUACUUCUGAGAACAAAAAAGAACAAAAAUCGGUUUGGUAAUUCUUUUGUUUUCGAAAACAAAUUUGUUCCAGGAAUAUAUUUAGAAUAAAAUCAAAAAGUUGAAAAAACUUACUUUUUUUAUUUUCAGGAACAACUCCAAAAUCAAGUCCAUUCUCCUUUUUUUCCCCCUAUUUUCUUCUAUUUUCUUCUAUUUUCUUCUUCCUCUUUUCCUCUUUGGCCAACAACCUCAUUCAUGCAUCACUGGCCCUCGACGAAGUAGUUGGGUGAGGCUUGGUCGAGCCUUGGCUAGGUGAGCUCGGCCUCACUAGUGGCCGACGAUGCUCCAAUGAGAUUGUCAUCGUGACAACUGGCCAAAGAGGAAGGAGUAGAAUAAAAGGAAACAUGAGAAAAAUAUAAUAAAAUUAUUUAAAAAAUAAAAGAAAUUUAAAUCACAAAAGAAUUUGAGAUCUUACAGACGCAUUUAUAUCUCGAGAAUAGAAAUUUUGAACAAUUACUAAAUACAUUUAAAUUCUCAGAAACUUGUCCAGGAAAUAGCAUUAAAAAAGAAUUUUCAAGAAAAAAUUAUUCCCAAGAACAAAAUAGUUACCGAAUAGACAUUUUUAACUAGGCCACGCCAUACCAAGCUACCGACCUUUUUUUUUCCCCCUCUUUUGAUAGUGUAAUGGUGGGACAUUUUCUUUGAUUGAGUCAAAGAAGUAGUGGGGCCCACUUUUUUUUAAGAAAAAAAAAAGGAAGAGGAUUGAAAAGUCAAAUUGAAGGGCAAAAAGAAGUGAGCACGUUCACUCUUUUUUAGGAGCUGAAGCACUUCAGGAAAAGAGGGAGAAAGAUGUAUGGUACCUUCACAUGGUACAAAUCUUUUCUCCUUUCUCAAAGACUUGGCCGGCUGAUAAUAAAAUCCGAUUUAGUUGUCUAUUUCUUACCUGACGCUCUCUUUAGCAAACAGACACAAAGUUGAUCAAGACUUUUUUUAACAAGUUUUUAAUUACUAAUUUAUUCAUAUGUGCGUGCUCUGCUACGGAAGCACUCCAAAAACCUUAGCUCACUUUGAGUCUAUUUGUUGACUGGUCAAAUAAUAUCCGAUUCUAUUUUUUCACUCACGUGAACAAAAAAAAAGAACAAAAUCAAUUUGGUAACUUUUUUGUUUCCGAGAACAAAUUUGUUUUUGGGAAUAUAUUUCGAACAUAAUUGAGAAGUAAAAAAAAUUAUUUCUUUGUUCUAGGGAACAACUCUAGAAUCAAGUUUAUUUUUCAUUUUUUCCUAUUUUCUUUUCCCUUUUUCCUUUUCUUCUUCCCGUUUUCCCUCUUUGGCCUAUGACCUUGUUGGAGCGUCACCAACCCCUAAUGAAGCGGCUAGGUGAGGCUUAGCCGAGAUUUGGCUAGGUGAGCUCGACCUCGCCAGUGGCUGGUAAUGCUCCGAUGAGGUUGCCAACCCAAUGACCAACCAAAGAGGAAGAAUGAGAAGAAUAAAAAGGAAAAAAGAAAAGAGAAAACGAGAAAAAUAUAAUAAAAUUAUUUAAAAAUUAAAAGAAAUUUAAAUCACAAAAGAAUUUAAGGUCUUACUAGACACAAUUCUAUUCCGAGAAUAGAAAUUUUGGACAAUUAUCAAACACAUUCAAAUGUUCGGAAACUUGUUUCAAUUUCUAAGCAAAAUUAUUCCUAAGAAUAGAAUGGAUAUUGAAUAAACCAUUCUUAGCUAGGCCACGCCCCAUCAAGUUACCUACCUUUUUUUUUUUUCUCAUUUGGGGAGUGUAAUGGUGGGAAAUUUUCUUUGACCGAGUCAAAGACGUAGGGCCCAUUUUUUUUAAAAAAAAGGAAAGAGGAUUGAAAAGUCAAAUUGAAAGGCAAAAAGAAGUGAGCAGGCUCACUUUUUAAAGCAGUUCAAGAAAAGAGAGAGAAAGAUAAAUGGUACUUUCGCAUAAUAUAGAUCUUUUCUCCCUUCUCAAAAACAUGGCCGGCUAAUAAUAAAAUCUAAUUUAAUUGUUUAUUUCUUACCUGACGCUCUGCUUUAACAAGCAAACACGAAAUUGACCAAGACUUUUUUGAACAAGUUUUAAAUUCACUACUUUAUUCAUUUGUGCGUGCUCUACUACGUAAGCAUUCCAAAAACCUCAGCUCACUUCGAAUCUAUUUAUUAACUGACUAAAUAGUAUCCAAUUCUAAUUUUUUUAGUUCCCAAAAACAAAAUAAAUAAAUAAAUCCGUUUGAUAACAUUUUUUUUUUUGAGAACAAAUUUAUUCCCGUGAAUAUAUUUAGAACAUAAUCACGAAGUAGAAAGAAGUUGUUUCUUUACUCUUGGGAACAACUCUAGAAUCAAGUCCAUUUUCGUUUUUAUCCUCUGUUGCGACCUACCCUCGGGGGGACGGAACAGGUUUAGGGGUAUUGCCUAAAGGACGGGGCUAAGGCCCGUGAUUAGGCGCGAGCUCUCCCAAGUCCAUACCCCGCAUGACAUUGGGAUAUUCUUUAGAAUUUUUGCACAAAAGGAGUCGCCACUAGCCUAUUGGGGUCGGCUAGAAACCAAGUGAGGUAUGGGAGUGUACCUCACUUCCUACACAACCAGAGAAUCUAGGUUCUGAGACUUGAUUACAUUAAUUAACCAAUUAGUGCCAUUUCGGUAUCUAAUCUUGUUCAUUUUAACAAAAUGAUUUUGACAGGCAGUUUGAAUUGAUUUUAUACUUAUCCACUAACAUAUGAGGUGAUCAUGCAGGUGCGCAAUCAUUAAAGUAAUAAUCAUAACUAUCAAGAUCCUAAUUGCCAUAAAAUUAAACACAUGCAAUCAAACAUAAUUAGAUAUGCAAAUUAAACAUGUAACGUAAUCAACAUACGAGCACAUAAAGGUCUAAUUACACUAAAAUGGCAAUACAUGGCAAGUCCUAAUCAAACCCCAUCAUUUUUGGAUUUUCGAAAUUUUUAAUUUUUUAAUUUUUAAAUAUUUUUUAAAGAAAAAUAACUAAUUUAUAAUUUUUAAAUAUUUUUUGGUUUUUCGAAAUUUGUUUAAAUUUUUUAAAUUUUUAAAUUUUUUUAAAAAGAAAAAUAACUUAUUCUAAUUUUUAAAUAUUUUUUUUGGAUUUUCGAAAUUGUUUUUUUUUUAAAGAUUUUUUAGACUGGACCGGGUCAGGUCCGACCCGACCUGGGCUCAGCCCGAGCAAGACGGGUCGGGUUCGCUCGACCAGGCCUGCUUGAGGGCAGACUGGACUUGGGCCCGAUCUGGAGGGCCCAAAUCUUUUUUUUUUUUUUUAAAUUACUCGCAGGCCCACAACCCAGGUUGAUUCCGGGCUGUGGACCUGCAGGCCAAGAGAGGCCGAGCGGGCCAGGUCGCAAACUUGGCCCAGCUCGGCCCACGCUCCCCUGGUCAGCGAUUGCUCAGUCGCGACCAGGGAGCUGCGAUGGCGGGGAAGACACGAGGGGAGGGGCACCAGCGAUCUGAUUGGGGUCGCGACGGUGCCGCCUUGUUUCGAAGGGAAGCAGUCCGGCUUUUCGACAGACAGCGGCAGAAUUCCGGUGACUAAGAGGCUAGCCGAACUUUACACAGGGGAAUCGAGGAGGAAAAACUUGCUUGGGCAUUACAGCGAACAGGUAGAGGGCAAGGGCAAACCAGGAGGCUUCCGACCUAAACCGGACCCGAGGCGGCUACAGCAGUGACCAGCAAGCAACACAAAAACAGAUAAGAAUUUAAGGGGGACCUAUGGAGGCCGGAGCUCGCCCGAAACGGACGGAACGAACUCCGGCCAACUCGAGCUCAAGAUGCACACCAGGUAUUCGAUGAAAUACCAACCUGAGUUCCGACCGGAAUGGUAGCUUGGAGACGCGUCUACGGCGGUGGCGGCGGCGAAGGCGGCCCCGAGAUGCGUCGACAGCGGUUGCAAAGGUCUGGAGAUGCGUCGGCGGCGGCGGCCUCCGUGAGUUCCCCUCCUCCUUGCUCUCUGUUUCUCUCGCCCUCUCCCCUAUUCUCUCUCUUUUUCUCGCCCUCCACCCCCUGUUUUUUCUCUCCUCUCUUUUUUCGGUCCUCUCUCUAGUCCCCUUCUCUUUUUCUCGAUCCCCCCCUUUUUUCCCCUUAUGUCUGUUUUUUUUUUCCUGGUGCAGAUCUCCCCCUACUUCUCUUCGCGUGCGCGCGAAUUGGCUCCGCGUGCGUUCGAAUCGGCUACUCCCAACCCGCCGACCUACCAGUGAGAUGAUGCUGUCUCCUCUGCCUUCGAUGCCCCUACUUUCGGCUUCGCCAUUUACCCAAGCGGACGGCUGCUUUCUACUUCACUGAUUCCCCGUGCAGAAAACGGCUGAGGGAGAAGACAACGGGGUGGGCCAGGCCAGAGGGAAGAAGAGGGCUGGGCCGUGCGAGGGGAAAAGAAGAAACGAAAAAAAGAAAAAGGAAAUGGGAGGGUUUGAGCCCAAGCCUACGCAGGGAGAAAAUAAAAGGAAAAAGGGGUCGGGUCGGGCCAAGGCCAGAUUCGGCCCAACUCGGACCUCACAACUCUUUCUUUUUUAAAGGAAAUUAAUAGUUAAAAAAAAAUUUAUUUGAUUUUGAUUUUGAUUUUGAUUGAUUUUUUUAUACUAUUUGAAAGAUAAAAAAUAGGUGUCAACAGCUGCCCUCUUUGAAUGCAGCCUCAAAGAGGUUGCAAUCAAAGACAGACAACACCUAAAUUAUUUUUGGCGAUAGAAAGACCCUAGGUGCAUAUGCACAUAUUAGGUCGAUGAAAAGGACUCAUAAUUAUGGAAAUGCGUCUUGUCAAUAAGGUGAAGAAAGACUUCGGGCUGCAGAAGCCCACCGAGUCAUAAAAAGUGAUGAAGACUCCAUGAUACAAAGCUCUCCAGGUCAAUAAGAAGUGAGGAAGACUCUAGGAUACAAAGCUCUCCGGGUCAUAAGAGGUGAGGAAGACUCCAGGAUACAAGGCUCUCCGGGUCAUAAGAAGGGUGGAAGACUCCAGGAUACAAAACUCUCAGGGUCAUAAGAAGGGUGGAAGACUCCAGGAUACAAGGCUCUCCGGGUCAUAAGAAGGGAGGAAAACUCCAGGAUACAAAGCUCACCGGGUCAUGAGAAAUGAGAAAGACUCCAGGAUACAAGGCUCUCCGGGUCAUGAGAAAUGAGAAAGACUCCAGGAUACAAGGCUCUCCGGGUCAUAAGAGGUGAGGAAGACUCCAGGAUACAAGGCUCUCCGGGUCAUAAGAAGGGAGGAAGACUCCAGGAUACAAAGCUCUCCGGGUCAUGAGAAAUGAGGAAGACUCCAGGAUACAAGGCUCUCCGGGUCAUAAGAAGUGAGGAAGACUCUAGGAUACAAAGCUCUCCAUGUCAUAAGAAGUGAUGAAGACUCCAUGAUACAAAGCUCUCCGGGUCAAUAAGAAGUAAGGAAGACUUCAGGAUACAAAGCUCUCACGGUCAUAAGAAGGGAGGAAGACUCCAGGAUAAAAGCUCUCCAGGUCAUGAGAAAUGAGGAAGACUCCAGGAUACAAGGCUUUCCGGGUCAUAAGAAUGGAGGAAAACUUCAGGAUACAAAGCUCUCCGGGUCAUAAGAAGUGAGGAAGACUCUAGGAUACAAGGCUCUCCGAGUCAUAAGAAGGGAGGAAGACUCCAAGAUAUAAAGCUCUCCGGGUCAUAAGAAGUGAUGAAGACUCCAUGAUACAAAGCUCUCCGGGUCAUAAGAAGUGAUGAAGACUCCAGGAUACAAAGCUCUCUGGGUCAUAAGAAGUGAUAUAACUGAGGUCUCAUCGUGUAAAAAGAGUUUUGAACGGGUAUGAUAGUCUCACCUGUGUAUGAACGGUUUUCGACUGGGAGGCGGACAAGCAAGGUUUACAGAUGAACCCACCAAUCUUGGAAAUGACAUGGUUUAAGCUUAACCAUAAACCUUUGGAGAGGGCAUGGUUUAAGGUUGACCAUGAACCUUUGGUUUUUUAGGGAAGCAGCCACUAACCCCUUAGAAAACUGCAUGGCUUCACUGAUGAAUCCUGUCAAACUCAACUCGAGUAAAUGUCAUUAGAGACGUCAUCAAGAGACGUAUUGGCAAUAUUGUAACAUUAAUUGAACAAAAUAAUCAAGCUAAGUCCGAUUGCUUUAGAAAAACAUUCGAUGUCCAUCAGCAUCAUGUGACACAAAACUGUCAUCUUGCUCGUGGAUAUAUCAUUAAUCAUCAAAUUUUCUAGGAAGCAAGUUCUCAUCAGAACAGCUACGACUCGAGAAAAAGGUUCAUUAAGCAUGCCAAACUAGAGCUUCUUAGUCAGAAAGGGUUUCUCACGCACUCUCAAUAAAAUGGCUACUUGAUCCCAUCCAUUCGUGUGGGAGAUAAUUGGUUACUGAAGGUAUCUCACAUAACCUACGUCGAAGGCUUCCGGAAACAUUUGCAAUGAGCACAAUCUGAUCGAUCAAAAACGACUUUUGAAAGGACCGCAAUAUAGGCUCGGUUAGGGCUCACACAAAUGAAUUGUUGCUUUGAGACCAAUAAAUGAACAUUUGUCAUUAUCUUCAUUGGGUUUAAAAGUCGAGAGCUUAGAAGAUAAGACAAGAUAGAAUUAUUUCCACUCCUUCAAGCAGUAGCUUCUUUGUGAUAUUCUCAUUUUCACUCAAAUUAUCCCAAUCAGAAGAGGCUUCGGAAAAGGGUUAUAAUGUUGGCUCGGGAAAGGCUCAAAUGGCUUAAAACUUUCAAUAGGGUCUUUAAGAGUGAGUGAUCAUCAUGGCAUCAUGACCAGGUCACUCACUUGAUCUUUCCAAAUCAUUUGGCUUUUGAAAUAUAACGCAUCUCGAAAGUCCCUAAUUUCCUUUGCACUCACAAUGAUUUUUUUUUUUUUUGGCAUUGGCCUUGCUUUUACCAGGCACACUACUUUUCAUGGCCCCCUAGUUUGUCGAACUUUUUGCUUUUUGAACUUCUGGAGCUCUUAUGAUUUUUGAGAUACUUUUCACAUUGUUCUUGUAAUUGUCAAUUGUUUUUUUUUUAAUCAAUUCUUAUGCUUUGCCCCAGUGAAGGGAGAUGAUCACCGCUCGGGGUUUAGAAAUGAAUAAUCAGGCUCAAAUUAGUUAAAAGCAAUAGGUAUCAAUGUUUGGGUGGAGAAUGAAAUGCUCUUCUUCACAUUGGGAUGAGUCAAGAUCUAAUGAGAAUUCCUUUGAAGCUAUCACCAGAAGAUUGAUGCAAGUGAAAGUAAUAGGAUAUUUCCUAAUCAUUCGCUUUACAACACGACUGCAACCUCCUAUGCUAUCCCAAUGUCGGGUCGUCCUCGACAGGGGUAUUUUGCAGGAUCAUCUCUAUUUGGCCCGAAGGGCUCGCAAUAUAUCAGCUUGGCGUUUGGGAUUGAUGAAGGAAAUGCCUUUAUCAUUUCGAUCUUCACGCUCAAUGCGAAUGGAUCCUCCGUCCUAAGAGAAGGUUGUUUUUCACUCAACUCUUGAAAGCGUUCGAAGGAUGUGUUUGGAAAUGACUUACCUUUCUUCAUCCUAAGCACUCCUUGUUUGGCAUGAUUAAUGUUUCAACUUUUUAUCCGAAUAAAAUCAUUCUUACGAGCUCCCCUCUUCGAGAAUUACUGACAUGAAGCACGUAUAGUGGCACCAGAAAAUAGGUGGUAGGAAUGAGGCUAUGCCCCCCGAUUUUUUUUUUUUUUUUACCUCUCAUUUAAGAAAAAGAGAUAUUCACCCAUCUGUGCGGAGACUUGAUGGGUCUUUUCAAUUGAUUUUUCCCUACGCCAUUUUCCUCAUCGAACGGUAAGGUGCCUGAAACGCAAAUAGAUAUGCGUGUAUGUGAUAUAUGUAUGAUAUCUAUGAUGCUAUGCAUGAUGCCAUGUGACUCAGAUUGCGCAUGAAGUGGUUCUUCGACCUUGAUUUCAAUCAUGGAAAGUAUUUCUUGACUGCAUCUGAGUUUACAGAUCUAGGCAAUUCACUGCCAUCCAUUUCAACUAAAAUCAUAGCACCACCAGGCAGAAUCUUUUUAAUGACAUAAGGCCCUUCAUAGUUCGGGGUGAAUUUUCCAUGAGGGUCUGGUAUAAUUGGAAGCACUUUCCUCAGCACCAGGUCAUUGACUUCAAAGUAUCUAGGACGCACCCUUCAAUUGAAGGCUUUUGCAACUCGUCUCUGAUAGCAUUGGCCAUGACACACAGCUUGCAACCUCUUCUCAUCAAUCAAGUUUAACUGCUCAUGCCUCUGUUGCAUCCACUCAGUCUCAUUGAGCAUAGAUUGGGAAAGGACCCUUGGAGAAAGGACCUCAACUUCAACAGGUAAGACUGCCUCCAUCCCAUACACGAGUGAAAAAGGAGUUGCCCUUGUGGAGGUGCGGAUAGAAGUUCGAUACGCCAUUAACGUGUAAGAGAGUCUAUCGUGCCAAUCACGAUAAUUUUCGGCAAUCUUCGAUAGGAUUUUCUUUAUGUUCUUGUUCGCCGCCUCCAUUGCUCCAUUCAUUUGAGGACGAUACGGUGACGAGUUCAAAUGCUUAAUUCGAAACUCACUAAACAAUCAAUCUACGACUUUGUUGUUCAAAUUAGUGCCAUUGUCGGUAAUGAUCGCCUCCGGCACCCCGUAGCGAGCGACAAUGUCGUGACGAAUGAACUUCGCCACAUUUUUUGCAGUAACAUUAACAUAUGAAUUGGCCUCGAUCCACUUGGUAAAAUAGUCUAUCGCCACCAGGAUGAAUCGAUGCCCAUUUGAAGCUUUGGGGUUAAUGGGCCCAAUCACGUCAAUUCCCCACAUUGAAAAGGGCCAGGGUUGAGACAUUUGGUGAAGCUCAUUUGGAGGGGCAUUUAUCCUAUCUCCAUAAAUCUGGCACUGGUGACACCGUCGUACGUGUCGAAUGCAGUCAGACUCCAUGGUAAGCCAAUAAUAACCGAGUCGCAUGAUCUUUCUCACCAAGAAGUGUCCAUUCAUAUGGGGGCCACACUUCCCUUCAUGUAUCUCCUUCAUCAAACGGUCGGCUUCUUUAACGUCGACACACCUUAGCAAUGUCGAGUCGAAUGACCUUUUGUAGAUGACAUCUCCACUGGCAAAGAAUUUCGAUGCUAACUUUAUUAAAUGCUUUCUAUCUGUUGCUUCACUUCCUUCGAGAAAUUCACCAUUUUGCAGAUACUUCAAGAUGUCAUGAUACCAAGGCUGUCAGUCUGGUUCUUCUUCAAUCGUCAUGCAAUAGGCGGGGCGCCUAAAGAUUUCAAUUCUUAAUAGUUCAAUGUCCAAGCCUCCAGCUACUUGUAACAUUGAAGACAAGGUAGCUAGGGCAUCAGCAAACUGAUUUUGAGACCUUGGCAAGUAUUCAAAUUCUAUUCCUUGGAAUUCUUCCGUCAACUUCCCUAGGAACUCAUGAUACGGAAUCAAUUUAGAAUCCUGUGUUCGCCAUUCGCCUUUAGUCUGUAAGAUGAUAAGGGUUGAAUCACCAUAAACUUGCAUCUUUCGAAUCUUCAUGUCAAUAGCAGCUUGGAGGCCGAGAAUGCACGCUUCAUAUUCGGCAAUAUUAUUCGUGCAAGGGAACGUCAAUUUAGCGGCAACAGGGUAGUGCUGACCAUCUGGGGAGAUAAGAACCGCCCCGGUACCCGACCCAGCUAAAUUAACUGCACCAUCGAAGUACAUUGUCCAUUUGUCACUUGAUACAAGUAAAAUUUGUUCCCCUGCAUCACUAUCCUCAUCAGAUGUCCUGGACCUCUCGGGACUUUCUGCCAACAUGUCUGCUAUGGCGCGACCUUUAACGGACUUCUUCCCUUGGCUCUGAACGUCAAACUCUGAAAUUAAGAUUUGUCACUUGGCCAACUUGCCAACCAGUGCCGGCUUCUCCAAGAGGUAUCUGAUGGGAUCAUUUUCGGUCACCAACAAGAUUCGGUGAUGGAGCAUGUAUUGCCGCAGCCUGUGCAAAACCCAAAUCAAGGCCAUGCAAGUUCUCUCAACUUCUGUGUAGUUCAUAUUGGAAAUAGUAAACUUCUUGCUCAAGUAGUAUAUCGCGCAUUCUCUCCCGUCAUUUGGUCUUUUCUGUGCUAACAUGGCUCCCAACGAUUCAUCAUAUAUGGUCAAGUAAAAAUUAAGGGAAUUUUAGGGAUAGGGGGUACUAAAACUGGUGCGUGAGUGAGAUAGUGUUUUAUCUUCUCGAAGGCACCCUGGCACUCGAUAUCCCACUCAAUCUUUGCGUUCUUUUUCAAGAGCUUGAAGAAUGGCCUCGUUGUUUCAGACAACUGACAGAUGAACCUCGCCACAUAAUUGAGCCGCCCCAUCAAGCUGCGGACCUCCUUGGUGGUGGUCGGGGCUCGUAAAUCACAAAUAGCCCUAACAUUUGACGGAUCAAUCUCUAUGCCCUUGUUACUAACCAUGAACCCUAACAGCUUCCCCAAUCUCGUCCUAAAAACGCAUUUUGUGGGAUUAAGGCACAGCUUGAAUUUCCGAAGACGUUUGAAUAGUUUUUGCAAGACUCCAACAUGGUCCUCACCCUGUCUUGACUUUGCAAUCAUAUCAUCCACGUAUACCUCGAUCUCCUUAUGCAUCAUGUCAUGAAACAACGUUACCAUGGCCCUUUGAUACGUUGCCCCACGCAUUCUUUAAACCAAAAGGCAUCACUUUGUAGCNNNNNNNNNNNNNNNNNNNNNNNNNNNNNNNNNNNNNNNNNNNNNNNNNNNNNNNNNNNNNNNNNNNNNNNNNNNNNNNNNNNNNNNNNNNNNNNNNNNNGAAGGAGAAUAACUCAAAUCCCGCCAUGCUGUCAACCAAGACAUCGAUAUGUGGGAGUGGAAAAUCGUCUUUGGGGCUUGCUCGAUUUAGAUCACGAUAGUCAACACAUACUCUGACUCGCCCAUCUUUCCUCAUUACAGGCACGAUAUUUGCUACCCAAUCAGGAUAACGUGUCACUUCGAUAAAAUCUACUUUUAGCAACUUCAUUCAUUCUUCUUCGAUCUUCUUGGACAAUUCUGGUUUAAUUCUCCUGAGUCUUUGCUUCUUGGGUGGCAUAUCAGGAUCUGUUGGUAGAGCAUGUUCCACAAUUUCGGGGUCUAAUCCCAGCAUGUCGGCAUAUGUCCAGGCGAACACAUCUUGAUAUUAUUUCAAAAGAUUAGUCGUCUUUUCCACCUCUGACUCUGAGAGACAUGCCCCGACCCUUACUUUCCUGACAUUCUCUGCAUCACCUAAAUUUAUGGUGAUUGUUCGCUCUUCGGUCAACGGCUUCGAUCCUUCGUAUCGAUUCCAUUCGCGUUCAAUCCCCUUCUGAUCGUCAUCGUCAGUGUCAUCAGAACCUGAGAGACUUUCUUCAUGCACGUCCGAGUCAUAUGCGUCCUUAUUAUGAUUAUGCAUAAUGUAAUGCCUAAGAUGCGAUAAAAUGAGUUAGAGCAAUGUCGACAAUAAAAAUGAUGCAUGUCACUUUUUGAAGGAUUUUUGUAAAAGUUUCAAGAACUCACCCUCAUAUCCUCGGAUUUCCUCGUCCUUGCAAAGCAGUCAAAUAAGGGAGCAUGUGGAGACCUAUGCCUCAGUGACCAUCAUAGGACUAGUUUGAUGUGCCUCCACAUGUCCUUAAUAAAACAUGUGUCUAUUUUAUUGAAUGAGGAAAGAUAAGGCCGUAUUUUAACACACACCACCCACGACCAACGGCUCAAGAUCGGGGUUGACCAUAGUUCACAUUACAAAUGACAUAAACGAGAAAUAAAGAAAGAAAAACUACGAGAUCCCACGUAGGGGAGAAGACAUAAAACAAAAGACUAGGCUAGACGAGAACCGCCCUACUUUGAAGGGACAACCAUGACUUCGGAGGACUCAGCCUCCUCGCAUGCCAGGAUGGCACAUAUGACGUCUUCCUCGAAUAGCUCAGUCACACCAUAGAUAUUCCCCUCUUCCUCGAAUAACAUCCUUGGAGGUCUUGGAAACGUUUCUUCCAACAACGGAUGAAACGUCCUUGAUCGCCCUCACCCUCCUCGGUUUGGGCAAUACGUUCACUCCAAUAUAUAUACCCACCUCGGCCUCCUCGAGCAUUCCGGCCUCUCUGCCUUCCACGGCCCCCUCGGUUGCCACGACCACCUUGCUCGCUACGACCUUCUCGCCCCUCAACAUAUCGUAGGCCUAUCCUAUUCGAGUUUUUAUGAGCUUCAAUGGGCUUUCGCACACCCUGACCGUGUGAUCCAAGGCCCUCUCCAGGAUUAUACCCACUUGCCAACAUAAUCUUUCCCGCAGCUAUGGCUGGCUUAGACAAAUUAGGAGCCUUUGUGAAGGACCCUACAGGCACAUGGACCAUGGAUACCAGCUCGGGGGUUUGAAAGCUGGAUUCCUCGAUACACUCUGGCUCCACAUAGGGGAUGGUUGUCUCGUGAUAGAUCUUGAAGUCGGAUUCUCCAUGGACCGUGAUAAGCCUGUUGUCCACCACAAAUCGUACCUUCUGAUGAAGGCUGGAGGCAACAGCACCUGCUGUGUGGAUCCACGGUCUCCCUAGCAGAAAAUUAAAAGCACUUGGUAUAUCUAAUACCUGGAACACGGCUUGAAAAAGUACAGGGCCAAUCAGCAGCUCAAGCUCAAUUUCCCCUAUCACAUCCUUCUUCAUCCCAUCAAAAGCCCGCACAGUCGACUUGCCAGUACGGAUUCUCCCAAGAUCAAUGCCAAGACGGUGGAGAGUAGCCAACGGGCAUAUAUUGAGCGCCGAACCGUUAUCAAUCAAUACUCUGCAAACAAGAGUGCUUUCAUGUUUCACCGAAAUAUGUAGCGCUUUGGUAUGAUUAGGACCAUCGGGGGGGAGAUCUUCAUCAGUAAAGGAAAUUUGGUCUUUUAAUAGAACAGCCCCAACGAACUCCUCCAAUUGGACUUCAUCAAUUGACUCUGGCACAUGCACCUCGUUAAGGACUUUUAGCAAGAUGUCCCUAUGCUUCUCGGAAGAUUUGAAUAAUUCUAGGAGGGAGAUUUGAGCCGGCAACUUCCGCAGUUGAUCCACCACGUUGAACUCACUAGACUUUACUACAGCCAAAAAUUGCUUUGCCUCCUCCUCGGUCACAGCCUUCUUUUCUAUUCCCUUAUCAAGUGCGUAACAGCGGCCUGAUCGCGUGACAGCAUCUACCUCAUUUGUUCCGUAACCCCAAGGUACAGCUUUGGAAUCGAAUUUGGGAGGAUACUCCAGCAUUACCAUUCCGUCUUCCUCCUGGGGAGGCAAUUCAAUCGUGACCGGCAUUAUGUGUCCUCCCGUGACUUCGAUUGUCAACAUCUCUUCGACCAUAAGGUCGAUCACUGUGGGUUCAGCAAUUUCCAACCCGAUAUCGCCUGCGAGCUCCUCAUCAGACAAUUCAAUCACCAUUGAGGUAAUCAUGGCUAUCAACCCUUCCUCGUAUAAAGCUGGGGUCUUCGAAAUUCCAUGCAUAACCUUCCUCGCCCGAGACAUACCAGUAAAGUUGCAGAAAGAUGAGUGGAAUGAUGAUGGCAUUGUCAUGGAUACGACCUUCUCUUCCUCUUCUCCGCGUCUGAUUACUCCCAUGGUUAUCAUCCUACGGAUGCGGUUCAAUCUCUUUUCUAGGGUCACAUCCUCCCGGCCUUCAUAGUAUCCCGAUAGCACUAGGGAUUCAUACAACUCGGAAGCAUCCAAUACUAGAGGUUGCUAACUCGCUCGUGUAUCCUCGGAAGUUGAGUUCACUCCCCCUACAUGAUUUGGUAGAGGGUUCUGUUGCACGUUGGGCUGAGCUUUCCUGAAAGUCAAAAUGUUCUUGUCUAGAAGCUAUUGAACUUUGUAUCUUAGCAUGUGACAAUUAUCUACAUCAUGCCCCCUUUCUCCCAUGUGGUAUUCACAGGUCUUGGUUAUAUCGAACCCGGUGAACCUCGGGGGGUUAUCUCUAGGCACCUCCUUUACGACCAUCCUCUUUUCAAGAAGCAUGGGCAAUAACUUUGACAGCGGGCGUGAUAGUGGAGAAAACCCCUUUCGAAACGGCCUCUUGCCAUUAUCGAAUGCUUGUGAUGAACUACAUAGAACCAUCGUAGGCUUGUGCGCGGGUGUUGCGAUUGGCUGAAGGAAAUGGGGCUCUUGCACAAGCGCUACUUCAAUUGCGGCCUCCUUAUCUUUUCUUGCUAGGAAUUUCUUCGCGCCUCCGGUUGAAAUCUUUCCUUCAACCAUUGCCUAUUCGACUCCUUCACUUACCUCAACUAGCUGUGAAAAUGUUUGGCAACCCGAGAAUACUAACCCUUGGAAGUAUUCGGAGGGCAAUGUCUUGAGGAACAAUUGCUUCAUCUCCCUCUCAUUCAAGGCCGGCUUCACUUGUGAGGCCAUGGUCCUCCACCUUUGUGUGAAGGCCUUAAAUGACUCAUUCCUCUUCUUCUCAACACGAGUCAACUCUUCCCUCGUGGGGGCAAGCUCGGUGUUAAACCGGUAUUGUUGUAAGAACUCAUUGGCUAAGUCGUCCCAACUAGUGAAUUCUUCAAUGUCCAGCGCAAUGAACCAUGUCAAGGCAAUGCCUUCCAAACUAUCUUGGAAUGUGUGUAUGAGGAAUGGCACGUUGUCAGCAUAGCGAGCCAUUUUUCUCAUGUAAUACCUAAGGUGGGUCCUUGGGCAUCCCGUUCCGUCAUACUUUCUUGUGAACUCAGGCUCCUGGAAAUUCUCAGGAAAGCUCGUCUUGGUGUAGGGAGAUAACCUAUCAGCUCCUUUCAACUCAUAACCUUGCAAGACACAUAGUCGCUCUUCCAUCUUUGCCAAACGUUUUUCACUCUCGUCACUUAGGCGAGGUGUUGGGUUUUCCUUCGGAGGAGGAUCUAAAUUGACGAUGAUUGGCGUGGCAGAAGGAGCUUCUCCAGCAAUUUCUUUCCCGGGGAGAUCAGCAACGUGCGUGCCUCCCGUCGACGGGGAAGCAUGUUCUGAUAACGCCGGAGUGGAUGUUCUAGUGACAGCUACGGCGGGGGGCUCCCUAAGCUUCUGGCUUAUUUCAAGCAUCAUUGCGGUGAGUUGGGCCAGCUGGUCCUCCAUCUUGGCCAUGCGCACGUUGGCGUCAUCAUUCUCCAUUCUGACUUUUGCACGCGUGCGAAUUGGGGAUCUCCGCUUGGCCGUGUCGACGAUCAGUAGAAGACAAUCGAUAUUCCCUAACACAAGCAANNNNNNNNNNNNNNNNNNNNNNNNNNNNNNNNNNNNNNNNNNNNNNNNNNNNNNNNNNNNNNNNNNNNNNNNNNNNNNNNNNNNNNNNNNNNNNNNNNNNGACAAAGAUCUAAUCGCCCAAAUUUGCUCGUUUCAUUGAAAGCCAGGUUGCUACAUAAUACAAGAAAAAAAACGCAGAAGAAAACCCUUAAACAACAAAGCUAUUUCAAAGACGAAAAGACAUUCUCCUAACUCCCAAUUUUCAACAUCGAGACUCGAGACAAACUCCAUAAUAUUGCAACGUAUGCGAAUAUGGUCCCGCUACAUAUUGCGCUCGACUCAGUCUAACUAAUGAGGAUGGCUUUCGCUUGUGGUAGCUCCACUAACUCGGGUUAACUUCGAAGCACGCUCCUUGGCUUCCUUGAGCUCCCUCUUGAGGCACUUGAUCUCGGCUCGGUGGGUGAUCUUCAAUGGCACUUCAGGAAUCUUCGGGCGGAGGCUCUCUGGAAUCUUGUGUCUAAGGAUGUAUUCUUUCGAGGCAUAGUAAGUCUUCUCUUGCCACUCCAACUCUUCUUUGGGCCAAAUUAACUUUUGGGGGUGGCACAUAUCCCACAUAGACUUGACCAACGCAACGGAGUCCUCGUGAUCUUGGCAUCCGUCAGGAAAGUCUAUCCUGAGCGAGUCUUCCUGGAUCGCCAGCAGAAGCUGUUGAACCUCUUGAAACUGACGGGUGACUCGAGUCAGGUAAUAUUCGGUGACUCCAGUGAUUCCCAACAAAGGAAUAGGUCCAGUAAGUCCACACAUGAACCGUGCUUUUUGAACUCGGAGCCAUUUGGCAUGCCAUUGGAAAUCCUCAGGUCCGGAGUUGGUCAUGAAAACUAACCACUCAAAAUAAUGAUAAUCAGGGGCAAACAUUUUCCUAUCUCUAAACUUUAGGAUAGGGUGGUUAGAGUCAGAAAUGUCACUCACGGUCAUCAAGUUACCGAACCCCUUAAUAUGAGAAAAGAACCAAUUUUGCAAGAGUUCGGGGGGAGCAUAGAAAGCUUUGCUUUUGUUUUCUUUAAAACGAGUAAGGGAGAGAAAGGUUUCAAUUAGGACGGCAUUAACAAAACCCUUUCCCAUACUUACUUCACGAACUACCCAUGCCACGGAAGGGUUAAUAGCAUUCCUACAAUGUGGGAAUAAUACAAACCUGAAGAAAGCUAAGAGGAAAAUCCUGUUCUUUUGAAAAGAUUUGGCAUUUUGAAAAAGCUGAUUUAAGAUGAAAACGGGCAGGUCUUGCGGUUGGCUUUUAAAACUUUUCUCACGUCCUCUUCUUUAAUUUUAAGGAAAUCAUAUAAGGUUAAUGCAUGCUCGGUCCCUACAGGUGGGCUAACUAACUCCGACACCAAGGGUUUUCCAAUGGCAACGCCGUAUUCUUCCAAGGUUUGAGUGAGUUCAUGAUCACCAAGUAUGAACGUGCAAGUUGCGGGGCACCAAAAAUGCGUUAACGCUUGCACAACACCAGAAUGAGUUUCUAUCUCCAAUAGGGGAAGUAAACGUCCAACAUAUGAUCGCACCCAAUCACGGCCUGUUGGAUCUAAUCUAUCCCACCACGCACGAAGCUCGGUUUUCGGGACGGAGAUGAUGCGAAGGUCGGGUACCCCCAUCGUAUGAUCAACCUAAUUUGUCAUGGACCAGCCAAAAUGAAAAUAAAUAAGUAAAUUGUGAUGAAAAGAAUUCAAGAAAAACUUACCCUACUGAUUGAGUAGCGAUGUAAAGGUCAUAGACAUGCGCAUGGACUGUGGUUCAAUUUCUACUCUAGAUGGCUCAAAAUGAAGCCAUGGGAUCACAGGACUGAACCAACAAACUCAUGGCUAGGUCGUGUUACCCAUGACUCCGGCUUCAUCGAAGGACCGACCCAUGUCGCAUGCUCGCAAACCAGGGUGGGGACCUUUGACAUCAAGAAAAAAAUUUCGGGGUUGAGAUGGGCGACUCGUACUACAUGCUUGUAGUCGGAGUGGUAUCCACCUUAACACCAUCCUAAGUGAUCUUAUGCGGCCCAGGUUCGGCAGCAGGUUGUGUGUGCUCAAGUGUAGUGCAAUGCAGGGGAUGCAUGCAUGACAAUUUAUAAGCAAUCGACACUUCAUACAUGAAUAAUAAACCAUACAUUCCUUAACCUUCCUACAAGACAAAGGUGAGCAAACACUUCCCCUUAUACCUCUCAUUCUACAAAAACAUUUAACACCUUUAAUGUUAUGGACGUACCUGAAACCCUCGUUGCCAAACAAAAAUAUUUUAUGAACAAGAUUAAUAUUGGCCUAAGUCCUCUAAGGUUUAAUUAUCUAUGUCCCCAGUGGAGUCGCCAAGCUGUUGCGACCUACCCUCGGGGGGGGAGGGAACAGGUUUAGGGGUAUUGCCUAAAGGACGGGGCUAAGGCCCGCGAUCAUGCGCGGGCUCUCCCAAGCCCAUACCCCGCGUGACAUUGGGAUAUUCUUUAGAACUUUUGCACAAAAGGAGUCGCCACUAGCCUAUUGGGGUCGGCUAGAAACCAAGUUAGGUAUGGGAGUGUACCUCACUUCCUACGCAACCAGAAAAUCUAAGUUCGGGGACUUGAUUACACUAAUUAACCAAUUAGUGCCCUUUCGGUACCUAAUCUUGUUCAUUUUAACAAAAUAAUUUUUGACAGGCAGUUUGAAUUGAUUUUAUACUUAUCCACUAACUUAUGAGGUGAUCAUGCAGGUGCGCAAUCAUUAAAGUAAUAAUCAUAACUAUCAAGAUCCUAAUUGCCAUAAAAUUAAACACAUGCAAUCAAAUAUAAUUAGAUAUGCAAAUAAAACAUGUAACAUAAUCAACAUACGAGCACAUAAAGGUCUAAUUACACUUAAAUGGCAAUACAUGGCAAGUCCUAAUCAAACCCUAUCAUUUUUGGAUUUUCGAAAUUUUUAAUUUUUAAAAAAAAUUUAAAUUUUUUAAAAGAAAAAUAACUAAUUUCUAAUUUUUAAAUAUUUUCUGGAUUUUCGAAAUUUUUUUAAAUUUUUAAAUUUUUUAAUUUUAAAAAAAAUUAAAAGAAAAAUAACUAAUUUCUAAUUUUUAAAUAUAUUUUUUUGGAUUUUCGAAAUUGUUUUUUUUAAAGAUUUUUUAGACUGGACCGGGUCGGGUCCGACCCGACCCGGGCUCAGCCCGAGCAAGACGGGUCAGGUCCGCCCGACCAAGCCUGCUUGAGGGCAGACUGGACUUGGGCCCGAUCCGGAGGGCCCAAAUCUUUUUUUCUUUUUUUUUUUUAAAUUACUCACAGGCCCACGGCCCAGGUUGAUUCCGAGCGGUGGACCUGCAGGCCAGGAGAGGCCGAGCGGGCCAGGUCGCAGACGUGGCCUAGUUCAGCCCACGCUCCCUUGGUCAGCAAUUGCUCAGUCGCGACCAGGGAGCUACGACGGUGGGGAAGACGUGGGGGGAGGGGCACCAGCGAUCCGAUUGGGGUCACGACGGUGCCGCCUUGUUUCAGAGGGAAGCAGUUCGACUUUUCGGCAAACGGCGGCAGAAUUCCGGUGACUAAGAGGCUAGCCGGACUUUACACAGAGGAAUCAAGGAGGAAAAACUUGCUUGGGCAUUACGGCGAACGGAUAGAGGGCAAGGGCAAACCAGGAGGCUUCUGACCUAAACCGGACCUGAGGCGGCUACAGCGGUGACCAGCAAGCAACACAAAAACAGAUAGGAAUUUAAGGGGGACCUAUGGAGGCCGGAGCUCGCCCGAAACGGACGGAACGAACUCCGACCAACUCGAGCUCAAGAUGCACACCAGGUAUUCGAUGAAAUACCAACCUGAGUUCCGACCGGAAUGGUAGCUUGGAGACGCGUCUACGGCGGUGGCGGGGGCGAAGGCGGCUCGGAGAUGCGUUGACAGCGGUUGCAGAGGUCUGGAGAUGCAUCGGCGGCGGCGGCCUCCGUGAGUUCCCCUCCUCCUUGCUCUCUGUUUCUCUCGCCCUCUCCCCUAUUCUCUCUCUUUUUCUCGCCCUCCACCCCCUGUUUUUCUCUCCUCUCAUUUUUCGGUCCUCUCUCUAGUCCCCUUCUCUUUUUCUCGAUCCCCCCCUUUUUUUCCCCCUCUGUCUUUUUUUUUUUUUUUUUUUUCUGGUGCAGAUCUCCCCCUGCUUCUCUUCGCGUGCGUGCGAAUUGGCUCCGCGUGCAUCCGAAUCGGCUCCUCCUAACCCGCCGACCUGCUAGCGAGAUGAUGCUGUCUCCUCUACCUUCGCUGCCCCUGCUUUCGGCUUCGCCAUUUACCCAAGCGGACGGCUGCUUUCUGCUUCGCUGGUUCCCCGUGCAAAAAACGGCUGAGGGAGAAGACAACGGGGUGGGCCGGGCCAGAGGGAAGAAGAGGGCUGGGCUGUGCGAGGGGAAAAGAAGAAAAGAAAAGAGAAAAAGGAAAUGGGAGGGUUUGAGCCCAAGCCCACGCAGGGAGAAAAUAAAAGGAAAAAGGGACCGAGUCGGGCCAAGGCCGGAUCCGGCCCAACCCGGACCUCACAACUCCUUUUUUUUUUAAAGGAAAUUAAUAGUUAAAAUUUUUGAUUUUGUUUUUUUUUAUUUGAUUUUGAUUUUGAUUUUGAUUGAUUUUUUUAUACUAUUUGAAAGAUAAAAAAUAGGUGUCAACAUCCUCUUUUCUUUUAUUCUUUUCUUUUUCCUUUUCCUAUUUCCCUUUUCCCCUUUGGCCGGUGACCUUAUUGGAGCGUCACUCGCCCCCGACGAAGCACUUAAGCAAGGGUUGGCCAAGCCUUGGCUGGGUGAGGUCGGCCUUGCCGAUGGCUUGCGAUGCUCCAAUGAGAUCAUUAGCUCGGCGAUCGGCCAAAGAGGAAAAAAGAGAAGAAUAAAAAGAGCAAAAUAUAAUAAAUUAUUUAAAAAUUAAAAUAAAUUAUAUAUCACAAAAGAAUUUGAAGUUUUAUCAAAUGCAUUUCUUUAUCGAGAAUAAAAUUUUUGGAUAGUUACAAAACGUAUUCAAAUUCUUAGAAAUUCGUCUAAAGAACAAGAUAAAAAAAAUAAUUUUUAAGUAGAAAUUAUUCUUGAUAACAAAAUGAUUACCGAAUAAACCCUUUUUAGUUAAGCCACGCGGCACCAAGUUACUGACCUUUUUUUUUUCUUCUCUUUUGGGGAGCAUAAUGGUGGGACAUUUUUUUUACCCAGUCAAAGAAGUGAUGGGGCCCACUUUUUUAUUAAAAAAAAGGAAAGAGGAUUGAAAAGUCAAAUUGAAAGGCCAAAAGAAGUAAAAGUGCUCACUCCUUUUUUGGAGCUGAAGCGGUUUGGGAAAGAGAGAGAAAGAUGAAUGGUACUUUCGCAUGGUAUAGAUAUUUUCUCCUUUCUCAAAAACAUGGCCGGCUAAUAAUAAAAUUCGAUUUAAUUGUUUAUAUGUUACCUGACACUCUACUUUAGCAAGCAAACACGAAAUUGACCAAGAAUUUUUUAACAGGUUUUAAAUUCACUACUUUAUUCAUCCGUGCGUGCUCUACUACGAAAGCAUUUCAAAAACCUCAGCUCACUUCAAAUCUAUUUAUUAACUGACUAAAUAGUAUCUUAUUUUAAUUUUUUUAGUUCCCAAAAACAAAAUAAAUAAAUAAAUAAAUCCGUUUGAUAACAUUUUGUUUUCGAGAACAAAUUUAUUCCCGUGAAUAUAUUCAAAACAUAAUCACGAAGUAGAAAGAAGUUGUUUAUUUGCUCUCGGGAGCAACUCUAGAAUCAAGUCCAUUUUCCUGUUUAUCCUCUUUUGUUUUCUUCUUUUCUUUUUUCCUUUUCCUCUUCCCCUUUUUUCUCCUUUGGCCAGUGGUCUUAUUGGAGCGUCACUCACCCCCGGCAAAGCGCUUAAGCGAGGGUUGGCCAAGCCUUGGAUGGGUGAAGUCGACCUUGCUAAUGGCCUGCGAUGCUCCAAUGAAGUCAUUGGCCUAGCAAUUAGCCAAACAGGAAAAAAGAGAAGAAUAAAAGGAAAAAAAGAGCAAAAUAUAAUAAAAUAAUUUAAAAAUUAAAAGAAAUUCUAUUUCACAAAAGAAUUUGAAGUUUUAUCAAAUGUGUGUCCUUCCCGAGAAUAAAAAAAUUGGAUAGUUAUCAAACGUAUUCAAAUUCUUAUAAAUUUAUCUAAAGAACAGGAAAAAAUAAUAAUUUUUAAGUAGAAAUUGUUCUUGAGAACAAAAUGAUUACCGAAUACCAACCUUUUUUUUUUUUUUCUCUUUUGGGGAGUGUAAUGGUGGGACAUUUUCUUUGAUGACGGGGCCCAGUUUUUUAUAAAAUAAAAAAGGAAAGAGAAUUGAAAAGUCAACUUGAAAGGCAAAAAGAAGUAAAAGUGCUCACUCCUUUUUGGAGCUGAAGUAGUUUGGGAAAGAAAGAGAAAGAAAGAGAGAGAAAGAUUAAUGGUACUUUGGCAUGGUAUAGAUCUUUUCUCCUUUCUCAAAAACAAGGUCUGCUGAUAAUAAAAUCUGAUUUAAUUGUUUAUUUCUUACCUGACGCUCUGCUUUAGCAAGCAAACACGAAGUUGAACAAGUUUUAAAUUCACUACUUUAUUCAUCUGUGCGUGCUCUGCUACGGAAGCAUUCCAAAAUCCUCAGCUCACUUUGGAUCUAUUUAUUAACUGACUAAAUGGUGUCUGAUUCUUCUUUUUUUUUUAGUUUCCAAAUACAAGAUAAAAAAAUAAAAAUCCGUUUGAUAACUUUUUUGUUUUCGGGAACAAAUUUAUUCCCGUGAAUAUAUUCGGAACAGAAUCACAAAGUAGAAAGAAGUUACUUCUUUGCUCUCGGGAAUAACUCUAGAAUCAAGUCCAUUUUCCCUUUUUUUCCUCUUUUCUUUUCUUCUUUUCUUUUUUUCCUUUUCCUCUUCCCAUUUUUCCCCUUUGGCCGGGGACCUUGUUGGAUCGUCACUCGCCCCUAGCAAAGCGCUUAUGCGAGGCUUGGCCAAGCCUUGGCUGGGUGAGGUCGGCCUCGCCGAUGGCCUGCGAUGCUCCAAUGAGGUCGUUGGCCCGGCAACCAGCCAAAGAGGAAGAAAGAGAAGAAUAAAAGGAAAAAAUAGCAAAGUAUAAUAAAAUUAUUUAAAAAUUAAAAGUAAUUUUAUAUCACAAAAGAAUUUGAAGUUUUAUCAAAUGCAUUUCUUUAUCAAGAACAAAAAUUUUGAACAGUUACCAAACGCAUUCGAAUUUUUAGAAAUUCAUCUAAUGAACAAAAUUAAAAAAUAAUUUUUAGAAAUUGUUCCUCAUAACAAAAUGGUUACCAAAUAGACCUUUUUUAGCUAGGCCACGCCACACCAAGUUACCAACUCUAGAAUUAAGUUCAUUUUCCUUUUUUUCCUCUUUUCUUUUCUUCUUUUCUUUUUUCCUUUUCCUCUUCCCCUUUUUCCCCUUUGGCUGGGGACCUCAUUGGAGCAUCACUCCCCCUGACAAAGCGCUUAAGCAAGGCUUGGCCAAGCCUUGGUCAGGCCAACAACUCGGCGACUGGCCAAAGAGGAAGAAAGAGAAUAAUAAAAGGAAAAAGGAAAAGAAAAAAAAAAGAGCAAAUGAUAAUAAAAUUAUUUAAAAAUUAAAAGAAAUUAUAUUUCACAAAAGAAUUUGAAGUUUUAUCAAACACAUUUCUUUCCCAUAAAUAAAAAAUUUGAACAGUUACCAAGUCAAAGAAAUGGUGGGGCCCGCUUUUUUAUAAUAAAAAAAAAUGGGAAAGAGGAUUGAAAAGUCAAAUUGAAGGGUAAAAAGAAGUAAAAGUGCUCACUCCUUUUUUGGAGCUGAAGCAGUUCGGGAAAAGGAGAGAAAGGAAAAGAGAGAGAGAUGAAUGGUACUUUUCGCAUGGUAUAGAUCUUUUCUCUUUCGUCAAAAACAUGGCCGGCUGAUAAUAAAUCUGAUUUAAUUAUUUAUUUCUUACUUGACGCUCUACUUUAGCAAGCAAACACGAAGUUGACCAAGACUUUUUUGAACAGGUUUUAAAUUCACUACUUUAUUCAUCUGUGCGUGCUCUGCUACAGAAGCAUUCCAAAAACCUCAGCUCACUUUUUUUUCUAUUUUGUGGAGUGUAAAAGUGGGACAUUUUGAACUGGUGGGCUCACUUGUUGUCACGCCCGAUUCCGCUACAACUGUGCAACAACCCGCGCUAUCAUUAUACUUUCCCCUUCGGUCAUUCAAUUGCGACAUCUCAGGAGACGUCGGCAACCCAAUUCGUAGUAACGAUUAAAUGCACAAGCGGAAGCAUAAAUAGAUCUCCAACCAUCAAACUAGGAUAAUCAAAAGCAUACUUAUAUAUAUAUAUAUAUAUAUAUCAAGGUCAACAUCACAUAUAAGCCACAACAAGUUUAUCAAACUAGCUUCAACCUAACAUGCUUUGCCAGAUCCGAUUAGUUCAGAAGCACCGCCACGACCUUCAUCAAAAGGGGGUCCAAGGUACACCUAGCACCUCUAGUACUAUGAGGGUGGUUCACAAAGUGUUACUAACCCCACUACCACCUAACCAACUAAGGGCUCCAUAAUCCAAGGCUCAGGCUUGACAACCAUAGUGGGAUCGAGACCAAGGUCAAACAUCUCUCCAUCAGGAAUAUCCACAUCCAUGGCAUCUAAACACACAACCCCUGGUGGACCAUCGAACCAUGGAUGGGACCAUGGCUCUCAUCUCCUACCCAAAAGUACCAUGCCAUGAAAUGGUGAGUGACUAGAUUAGGCAGUCCCUCUUGACCCAAAUGGUCACGACAUAACACGUGUAACGUGCAUCAGUCUCCCCUAUCGAAUACUCGGUCACUUCCUAGCUAUACUCUAUGGAGAGUCUGGAUCGGAUCUACCAAAAAGGCUUAGCUAUUCUUAAGGCCUAUAAACAAUCAACAAAUGACAAUGAGAUAAAUUCAAUGAGUGAAUUUCCUAGACCUCGCAUAGAGAAGUCGUUCACCACAUAAACGCCUUAAACAUGCAAAUAUCUAUUGAUGGCAAAGCAUAGCAUAGCUCCUUUCGCUUUACCCUAACUAUUCACAUAGAAACGAGCUAUUUAAUCAAGGCCAUCAAUAUUACACAUAUGCAAAUCUCAUAACACUUUCCGCACUCUUGAGCCAAUCAUAUGAAUACGCAAUAUAGUUAAAUCAUGCGUUCAUGCCAUGCAAUAAUCCGGACCCAAUCACAUACAAAUCUCAUGCACUUUCCACACAAUAUGUCCAGAUUAUUAUGGUCACUCAGGAUGCAAGGUCAACCCGAAGGUUUGUAGUCAUUCGGCGUAACCGAGCAUUGUCUCACCCCCAUCGAGCACAACAUCAUCCUAUGUAAAUACACCAAGACGGCAUUCCUAUAAGGAGCUUCGUUUCAAAAUCCACCUACAAACAGUAUCCCAUUGACUUGGGGGCAUUCAAACUGAAUCAGGCAUCAUCCCACGUACAACACAUUAGGAUGGGUUCACACCCCCAUGUAAAACGCAUUAGGUCUUUGGGUGAUUACAUGAGCAUACCAUCAUGUAAUUCUUUUCAUAUCUUUUUUAUUAAUUCAUGUUAUGCCUAUGUGAUAUGCAAUAACAUUUGCCAUAUGCCAUCAUGUCACACACGUGUAACAUAUCAUAUUAUAUUAUAUCAUAUUAUAUUAUAAUGCACCAUUUAAUUCACAAGCCCACGGCAUAUAGUUCACUUAUCAAAAUAGAAUAGAGUCAUCAUCAUACAUCAAAAUUAUUUAUCACGUGCCAUCACAACCCAUCACAUAAUUCAUCUUUCAAUUAAUAUAACAUGCAUAACACGUAUAACUCAUAUGACACGUCAAACACAUACAACACAUAACACACAUAUAACACAUAAAACAUAUAUAACUCAUAUAGCACAUAUAACACAUAAUAGCCUACCACCCUAUUAUGGCACGUUAUAACAACAUAUCAACUUCACAUAACAUAACACGAUAACUUAUCACCCUAAACAUGAUAACCUAUCAUCAAAACCUGAUAACUUACCAUCUAACAUUCAAUAACCUAUCGCCAAAACUCCGAUAACCUAUUGCUAUAAACACGAUAGCUUAUCAUCCAUAACUUAAUAGCUUAUCGUCAAAAGCUUGAUAACCUAUCACUUUAAACUCAAUAACUUAUCGGUAAGAGUUCUAUAGCCUCUAAACCCAAUAAUCAUUUAUCACAUAACAUUCACUUAUGACAUCAAUAAAAUACCAUAAUCAAGCCCUAAACUACUCCAUAAGUAUAAUCACAGUCCUAAUCAAGGGUUAGAAAGCCACUCGCACACAAUCCAAGCUUUAAAAAGCAUUGGGGAAGGUGCGGCAAGGCUGGACAACUGCUGAACAUGCCUCCACAAUGCACGUGGGAGGCCGGACAGCGACUGAACAGUGGUUGGUCAACGAUUGGUCGGCAACGGUGAACUCCGAGCUUCCCAGGGACCAAACCACGAGAGAGAAAGAGGGAGAGAGAGCUGCUGUAAAGGGUGGACGAUGGCCUCCUCAGCUUCAAAACUCGGUUACGGCAAUGGAAAUGGCGUGCGAAGGGGCAGUUCGACAUUGGGGUGCUAAGGACGGUCGCCAAUGAGGGGAAAACAAGAGGAAGAUAAGAAGGAAAGCUUGCAAAAGAGAGAGCAAAGGAGGUGGGGGUUUCGAUGGUGCUAUGGGGAGAGAGAAAAAGUGAGUUUGAGAGUCAAAAGUAAGAAAAUGAAAGUGAGAGUGAGAGAGGGGGUAAGCCAAUGGUAAUGGAGAGGAAAAGGAAAUAAGAUAGAAUGGGAUAUCAAGGGAGCGUUUGGUAACGGUUAUGUUCCUAGAAAUUAUUCUUUUUUAUUUUGUUCUCAAGAACAAUUUCUAAGUAUUUUAAGUCGUUUGGUAACUGUCCAAAAUUUCAAUUCUCGGAAUAGAAUUGUGUUUGGCACCGUUCUCAAAAUUUCUACUUCAAAUCAUUUUCUUUUAAUUUUUUAAUAAAUUUAUUAAUUUUUUCCUUUUUUUCCUUUUUUCUUAUUUUCUUAUUUUCUUUCCUUUCUCAUCUUCUUCUUCAAGGGUUGCUGGUUGCCAGCCUUGGGAUGAUCAGAAACCAACCAGAUGAGGGCCAGAGCAUCAUUGGCCCUCGCCAAGGCCACGCCUCGUCGACCGAGCCUUGCCUAGGCAACUAGCCUUGCCCAGAUCUAGCAAGGCUGAGCUCGCCUAUCCACCAACAAGGCUCUACCUUGCUGACCCACCGUGAGGUCGGUGGGCGACGCGGACCUCACAGUGGCUCAGCGAGGUAGAGCCUCGCCGGCGAUUGGGCGAGCCCAGCCUCACCUAACCAUGGCUUGACCAAGCCUCGCCAAUGGUCAAGAGAGGCCUGGAUGAGGCCCACCAAGCCAUCGGCAAGGCUCAGCUGCGCUAAAUCUGGCGAAACUAAGCCUUGUCGGUGGCUGGGUGAGCCUCAGACGAGUUCAUCAGAUUGGUUGCCGGCGAUCGGCACUGGCAGCGACGGCAAUUGAAGAAGAGAAAAGAGGGAAGAAGAACAAGAAGAAAGAAUAGAAAAGAUUUAAAAAAAAAAAAUGGUUGGCUUGAUUCUGAAAUUGUCCCUUGGAAUAAAGAAUCAAUUUUUUUUUUUUUUUACUUCUUGAUUCCGUUCCAAAUCUACCUCCGAGAACAAAAAAAUAGAAAUAUGUUCUUAGGAAUAAAAAUUUUACCAAACGAAUUUCUGUUUCAAAUCUACUCCCGGAAACAAAAGAACAAAACUGUUACUAUUUGACAAGUUUCCAAACAAAGCCCAAAUCUUCAUAAAUGUCCAUCACAUCUCAAUCUUUAAGGGCUCACUUCUACCAAGCAAUUAGACAUGCCAUUGAUGGGGAAAGUCCAAGAAUUAAUAAAGGAUUUGUGCACAUGAGUGCAUAGGUUUGGGAUAGGCUAGUCUAGGUUAGGCUAGAAUGGUUUCAAGUUUCCUCAUUGCUGGCCACAUGCAUGUGCUGCCCCCUCCCUUGCCCUUUUACAACUUUGUCCCUUUGUCCUUAGCCAAAUGGAAAGGCAUUUCAGUCUUUUUAUCAAGAUUGUGCACUAUUCAUGUACUUAAAUACAUUAAAUGUCAAGAUCUUGGAAGAAAGGGCCUCAUGGGCUUGGAGAGUCCAUGGCCCUCAUGGGUCCCCGCUCCACUUGGGCGUGUGGCCCAUGGGCCGUUCAUAAUGGGUGUGUGGCCCAAUUGGGCCUAGCUAUGCGAGCUUGGGCCUGUUGGGUCGCCCAACGUGGGCUUGGGUCCUCACUCGUGGCUUGUUCUCAACUCUCUGAAUUUCAAUGUCCCUCCAAUGAGAAAUUGAAUUUCCACCCCAAAGUGGCAUUUCCGAUACUUUCAUGGUUUAUUGAUCCUUGAGGUAGUCCCGUUCGACAAUUGGUUGCCGAUAUAAUUCCGUUCUAAAAAUCGGGGUAGAAAUGAGAAUGUCACACUUGUGUUUAAAAAAAAAAAAGAAAAGAGGAUCAAAAAGUCAAAUUGAAAGGCCAAAAGAAGUGAGGAGUGCACUCUCACUCUUUUCUAGGAGCUAAAGCAGUUUGGGAAAAGAGAGAAAGGAAGAGAGAGAAAGCAAAAGAGAGAAAGAAAGAAGAAGAAAAAGGAAGAAAUGAAAGGGGGUUUCAUAUGUGUACAAUAAUGAGAUCUCACCAAGUCGACUUGAUUAUGUAACGCGAGGUCUAGUAAGUACUCGCACCCCUUAUUCUUCCAAUUGGAUUAGUUUUCGAGGUUAGGGCUUAAAAUUUGAAAUUUUAGGAAAUUUGAGUCACCAAGUCCAAUUUUUGAGUUGUUGAGCCACGUGUAUAUAUGAAAAUGAUAGUUUAGAAUAUUAUGCAGUUGCAGGAUUUUAUGGAACUUGAUUUGAGCUUAUGGUUUGUCUGAAAUAAAUUUUCAAAAUUUCCCACGUGUGAUGAACAGUGUGCAUCUAGUAACUUUGGGGUCGUAUUUCAUCAGUUUUUUGCUUGAAUUUGAGAUGGUCAAAUUAAGGUUAUCGUAGUCCAUUGAAAAUGUUUUCUAUUGAUUAUAAUUAUGUAUGGAAAAGGGGUUCGGUAGAGAGAAUUAUAACAUAACCAAGUUUNNNNNNNNNNNNNNNNNNNNNNNNNNNNNNNNNNNNNNNNNNNNNNNNNNNNNNNNNNNNNNNNNNNNNNNNNNNNNNNNNNNNNNNNNNNNNNNNNNNNUUUGAGUAUGCAAUUUAUUAGCAUGUAUGAGUCAUUUUAUUAGCAUUUAGGCAUUGCAUAGCUGUUUCAUAGUUAAUGUAUCGUGUUACUUAAUUUUAACGUUAUUUCUCACUUAUUUGAUAGGAUCACAAGAUCGAUGGUUCAAUAACGUUUGUUAUUUGGUUUUGGGGCUUUCCUAAAGUGAGUGGUAUUGAUAUAUUCUUUGCUUUUGUGAAAUCCAUGUGUCAAGGUAAGAGUAACUCGAUAUAUACAUAUAUAUGGAAGUAAGAAUAUACUUGUUAUAUAAAGCUAGAUAGAGUGUUUGGUACUUUUGAGUUAUUGUGAAAUGGUUUGAUAAACCUUUCCUAAAAGGUCAUGCGUACUACUUAGUGCAGCGAUUUAUGAUAUAACUCUUGGAAGAUUAUAUAUUUUGGGUUGAGAAACCAAUGGUGAUAUGCGCAGUAAAAGACUAAAUGCCGCACGAUAACGUUAUUUGCUUGGUUUACAAGAUUGAAUUUUGGAUUGAAUUUUAGUAUUGGAAGAUGGUUGUUUAAGCUCAUAUGACUGUGAACCCAAUGAAGAGUUAUCGGGUUUAAAGUAUCUUUUUGGAUUGAAUUACCAACUUUGUAGGUGGAGACCUUGCCAAGAGGGUCAAGGGGGGAAUCUUGGCCGCCUUGUCACCAGGCGUCAUGUGGCCACGAUUUCAUAUUGAGUAGAAGAUUUGUCGAUGGUUCCAUCGACGUGUUUUGAUAUGAGACCAUUGAUGCUUGAAUUGUGAUAAUGGUUUAAAUGAGUUUUUCAUAUUAGUAUGAAGUUUGUUGAAAUGAAACAACUCAUAUAUGAUUUAACAUGUGCUACUCACUAAGCUGUAAUUGCUCACACAUUUCUUUCCUAUCUUUUUAGGUCCCUCAAUUAGUGACUAAUACGACGAGAGUGAUAUCGAUGGGAACUUUUGGGAGCUAGACUUUUGGGUGGUUAGAGUUUGCAUUCUUUAGGUGGAAGGACAAUCGUGUCAUCCCUAUCCCUAUAAGAUUGAGGUAUGAUGAGGGAGGGAGGGAGGGAGGGAGGGAGGGAGGGAGUAAAGUACCAUGUAUUCCUAAGUUUUAGUGGAGAUGAUACUUGUUAUAACUUCAUGGGCUUCCUCCACCAACACUUAGAAAAAGCUAAACUCCACGUAUUCAGGGACAAAGAUGAAAUCAAGGUGGGUGAUGUGAUCUAUAAGAGACUCCUACAAAUUAUUGAUAACUCCAAAAUUUGCAUGCCCAUCAUCUCUCAAACUUAUCUUGAUUGUAAAUGGUGUCUCAUUGAGUUGAAACGCAUUAUGAACAACGUGUUUAGGUCUAAUGGUAGAAAAAGGAUUUUCCCACCUUUUAUAAAGUGAAAUCUAUGGAUGUUAAAUGUUGGACAACACACUUAAAGAAUCAUUUCUCCGAAGUCGAAUUUAGGGCGUUCAAAGAGGCUCUUGCAAAAAUUGGUAAAAAUAAGGGAUCGAAGGUGUAACAUCCUCAAUUUUGACCCUUAUUUUGGUCCCAACUAGGAGACUAGUCAAACUUUCCUAGAAAAUAAGUGUGAAUAAGUGUGAAAAGCAUUAAAUAAGGAUGAUGAAUGUAAAGGCUUAUGUCUGCCUAUAGCCUAACCUAGUUAUAACCCUAAACUAAGUAGGAGAUCUUGGAGGCCAAGAAAUGCACUACACAUUCAUUGGAAGGAAGAGCAAGCAAGUCAAACCUUCUUAGACAAGCUAAAAGCACAUUAAUUACAUUUGGCUUCUAGUUAUUCAAUGCCGCAAUGAAGUGUCCAAGCUAACUUAAAACCUAAUUGGAAACCUAGGAGAUAAGGAUGCCCGAUAAUUAUUACUUCUUGACUAAGUGGGAUUGUGGCAUCCCAGAAAUUCAAAUCCAAGCCUUAAGGUGUGUUAAAGUCUUUAAUUAGGUGGUAGAAUUUCCAUGGCUUAUGUUUUAGCCAUUAGUCUUUUAAUUUGAUGAUUUGUGCUUGUGAUUGUGAAAAUUUAAAUUUAAUAGAUUAAUAAUCUAUGCUUGGCCAUAUGAUUUAAAUUUCAAUAAUUAAAAUGUCCCAAGACUUUGGCCAAGAUGAAAAUUUGGAAUUCAAAAAUAUUUAUUGGAGAAUUUCAAAAAAAAAAAGAAAAAAAAAGGGGGUGAAUUUUCGAAAUGGGCCUUGGGCCCAUUAGCCUAAAGCUUGGUGGGCCAAGCUAGUCGGCCCAUUAGAGCCCAAGAAGAGAAUUCGAUCAGCCCAAGGAGGAGUGGCCGGAUGGCCCAACUCCAAAGCCCAAGCCCAAUCAAGUUUAAAAAUAAAAAUGACAAGUGGCAAGGGGCAAGAGCAUGCAUUGGGUGGUUUGUAGGCAAUCUCAUGAUUGCUAAUCAUGAGAAGAUGGGGAUAUAAAAAGAGAGAGAGAGAAGGGAGAGUGGCCGGUUUUUCUUCAUUUGGCCGAGAGAGAGAGUGCGAGAGAGAGAGAGAGAUUUCGAGAGAAAGAGGGAGAGGCCGAGAGGAAGAGGAAGGAGGGAGCCGCCCGUUCGCCGUGUCCCGCCGCCGUUCGUCGUCGCUUGUCCAUCUUAGAGGCAAGUGGAGUCCUUAACUUCUCUUGCAUGUUUGUUUUGUUGGCUGCAUGUUCGAUUUUAGGUGUGAUUUGUGCGAAAACCCGGGGUAAGAGUUGGUUAUUUUCAAACCGUGUGACUGUUCUUGCUCGGUUUAUGGAAGUCAGUAGCUUGUUCGAGCUUGCAUGCAUGUUUGGAGUCCCAUUUUGGCUUCUAUUUCUUCAUGGAAGUUGUAGCUAACAUCUUUUAGUAUAACAUACUGAAAUUUCGUGAAAAAUUAUGGAUAUUUGAGGGGUUAAAUCCUUGUUAUACGGAGACCUCAGAUCUGUGAUGUUUUCACUGACCUCUUGUUGGAUUCUUAGUUGCAUGUUGGUUUGUGAUGAAAAUCUGACUUCGGUGUCUUCAUGAAAGUUGUAGGUAAUAUCUUAAACUACAACAUACUCAAUUUUGAAGUGAAAAUAACAAGUAUAUCUUGGUGAAUCUGCUAGAUCUUGGAAACGAUGGUUCUGGUGAAGUAUUCCGAGACACCCGAGACUUCAUGGACUUAAAUGGUGACCAUACUUUGGUUAUUUGACCUAGAUCUCUUCAUGAAAAUUGUAAAGGACACCUUGGUACAUAACAUAAUCAAAUUUCAGAGGAAAAAAAAAGAAUAGAUGAGUGAAAUCUAAAAAUUUCGGAGAAGUGUAUUCUGGAAGAUGCGGUAGUGGUUCCAGAGGUUUCGUGGGGUUGUAUAAAUUAAUAUAAAAAUAAUUUGGCUUAUAUUUCUUCAUGAAAAGUGUACUAAAAUGUCUUGGAUAUCACCCUGUGAAAUUUCGUAAUUUUUGAAGGCCAUAUGAGUAUUUUAAUCGAAUUUAUUUGGAAACUGUGCAAUUCUGGUCAUUAUCCGAAUAUCAUGUGCUAUUUUAUGGAAAUUGUGAAAUUUUGAGAAAUUCAAUUUGGCCAUGAAUCUUGUAUGAAAUUGUGAUCCUAUUGGUUUUUUUAAUGAUUUUUUGAAUAUUAUGAUUUUGGGAAAAUCAUAGAUAUUAAAUUUAAUAUUUAUUUAUGAAAAUAAAUAAAUAUAAUAAUAUAAUAAUAAUAUAAUAAAAAAAUAAAAAGGGAAUUUUUUAUUGGCCAUGAAUUCCAUCGAAUUUAUUAUGCAUUGUUAUAUGACAUUGGUGUAUGUAUGAUCAUAAAUUGUGAUGCAUGUGUGAAUCAUAUGCCAUGUAAUAAUGAGAUUAAAAGGAUGGUGAACGUGGAAAAUGAUAUGUGAGUAAGAGGUUGUGGUGGAUGAUGAUGUCUGGUGGCCUAGUGGCGUAAUUCCAGAGAUUCCCUGGGAGAUUCAGGAUGCCCGGAAUGUGGGGGGCCGGAAGCCUUGUCGGAGGUCUUUGCCCGAAAGGAAUGCCUCGCGAUGCCAGGAUUUGGGUGCGGGAUGCCUGGCUAGAAGGGUAAAGGCCNNNNNNNNNNNNNNNNNNNNNNNNNNNNNNNNNNNNNNNNNNNNNNNNNNNNNNNNNNNNNNNNNNNNNNNNNNNNNNNNNNNNNNNNNNNNNNNNNNNNAAAGAAGUCCACGUGUGGUCCAUGACUGAUACAUGUAUGAUUCUUGCAAAAAUUGGGUUUAUUUGAUAUGUAUUGUUAAGUUCUUACAUCAAUUUGAGCAUACAUUUGAAUUGGGUUACGUAGUGCUUGAAUGAGUUUCAUGAGAUGCGAGCAUCCCUUUUUAUAAGCCACGGAUUUUUGAAAAACUUGUUCAUAUGCACUAACUCUCUCUAUCUUUGAUUCUUGAAAGUACAUAGACAGUUGAGAGCCUCUCAUAUGCAUAAGCAAGGCAAGGCACAAACCUUGCUAUUGAUUUGCCAUAGACAAGUAGGUGGUGACGUUGUAUCUGACAAUCGAUGGCAAGAUGUCCUCCUAUAGUUGUGACAUCCUGAAAAUUCGACCCUGUUUUGAUUAAAUGAACUAGGCUUUUCACCAACGCGCCUAUGACCCUCUCUUUCUAAGCUGAUCACUCACAAGAUAACUAAUCUAUCAGGUGAAGCUGUUAAAAGAUAUAAACGUAACAUACUUGAGAAUUCUAUCAGAAAUCGAUUGCUCGACCGUGCUAAUUGGCAAUGGUUAAUACGGCACCGUUAUAAUUGAUUAAAGAUCAGAAAUAGGUCAAUUCGACAAAAGCAUGUAAUUAAAUUAUGGGCGAUUCCACCUGAUUGCAAAAUUCGUGUCAAACGGCACUAAACCGAUUUUUCUAAACUAAUUUUUUUAUCAAUCUUGUACCCAAUACCGUAAUUGAAAUCUUGAGAUUUUUACAACAAUCGAGAGUCACCUAUGAGUCAGAGAUGUACAAACGUGGAUCAAAUUAUAGACCACGAGUCAAACGCUUUAAAAUCCCUAAAAACUACCCGGUAGGUUAGAUCAUGCUAAAAUCGCGUCCGGUUGAUUUUACCACGAAAUUAAACUCAGUUUCGAGAAUCAAAAGUUCGAGCAUAUCAUGAUUUAUUUUUAGGACAUCGUCUCAUCAUUUGAAGAAUUUUCCGUCAAGCCCAGAAUUUUGGCGGAAAAUCAAAAUUUGGCAAACUAAUUCAAGGAAAUUCGGAGGGGCAUUUUUUAGUGGAUUUUUGGACUUCAAAUUGAGUUAACUUAGUGAAGAUUUGUGAAGAAUUGGCUUGUGGAGGAAGCUUGGACAGCUUGGGCAGAAGACUUUGGGGUCAAACCACUUGAAUGCUUAUGAUAUUUGGAGUGGCAUCCCAUUGGCUUAAGCCAAAACUUUCAAGCCUCUUGUCUCCGCUUUGUUCCCCCUCUCUCCCCCUUGUUUCUCCCCCUACGUGAACCAGCCCAAAAAAAACCCUUGACUCCUGCUAUAUUCUUCUUCAGCUUUUUCUUCUCCAUUUUUCCCUCUACUCAGCCUCUUCAUCCCUGCCGCACGCCAAGCCACCAGCUACUCCGCCCAUGCCAACCAGCGUAGCGACCAUGUCCAACGACUAGCCAGCCUCGCGUUCACCAGCCUACUCGUCACUAUCCUCCGUCCGCCUGCUCGAGCCGCAUCGUAGCCCCUGCUCGACCGCCAUCCAGCCCAAUCACAGCCUCCCUUUCGUCCGAACCCUGACCCAUCUCCAGCUCACUCCACCAUACCAGCUAGCCCGAGUCCAACCCGCUUUAGCCCCCUCGAGCAGAACAGGAUCUCGGCCUUGGCUAAGACUUGUUGGCUAUUUUUCAACCUUUUUCGAGCCUCCUUUGGUGUCGCCGUAGGCCCGAGUCUUGGCCACCGUCUCGCCAUCGUCGUCGUGGACUCAUUAGUUCACUAAUCCAGUGAGUUAGCACUCUAAUCUUUAAUUAGAGGGCUAAUUGCACUUAGGGGGAUUAGUUUAAGGUUAAUUGAGAUUAGUGAAAUUUAGUUAGCUUAACUAGAUUGGUUAGGAUGAUUUAGUUAGGCCAAUCAGGUGGUUAGAUGGUUAGUUAGACCAUUUAGUUAGCUUAAUUAGUUAAUGUAGUUAGUUAGUUAAAUUAGUUAAAUUAGUUUAAGUAGACUAGCUCGGUUAGCUUAUGUUAAUUUAAUUGAGUAGUUUAAUUUAAAUAUUUUGUAAUUUAUUUAAUUAUUUAUUAAUUAGUGUAAAUUAUAUCGGGAUAGCCGAUUGUCAGAAUUUCGUGCUGAUUGUCGUGGAAGUGUUUGUGAAAUUGAUUGCUAAUUUAUGCAAUUGAGUGAUGUAUAAUGAUUUUUAAUUAUUAUUGCAAAAAUAUGAGUUUAUGUUAUUUAAUUAGAAAAAUUCCAGGUGUCGAGCUUUGACACCAAAAAUAUUUCAAGUACUAUAUAAAAUCGUUGAAUUUUGAAAAGAGAGAAUAUCACAUUUUAUGGUUUGAUUUGAUUGUGUGUCCAUGUACCAGGUGUUUUUAAUAUGAAGAAAAUAGGUCAAGUACAUUAUUUGAAAUUGAGGCAUUUGAGUGCAAAGCACGAUAUCCUUGGCCGAAAUUGGAUGUGUGCGUGAUUGUUAUCGGAACCCAUCACGAUGCGUUUACGCCGGACGAUGCCUAAUUAAGGUCGUACAAAUACCGGUCGCAAUGGAAGCUAGGCCAAUCCUCCUUUGGAAAUGCCGUCUAGAUGUAAACGUUGUCGUGCCCAACAAAGCGGGAUGAUGCCCAGUUAUACUAAAUGACCGCUAACUAUUGAAUUAGCCAUGGCCAUUGGGUCGUAAUUAAUUGGGACACGCUUAAGUGAUUGAAAUAGCUGCGCUUGAUUAUGGGAUGAAAUUGUAUGACACAGAAUGGGAUGUAUCAUAACGAUUUGACCUUAUAAUCGAGACCUUGUAAUUAAUUGAUAUAUGAGAUGAGGUGUUCUAAUUAAUAGUUUAAGCUUACUGUGUACAUAUAUGAUAUAUGUGAUGUACUAAUGUGCAGGGAGGAGCUGAGGCGAGAUAAGUCCUAUAUGUUGUAUAUUUAGGCUGCUUCUAGGUGAAUUCUUAUCCUAAUCGGGGUAUAAGGUGUAGACUCGUUGAGACUUUGUCUCACCCUGUCGUAGUUUAAAUUUUUACAGGUCCUUAGAUGGAGGUGCGCCACGUUCAUUUUGGGUGGCCAUAGGAGGCGGAGACCUAGCAUAUCAUACUCCCUAUCCACGAGACCCUUGACUGGACCCUUUCGGCGUGACUACCAUUUGGGUCGAUGAGGGCCUACCUAAGUUGAUACCUCACCGAUUCAAAGCAUGGUUCCAUCAUGGGCCCAACGGUGUUCGGAAGGGCCCCUUGAAUGGUUUUGACAAGCCUGCCAUCAAUGACGAGUAUGUGGAGGAACUCGACCCUGUCGUGGAUGUCGAUAUUAUAGCCGAUAUCGAGGCAAAUCAGUUGCCUAAGGGUGAAGAGCCCGCAGUUGAGGUAGCUGACCCAUUAGACAUCGACAUCCAUGACGGUAUCGUGGUAGACCUGGAUCCCAAGUAGAUAGGGCCCGGGGUAGGGUUAGCUUGGUAGCUCUUUUUGGGGUCUAGAUCUUUUGUAUAUAACUUUGCAAGGCUAAUAUGGUCUGUUUAUAAAACAUGGUUUGUGAUGCUUGGAUGUUCUGCUUUUCAAUCCCAUGUUGAUUGUUAUCUGGAAUUUAUUAGUCCGCUUCUGCAUGUGCAUAAAUUGAUUGGGUCAGCGAUGUGUCCUGGGAACAUCACAUUUUAGUCACCGCCAAGGGAUGUGUGCGUGCCUGAGGUUCGAGACGUGACAAUAGGAGAAUUAGGGAUUUCUAAUUACUGAGUCAUCCACUCACUCUUAUUGUUCUAACAAUUUUAGGUGUGUGAUGGUUGAACCUAGAUCCUAGAAGGGAAUGAAUCUAGCAUGGGAAGGUCGCUUUUGGAAGCAGCUUAGUAGAGGAGCUAGGCUACCCCAGCCUUUUGAUUGACUAUAUAUGGAAAUGAAAAUAAGUGGCCUAGGACUACAUUGGGCAUGUAAUCAAAAUAGCUUUUGAUGUGUGAAUAUGCAUAUGUAUAUAUUGCUUUUAUUUGCUUGACUUGCAUAUGUCUUGCCCGGCUUCCAUGUUUGUUUGUACAGGGAUUGUUUAUGAUCACUUCCACAUGCGCUUAACUAAAGAUAAAAGACUUUCAGGACAUUUGACGUUGCCUGGGGCGUUGAUGCUAACCCAUCGGGUCAUGCUCUCAUGCUAGAGAUGGGGCAGAGGUGUGACAAAAGGUCGAGGAGCAACAAUGGUAAAGCUACCUUUAAGAUGCUUGCCUAAUUCUUCUUCAUCUUCCUCUUCUUCUUUUUCUUUUUUCUUUUUAUGUUUUUGUUUUAGGGAAUAAAAUAUUACCCUAUCAAAUCAUUUCUCUUCUCCUCCUUUUCCAAAUGGAAAAUUUUGAAAACUACCUCCAACUCCAAGUGCUGCUCCCAUUGAACUUUAUGGGUGCUUUUGGUUCAGCAUUCCCAAGUGGCUUUCAACCUUCAAAGCCUAUUGGGGAAAUGUUGGACUAUUUAGCAACAAUUUUGAAGUAGCUUUCAAGUGAAAGUUAGUAUUAGGAAGGCUGAAAACCCAAUGUUAUGGCCCAUUUGGUUUGGCUUUUGGGGAAUACGUUUGCCAAAAUGCAAAUACCUUUGGGUGAAUGGGGUUUUCCGAAAUGCAAAUAUCGUUUGGUAAAAUUUGCAUUGAAAUACAACUUUGGCUAAAAUACUAUUUGGUAAAAUUUGCAUUUAUAAAUGACUUUUAUUAAAUCAAAAAAACAAAAAGAAAUUCUAUUUUCUUUUUUGAAGUUCGGCCACCGGACUGUCGAAUCCGGCGACCGAAUGGCCAAAUCUGGCCACCUGGGUCGUGUAACCCGUCAGGGUCACGCGACCUAGGCGACCGUCGCCGAGGUCGGGUGUCGCCGAGGUCGCGUAACCUCAAGCGACCGUCACCUGGGAUCGAGCAACCUCAGGCAGCGCGGCACUAGGGUCGCUCAACCUCAGGUGGCUGUCACCUAGGGUCGCCCAACCCCGGCGACACGUGACCCCUUGGAUGGUAGUCAUCAGUCUCCAAUCGACUUCUCCACUAGAGAGAUGAACAAUGAUGGACAAUAUCGGAAGUUGCAUUCCGAAAAUGCAACUUCCCAAUGGACCUCUACCUCUCUAUUCCCCCAAAAGCCUUUCAAUCCGCUUGGAGAUGCAAUUGCAUCUCCCUAAAGUACUCAAAAAAUUGAACCAGCCACCUUCACUUUUGCUCAAACCCCUUUAGAGCCCCCAAAGCCCUUUCUACAUGUUGAACCAAACAGGGCCUUAGUAGGGACUAGUUUUUAUCUUUUAGUAUUUGGCCAAAUACUAAAAUUUAGUUUUUUCUUCCAAAACUAUCCUCACUCAUUCUUCAAAUUUCUGAUUUUUCCCUCAUUAUUAUUUUUUUAAAAUGCCAAAAUAAUGCCAAAAAAAUAAAAUAUAUAUAAAUGCUAAAAAAAUUAAAUAUAUUUUGGUCUUUUAAAAAAAUAUUUAUAUAUUUGAUUUUUUUAGCAUUAUUGUCAAAAUUUAUAUUUAAAAAGUUGCAUACAUUAUUUUUUUUCAAUUUUAAACAAUUAAAAAAUGAAAAAUUCCGAUGAAGGGUUUGGUCUUUUUUAGAAUAUAUAUAUUUUAUUUUUAACAUUAUUUUCAAAUUUAUAUUUAAAAAUUUGCAUAUGAUAUAUUUUCAAUUUUAAAUAAAUAAAAAUUAAUAAAUUUCCACGAAGGAUUUGGUCCUUUUUUUUAAUUAUACAUAUGUAUUUGAUUUUUUUUAGCAUUGUUGUGAAAAUUUAUAUUUAAAAAGCUGCAUACAUCAUUUUUUUUUUCAAAUUUAUGCCAAUAAAAAUUUAAAAAUUCCGAUGAAGGGUUUGGUCUUUUUUUAAAAAAAAAAUUAUAUAUGUAUUCAAUUUUUUUAGUAUUAUUGUCAAAAUUUAUAUUUAAAAACUUGCAUACAUUAUUUUUUAAAUUUUAAACAAAUAAAAUUAAAAAAAUUUAAUAUUAAUUACCCAAAGAUCUUUUCAAAUGUAUUUUCUACCAAACAGCAUUUUUCUCGAACUUUCUUCUCAAAGCAUAGUUUACCAAACACCUUUGCAUUUGCCUAAAGUCCUUUAGGCUAAACUGCUUUGCAUUUUUCCAAUGGGCUUUCAAAAUGCUAAACCAAAUGCAUCAUACAUCCUCUACUUGAGCCAUCUUCCCGAAUAUUUUGAUUGUUAUAGCUACAUUUGGCGCUAGGGUCGGGGUUAUAUAUUUUGUCAUCAGCAAAUUGUAGUGUUCCAUGGAUGACAACCUUGAAUUUGUCUACAUUUUCUUGGUUUCUAAUUCUCCCUAUUACAAGUGCUGAAAAUCCUUUCCAGGCUUAGCUAUAGCUUAUAAAUGCCGAAAUUUUCACUUGUGCACCAUAUGGUACCCACCUGGUAAUUCCAGCCGUCGUGUAAACCACUACCAUAUAAAAUAAAAUAAAAACUCGUUCAAUAAAUUCUGCUAAAUUAGCCUAUAUUGAUUAUUCAGUGUAUUUAGAUAUUGUUUGUAACCACGUGUGAUGCUUGGGUAUGAAUUAAAUCAAGUCAACUAAUGAAAGCACUUUUGUGUAUGGCAGCCAAGUAGAAAUUGUCAUUUUGGUUAUUCAAAAGGUUUUGGAGGAGCUGGGCAAAAAAAAUGAAUCAUAGACCGAAUGUCCAAUUGAACUUGAUGACUUGACACAGUCACUUGAAGACUAUUUGCAUCGCAUAGAGAUGGUACGAUAGAUUCUUCUUCAUCAAUAUACAAUAGACUAGCGUGAAUGCACGAAUUCGAAAUUUGAUUUGUUCUAAUCUCGGCUUGAUGCCAUAAUUUGGCAAAACUACACAAAUUUCAAGAAAUUAACUACUAUUCCGAAAUUUACAAAGACGGAAAUAUGUUUUCUAACCAACAAGUGUUCCUUCAACAUGUUCUUUUUUAUUUGAAAUGUUGUUUCCUAUAGAUUAAAUAAGUACAUAAAUGUAAAUCUCAUCAGCUGUUAAGUUUUAAAUUUAUUUCUUGUUGUAUAAUUCAUUGUUGGACGUUAUGUGAUGUGAUAUGUGUUUUUUUUAUUUCAAUACUAUUUAGCAAUAAUCGCCCUCUUGAACAUUCACAUUGUUGCGUAAUAGCCUGUUGCGUAAUAGCCUGCAGAUUUCAAAAAUGGUAUAGCUUACCUUCUACCUUCACUAGUUUUUCAGUCUGCAUUACCGUUGAAUUUUACCUAAAAUCCUGCCGUUGUAAAGCAUCAAGAUAGGAAGCUAUUCUCCAAAGAUUGCUUAGCAAAAGCAUAGCUUUGUUAAAGCUCGACAGAUACUCCAGCCCAUUUCCCCUCCCGUUUUCUGCCUUUGCCAGUGCCUUCCAGCUUCUCCAGCAUACUCUAGUUCCAUUUUAGAAAAUUUUCCCAACAAAAAAUGUGAUUUAUCUACUCAAUUGCCCUGCAUAUAGAGAUUGGAGUUUUAAAUAUUGACAUGGCUUAAGUAGACAGUGCACGAGCUAAAGAUAAAUCUCCUUCCCCCUUCAAAUUUGAAAUGCUCUUCCACACAAUAAAUUGCAAAAGAUAAAUCUCGUCUAUCAGAUAGUGUAUGAAAGUUUACUUAUUAUACCACCUUGACUACAAUAAUUCAUUGUUAGAUGCACAAAAAUUUGAAAUGCCUUAUAUGAAGCGUGUAGAUGUGGUAUUUUAUAUGUGCGAAUAGGAAUUAGUCAAGCUAAAUGUUAGUGCUAUACUUUUUAAAAGAGGAAUUUUUCUUUUUUCUAAAUUCUAUUGACACCAUUUCUUGAAUAUCUACAGCAAUAUAAAGAAAAUGUUUUACAAUCGGCCUAAUCUAUUCUUGAUUAGAUGAUUAGAAUAUUAGCAUUACUUUAAUUGUGUAGUACUUAAAAUUUACGUGGAAUUUUAACGUGGUCCAAAUGUAGCGGGAUAUUGGAAGGAGAGACGGGAAUGAAAGCGGAGGGAGGAUUCAAAGCAGAAGUACGGAGUUGAUGCACAUGAAUAGAAAGAUGAAGUAUGUGAAGAGAAGGACGAGUGUAUGGGAGGUCCGGAAAUACGAAAAGUGCGUGCACGAGGAGUGGAGUAGUAGAGGGAUGAGUGUAGGCAAAGAAAGGGAGGAGCGGAGGAGAAAGGAGGGGAGGAGGAGAGGGACAAGUGUAGCCAAAGAAAGGGAGGAGGUUCGAAAAUGCAAGAAGUGCAUGCAGGAGGAGCGGAGUAGGAGAGGGACGAGUGUAGGCGGAGAAAGGGAGGACGGGAAGUACAUGGAGUACAUGCAGCAGUGGAGGAGGAGACAGAGGAAUCUAGGCAAAGGACGGUAGGAGUCAAGGAAGAGAUGGAGGAGUGUAGGCAGAGAAAGGGAGAAGGACGAGAAGUACAUGGAGUACGUGCAAAAGUAGAGGAGGAGAGAGACAAGUGUGGACAGGACGAGAGGGACGAGUGUAGGAAAGGGAGGAGGAUCGGAAGUACAUGAAGAAUGUGCGAGAGGAGGGGAGGACUAGACAAGAGUAAGCAGAGCAAGGGAGGACGAAAGUGCAUGGAGUACGUGCAGAAGGAGGGGGGGAGGAGAGAGACGAGUGCAGGCAAGACGAGAGGGACGAGCAUGAUGUGGAGCAAACUAGCUCCUACAAUACUCGGGUAUAAAGACUUCUACUUUAGAUGAUUUAUGUCAUGCAUAUCAUGCAUAAAUCCUUUAUGUGUGUAUUCUUUUUAAAGAUAUCGAAAAGUCAAGGUGGAAGAAAGCGGACAAAGGAUAAUUUUGUAUUGGUUCCAAUGUACCCUUCAUAAUAUUUUCCUAACAUUGCUUCGUUGUCAUUUUUAAUAGGAAAUGUCAACACCUAAAGAAAAAAAAAAAAAAACACACAUGAAGGGUAAAUUAUAUCAAUUCCAAUUACUCAUUUUAAUAGCAUUUUUAUUGUGAUUCUCUUUUCCUUUGAUUUGGAAAACAUCAAACACUUGUAAGAGGUGUGGUACAAUUCCAAUUAGUGGCUCUGCUAACGGUUACUAAUGAUUAUAACACACGCUUGUAGGAUUUUUGUAGGAUUUUUUUAGUAGGAAAUGACAAUGAUAGUAGAUGUCCCAAUUAAAAAAGCUAGCACAAAUCGAGAGAGGGAAGCAAAUUUCUCAUACUUUGAGAUGUUCGCAAGGUAAAGUGUUUUUUUUUUUUACCUAUGAAGUUCUUGUGUUUCUCAUAUUCGUGAGAAGAAGGGGCAGCAUUGUUAAGCUGACAUCAUCAUUUUGGGAAAAGUGCUAAAAAAGUCAUAAACAUUUUGUCUUUAUACCGAUUUAGUCCUAAACAUUUUUACGUUGUGCCAAUUCAAUCCUUUCCAGCCAAUUUUGGCUAAAUUUUGUUGACAGACGCCGGCUGGCUGACGUGAACAACUUUUAAUAAUGUUUUAAUAUUUUGAAUUUUUCUUUUCUUUUUUUCUUCUCCUCUUCUUCCUCCAACCGGUCGCCGGACCUCGGCGAUCGGCCAAAGGCGACAGCCGACGAGUCACCAAGGUCCGACGACCAGCUGGAGGAAGAAGAGGAGAAGAAAAAAAGAAAAAAUAUAAAAAAAAUUCAAAAUAUUAAAACAUUAUUAAAAAUUAUCCACGUCAGCCAGUUGGCGUCUAGUCAGCAAAAUCCGGCCAAAAUUAGCCGGAAAUGACUGAAUUGGCACAAUGUAAAAAGGUUUAGGACUAAAUCGACACUAAAGAAAAACGUUUAGGACUAAAUCGGCACAAAGACAAAAGAUUUAUGACUUUUUUGGCACUUUUCCCCACCAUUUGCUUUGUAUCAUAUGUGUAUGAUGAGUUGCCAAAAGAUUGUCUCCCCUCCUACUUAACAGAAUUUGUUCUUCACAUGUAGAGUCUUGACCGUAUGAUAUGUCAGCUUUUGGAAGGUACAAAUGCUCAAGAGAUCAGGUCAAUGGUACUAGACAUGAAAGCUAGGUUGCCGUUAGAUAUACUGGGUAAGGGUAUUGAGUCUGCUUUGGUGGAUCCUUCAGCGUUAGUAGCUUAGCCAUGGCAGGCAUCUAGUAAAAUUGUUUUCUGGAAUUGAUCCUGAAAAUCUGGCCGUGGAACCGGCACUUGACCAAAGUAUACAGGUACUUUCACCUUCAUUUUGAUUUUCGCUAUUAGGUCUCCUUGUUGUGACAUGGAAGUUUGACAUGCAGAUCUUCUGGCUGUGUUUUUGCCAUGGCUUGAGGCCGUUAUUUUGAUGACCAUCUUCGUGUCUUUUUUUCUAAACUGAAAUUCCUUUAGGGGCACUGUGAUGGUGAAAUUUAUUUACAAAAGAUCUAGGACAAAUAAACGUUUUAAGUAAAGGAAGCUUUUGUUGAAAAACUGGUUGCGCAAAUAUCAUUUGGCUUUCAAAUGACGCUAUAUAUCAAGACUGUCAUUUGAUGUGUAAAAUAAAUGGCUCUGACAUAUCCUUCCAUAGAGUUGUCUUAAGGUUGCAUUCAUUUUCAAAUGCCAUCUAAUACAAUGCAUUUGUCGUGUACCCUGCAGCUGUCUCCUCCCCAUGUUGUGGACCUUUUCUUUUAUCCGGACUUUGGCAAUUGACUUCAACUGAAACAAAGAUAUGAUAGUAUACAUGUUUCCGAUUGUUAAAGGUCUCUCGCAGGCUUAUGUCGAUACAGUUCAUGAUCUGGCUUCACAUUUUAUCACCAACUUCAUUCAAGCCGUUCCCAAACCACAAGAACAUAACCACAAUCAAAAGGCGCCAGCAGCGAAUUCAAUUCAGGCAUAAUCAGAAAGAAAAACGCGACGCGUUGACGAAUCGACACCACACGAUUCGCAAACCAACAACCCCCCCCCCCCCAACACAAGCCACAACCGUUACCCCACGAUUACCAAACGAAUUCAGGCCACGAAUCUGCUCUAGAUUGUCUCCAGCCCAACAAAAACCAAAUUAAACCCCACAAAAACGCGAUUAAAUAGCGCAGCUUAGAAACCACUGCCUCCGACCCAAUCCGUAAUGGACUAUCAGAUAAACAAAUUUGAGGAAUUCCUCUCUGCACAAACGACCCAGGCGACAAAUUUUUUUUUUUUAAAUAAAAGAGAGAAUGUAACAAAAAUGCGAUAGGGUAAUCUAGCAUAAUGAAGUCCCCAAAUCUAUUUAAUCUCUCUCACACACUUUAUUUGGGUUUCUAAUCGACCCACCAAAAGCUUAUUAGGUCUAGCGGUGGUGCUCGGCCUUGAUUGAUGGCGUGGUGAGGAUGGGUAGUCUCAACGUGAUGUGCCUCACAUCCGUGGGGUGGUGCUUGUGCGGCUCUCGGUGAAUCCAAGUCAACAAUUUAAUCCCUCUUGAAGCUUCAUUGAGUUUGCUUAUGGCCACCAAAGCACAAGUAUUGGGUCAUUUGAGUUGACCUGAUUAACUAUGAUCUUUGGAAUAAUUUGCAAUUUUGGGGAUGUGGAAGUUCAUUUGCUGCUUCUUUGUUCCUUGUGCCUGCGAGCGAUGGAAUACUGAGAAUUAGAGUUGAUUUUUAGGUCAAGGAUGGAGGACAGGAAAGUGAAGAUUAGAGGAUUUAAGGUGAUAUGGAAAGCAGGUGAAGAAAACAUCUACGUCUCAUGUAAAUUGGGAGGGACUUGAAGAUCUAUGUAGCAAUUCGAGAUGUGAUAUGCAUAACCCCAUAUUUGAGGUCGAUGGGCUAUUGCAAAUUCGUACGAGAAUAGCACCAAGGUAAUCAUCAGACGGAACUUUAACUCGAAGAGAAAAGGGUGAGCCAAGCGAGUUGAAUUGGGGGAUAGUGAUGGCAGCAGUAACAGCGGCGGCAACUAAUCAGUGCCAAUAUGCUUGAGCAUCUAGUGGUGGAUGUGGCACCAAGUCUUGGGGCCAAUAUAGGUGGGUGACUUNNNNNNNNNNNNNNNNNNNNNNNNNNNNNNNNNNNNNNNNNNNNNNNNNNNNNNNNNNNNNNNNNNNNNNNNNNNNNNNNNNNNNNNNNNNNNNNNNNNNACUCAAAGUACUUAUAGGGUUUUGGAAAUGCAACAAAAUUCUCCAAAGAAAUUUGUGGAGCCAUAUUUGCACUUCUCUAAGAACAAUUUUUGAAGCCCAAUGGGCUUUGAGAAGGUGGCUUCCCAGGCCCACACUUCGCCGUCAAACGACACGUGAUAUGGCACACUCAAAGUUACCAACCCUUUUUUCUCUUCUAGGGAGAGAGAGAGAGGUCUGGAAGUCCCAGAUAUGGCACACUCAAAGGCCAGAGCAUCAGAAGUUCAGUACGAUGUGUUCUUGAGUUUUAGUGGGGUGGAUACUCAUUUUGACUUCACAGGCUUCCUCAAUAGAGCCUUGAAUAAUGCCGGAAUCUGCGUAUUCAUGGACGAAGAUGCAAUCAAGGUGGGUGAUAAGAUUGGUGAGACAAUUCUACAAGCUAUCGACAACUCCAAAAUCUACAUACCCAUCAUCUCUCAAACUUAUCUUGAUUGCAAAUGGUGUCUCAUUGAGCUUGAACACAUGAUGAAUAAUGUGUCUCAGUCAGAGGGUAGAAAAAAGAUUUUUCCCAUCUUUUAUAAAGUGAAACCUAGGGAUGUUAAACAUCGGACUCCACACGCAAAGAAUCUUUCCUCUAAAGUCAAACUUGGGAAGUUCAAAGAGACUCUUGCAAAGGUUGGCAAAAUCAAGGGAUGGAAGGUCGAGGAGCGACAAAGGUAAAACACAAAGAAGAAUCUUUUUUUUUUUGUUUUUUUAGUUUUUUGUUUUAGGGGAUAAAACAUUCCCUAUCAAAUCAUUUAUUUUCUCCUUUUUUUUUUAAAUGCAAAAUUUUGAAAACUACCUCCAACUACAAGUGCUGCUCCUAUUGAACUUUACAUCCUCUACUCGAGAUAUCUUCCCUAAUAUUUCAGUCGCUGGGGAAUUUGUCAUGGAUUUUGGGGUCAUUCAAUUUGUCAUCACCAAAUUGCAGUGUUCAAUGGAUGACCUUGAAUUUGUCUACAUUUUCUCAAUUCCCGAUCCUCCCUAUUACGAGUGCUGAAAAUCUUUUCCAGGCUUAGCUAUAGAUGCCGAAAUUGUUUGGGCAUUAUGUGGUAGCCACUUGGUAAUUUCGGGUCAUGUAAAACACCACCUAUAGAAAAACGCAUCCGAUGAACUGAAUUCUACUUGUUAUUCAGUGUAUUUAGAUAUCCUUUGUAACCACACAUGAUGCAUGGAUAUGAAUUAAAUCUAGUGAACAAAUGAAAGUGCUUUUGUGUAUGGUAGCCAAGUAGAAAUCGUCAAUUUGGUCAUUUAAAAGGUUUUGGAGGAGCUAGGCAGAAAGAUGAGUCACCAACUAAGUAUUUGAUGAGCUCGAUGACUUGACAAAAUCACUUAAAGACUCUUUGAAUCGCGCAGAGAGGGUAUGAUAUCUUCUUCUUUGUCAAUAUAUAAUAGACACACGUGAUGCUAUAAUUUGGUAAAACUACAUAAAUUGCAAGAAGUUAAAACUAUUCUGAAAUUUAUGUGGACAAAAAUAGAUUUUUUAAUCAUUUAGUGUUCCUUCAACAUGUUCUUUUUAAUUUGAAAUGUUGUUUCCUAUAUAUUAAAUAAGCACACGAAUCUGAGUAUCAUGAAUUGCAAUUUUGAAAUUCAUUUCUCGCUGUACAAGUCAUUGUUGGACAUUAUGUGAUUUGAUAAGUGUUCUUUUUAAUAUAUAUAUAUAUAUAUAUAUCUUAUCUCAUGCUAUUUGGCAAUAAUAGCCCUCUGUUUUUUUUUUUUAACAGAGUAAUAGCCCUCUUGAAUAUUCACAUUGUUUCGUAAUAGCCCGUAGAUUUUGUAAAUGGUAUAACUUACUCCCUACCUUCACUAGCUUUUCAAUUUGCUCCCAGCUUCUCCAGCGUACUCUAGUUCCAUUUUAGAAAUUUUCCCACCAAAAAAUGUGAUUUAUGUGCCCAAUUGCCCUGCAAAUAGAGACUGAAGUUUUAAAUAUUGGCAUCGCUUAAGUUGACGGUUCCUCAGAUAGUGUAUGAAUUUUUACUUACUAUACUACCUUGACUACAGUUUUUCGUUGUUAGAUACAAAACAAUCUUAGAAGCGGCACUUGUCUAGAUGUGGAUAAAGCCUUAUAUGAAGCACGUAGAUGUGGUAGUUUAUGUGUAUGAAUAGGAAUUAGUCAAGUUAAAUGUUAUCACUAUACUAUUUAAAAGAGGAAUUUUUUUUAAUUCUAAACUCUAUUGACCCCAUUUCUCAAGUAUUUGCAGCAGUAUAAAGAAAACGUUUUACAAGCGAUCUAGGGCGCGCAUGAUAAAAUUUCGACUUCUUUGUUUUUCUAAACAUGUUUAGAAUAUAAAUCCGUUUGGUAACGCAAUUUGAUUUUUCUAUUUUUUGAAUAGAAUUCUAUUCUAGAAAUAUAUUUAAAGAAGAAAUCAUAAUCUAAAAUUUUUAACUUUUCAAUUUCUGUUCCAGAAAUUUUAUCAUGCGCACCCCUACCCCUAAUCUAUACUAGAUUAGAUGAUUAGAAGAUUAGCAUUAUUUUAAUUUUGUAGUGCUUACAAUUAAUGUGGAAUUUUAACGUGGUCAAGUGCAGCAGGAUAUUGGAGGGAGAGGGAGGAUUCAAAGCAGAAGUAUGGAGUUGAUACACGUGAAGAGAAAGAUGAAGUACGUGAAGCGAGGGACGAGGGGAGGGGAGGUCUGGAAAUACGAGGAGUGCGUGCAGGAGGAGUGGAGGAGUAGAGAAACGAGUGUAGGCAAAGAAAGGGAAGAGGUUCGGAAAUACAAGAAGGGCAUGCUGGAGGAGGAGGAGGAGGAGGAGAGGGAGGAAUCUAGGCAAAGGACGGGAGGAGGAGUCCUGGAAGAGAGAGAGAGAGAGUAGGCAGAGAAAGGGAGGAGGGUCGGAAGUAGAUGGACUACGUGCGAGAGGGGAGGAGUAGAGGGACAAGUGUAGUAGUCAGAGAAAGGGAGCACGGGAAGUACAUGGAGUACAUGCAAGACGCGCAUGUUAAUUAUUGCACAGUGUAUAUAAUCUUCAAUUUAGUGAGAAGGGGUAUAUUUAUGUCCAAUGUAUGGAUUAAUGUUCACAAGUAUCAAUCCAAAAGUUUAAAAAAAAAAAAAUGGGGAAAGCUUUUGGGAAAAUGUAAAUAAUUUUAUAGGUGAGAGGGUUUUUCCAAAAUGUAAAUAAUGUUUGGUAAUGUAUAAUCUAAAACAUUAACUUUAACUUAGAUACCAUUUGUAAAGGAUCUUUGCUAGUUUUUUUUUUUUUUAAUCUCAAAUAUUUCCUGGCAAAACUCAGUCCCAAAGCUGGCCGCCGCCAACACAAGAUUGCCUCACCGCAGCCAAUCUACCAUUGUUGGUGGGCCUUGCUGGUGGCCCACUAGUGGCCUGAACCCGGUGACAUCAAUUGAGAUGUGGAUAUUUUCGAAAUUAUAAACGACAAAUGAAAGUAAAGUUGGAAGGGAAAAUGUGUUUAUACUUCGGAAAUACUCAAAAUUCAAAGUGCUUUUGAACUUUGCUUUGGGCCAAAGAUACCAAAAAGUCCAAUGGGCUUUCGGGACCAUAUUUGCACCUCUCUAAGAACAAAAUUCUCCAGAAGGAAUCCGUCAGAACCGUAUUUGCACCUCUCUAAGAACAAUUUUUAAAGCCCAAUGGGCUUUGAGAAGGUGGUUUCCCAGGCCCACACUUCGCCGUCGAACGACACGUGGCGAAAUUGGAGGGAGAGUUGACGGGGACAACUCCGCCCAACCCGGUCGACAAAUUUGAAGGCCGCGGCCUCGCCGACCAAGCCCAACCCCCACCCGCCCCACGUUCCCUUUCCACGCUUGACUAAGGCGUUGCUGCUCCGCAAAUGCCCUCCCUCUCUCCCUUAUUUACCCGAAUGCCACCCCGGUCGUCGCCGUAAUUUCGGCGACUUCACGAGGGCCGUCGAGUCCAAAUUGGGGGGAGAAUUUGGGAAUCGUCAUCAUGGUAGUGUAGCGCAGGUGCAGGUACGGAAGCGAAGGAAGCGAAGCUUCUCUGUAACUCUCUCUCUCUCUCUCUCUCUAGAGCGUUUUCGCGUUCUCACCUCUUCGGGCGAUCGCCUCCUUUUGACUUCGUCGCGAUGGAGAAGAAGGACGAUCCGACAUUUUCCGGGAAACUGCUCGAUUCGCGUGCUCUUCUGACUCGCGACGCGUGAGGGAAUUUUUGCUCGGAUUCUGUUGCAGACGGUCGCGGCAUUCGUGAUUGCGGUAGUUGGGUAGGUGCGUGCGUCCUUUCGCCGAUUC